UACACCUUAGCAGUCUUCAAUGUGUCACACAACAACUUGUCAGGGAGUAUUCCGUCUCCAAAAGCUCAAUUUGGAACCUUUGAUGAAAGCAGUUAUGUGGAGAAUCCUUUUCUCUGCGGGCCUCCCCUGCAUAAAAAUUGCAGCGACCUUGAUUCACCCCCGACAACAGCACCAAAGAGCUCAAACGAGGAAGAAGAAAGUGGUUUGAUGGACAAGUAUGUUUUCUGGGUGACCUUUUUUGUUUCUUACGUGAUUGUGUUACUGGUUAUUGUUCUCAUCCUGUAUAUAAAUCCUUAUUGGCGACAAGCAUGGUUUUCUUUUGUUGAACACUGCAUCAAGACUUGUCAGUACUUUCUUCUGCGAUUUUCCAUCUUCAAAAGGAGUGGGUAGCCUUGUAUUUUGGUGGUUUACAUUUGUAUGUAAUUUUCAUCACUCUUUUUUUAUUUUUCAAAGUUUGAUUGGAUUAUCUGCUUCUAAGUUUUUAGAGCUAGAAUGCAAUAUAUCUGUUAUGGAAAGCAAUAUAUAAAGUUAUGCAUUUUCAAUUAAAACAUUUAAUAUUGCUUUAUAAUUUUUAGUGUUCUGAUAAGAUGAUGUUAAAUUCAACAUAUUGUAGCAUAUAUAUUAAUAAAACCUAUAUUCAUCUAUACAAAUUUUUUAGUCAACCAAACCAUUGAUGUGGUGGCAAAAACUUCACAUUGUUUUCAAGUCUUCAUUGACAUUAGGUUGAGGUUUCAAACCCUAGCGUAAAAGAGGGGGGAGAGGGGUUGUCUGAACCAAAACUUCAUUUCAACAGAUAUCCUUUACCCACUAAAUCAUAUGCUCAACUGAAACUUUUAUAUAUAUAUAUAUCAAACAUGAAUGAUAUAAAUAGUCUUUAAAUUUUUAAAUGAUAUAAAUAUAUAUAUAUUUUUAAAAUGAACAAAAAUUAUAAUAAUUAAUAUGUAGUUUCAUUAUUUUAUUUAAACUCAAAAUAAUAAUAUUUAAAAAUUGAGUUUACGUGAUAUUUAUUUACUUUAAAAUUAAUAAAAUGUAAAUAUAAACUUUAUUUUAUUUUAUUUAUAUUCAAAUUUAAUAAAUGUUUAUCUAAUUUAUUUAAAUUUAAAUAAAUUAAAUAAAUAAGCACACAAUUUUUUUUAGAGAAAGUGAUGACUCUUUUUUAAUGAUGAGAUGUUAGAAGAUUUACCAUAUGUGUAAUGUGGAGACAAUAACCCUAAUAUGUAACUUUUGCACAAUAACCUUAAUUUAUAAUUAGUGAAUCAUCAAUUAAAAAUUAAUUAAUUGAGUAUUUACACUUGUCCAACCAUAUUUUAUUUAAUAAGUGUCAUGGAUCAUAGGUCAAAUAAGUAUCACAAUAAUCACAGUAAUACCUGCAAAAAUUGAAUCCAAAUAAACAUAUCCAUAAAUUGUUAAUGAAAAUUUGUUCGCAGCGAGAACCUUAACUAAGAUUGGAAGAAUUUAUAUGUUUUUGUCUUUUUGCUAAAAUGAGUAUAAAACAUAUAAAAAAUAAAUUAUGAAUGUUCAUUUUUUUAAUAGUUCAAAAAAAUAUAUUAUAUAUAAUAUAUAUUAUUGUUUUGCAUUUGCUCCUCAAAGAAAAUGGAAACAAUCGUAAGCCUAUGGCAUCAUUAGAAACACCAUUAAUCUUGAUGUGUCGCAAAUCUCUAGAAAGUUAGCCAAAUGAGUAUUCAGAUCUUCAUCUUGCAACCUAUCAAACUGAACAUAUUGUUGUACCAUCUGAAUUGUGUUCGACUUUAGCUCAAAAUUAUUUACAGCAAUAGUCAGUCUGACAAUACUCGAUUCAACCCCAAUCAGAAUAGACUUAGCAUAAUCAUACAUAGUCCGAAGAGUAGGAGCUGCAGGAAGCUGUUGAUUAUUUUUAUGAUUAUCCAUCUCCACAUUAAUAUCCUUUUCCUCUUGAUCGUCUACUAAAAUCUAUUUAUCUUGUCUUUUGCUUUUCUAACCUCUCUAAGAUUUCUACGAGCAGUCUUUUCAACUUCACUAUAAAAAAUUAAUGUUUCUGACGAGUUUCCUCUAGUCAUAAACCAAAAGACUCUAUCAUAAUAAAAAAAUGAAAAAUUAGAAUAUUGUAAAAGUUAAAUUAAAAACAAAAAUAUCAAAAUAAAAAUAAAAAUAGCUAAAUUAAUAGAAAUAAAGUUUUCCUAAUAUUUUAGUCCCCUGGCAAUGGCGCCAAAAACAUGAUGCAGUCAUAAACCAACUAAAAAUCUGACUAAGGCAAGUGUACCUAUCAAUUAAUUGUAUAGUUACGAUGAGCAAAUAAAUCGUUCCCACAAAGACUAAAAGUAGUAAUUACUGUCUUUCUAUUAUUUAAUCGAUAAACUCGAGUAAUUGAUUAAAACUAAAAUUAUUUAAAUUAAUUAACAAUGAAUGUGACAAAUAAUAAAUCAGGAAAAUAAUUGAAUAAUAACCAAGAAGCAAAACAAUACCUAGGAAAAAAUUCACCUAGAUUUCAUCUGUCAUUAUCAAUCUAAAUUCCACAAUUUCUUUACUUAGUAUCUUAAUUCAUAGAAAUCCCUAAAUCAUGCUAAUAUCUCUCUUCAAGAAUAAGAGCAAUAACUUUAGGCUGGUUAAUUGAAAUUUCUUUCUAAUUAAAACCCUUAUUAUCGCAUUAAAUCGCUUUAUGGAUUUCCCAAUUACAUUUGACUCUAAUUCGGUGGAUUUAUAUCAUCCUAUUUCUAAGAUUGCAUGCAACUUCACUCAAUUACGCUAGAUCUACUCUUAAACAAGGUCUAUUCCUUCUCUGAUUUAAGCACAACAAACAUGGAUCAACAAUCUAGAAAUAUUAAACCAAGAGUAAAAUACACAUAAUUGAGAGCAAGAUCUAAGUAUUUAUUGUGUAAAAAUAGAAAUCAAAUAAUAUAAUUCAUCCUAAAGCUUAUCUCUCUAGGUAUUUGGAAAAUUAGUUCAUACUUGCAAAUAAAAACAUCCCAAAGACAAUAUAACCAAAAGAAAUAAAGAAGCUCGUGAUAAUCUCCUAAGAAAUCAACUGUGAGUCUUCAAUCUUGACUAAAAUUUGCUUCAGAAUCGGCUUCAAUGGUGUUUUCGAGUUGUUUUAUUGAGCAUUCUAUGACGGCUCUCUCCCCUCUUCUUAUAUUUGUCAUAUAUAGGUCUUAGAAUGCUCGAAAAACCUAAACAAAAGUGUUUUUCCGCAAGUUUGAAGUGUGACUCGUGAUUUCUACGUAGUCUCGCACAUGACCAUGUAGAAGCUCGUGUGGCCACACGGUCGUGUGUCCAGCCCAUGUGGCUCCUGAAACUUGCUCCAAUUUUCACUUAUUUUUCACUCUUUUUGCUCUAAAAUGCUACUAAGUAUAGAAACAUGAAUUUAAAGGAUUAGGAGCAUAAAAUUCACCAUUUUAAUUCGAAUAAUAAUCCAAAAAUGCAUUAAGAAUGAGGCUAAAACAUGUUACUUUUGGCAUUUAUUAAUUUUGCCAACACCCAAAAUAGUUGCUUAAAGGUACAAAUUUAAACAACCCAAAAAAGGGUCAGUAUAAUCCAAAAAGCGUUGUGUUAGGCUUUUCAUAUGAUAACACUUUUAUAUAGUUGGGAAAGGUAUAACAAAAGUCGGCAUAGUGUUGGAUAAAACUGAUUCUUAUUUAAGCGUUGCCUUAGGCAUGCAUAUCCCAACCUUUAUACAAAGAGUUGGCCAAAGCGUAUGUUAACAAGUCUAUCCUAACACUUAGGAAAGUGUCAGCAUAAUGUUGGACAAACUCGAAUCUUAUUUAAGUGUUGCCUUAGGCAUGCAUAUCUCAAACCUUAUACAAAGAGUUGGCCAAAGCAUACGUCGACAAGUCUAGUUAUUAGCUCAAUAGAUCAAACAGGAAUUGCUAAGAGGGGUGAAGUGGCUUUUAAAAAAAUGUGAAAGCUAGAAAGAAAAUUGAAAGAUGAACAUAAUAAUUUAGAAUGGUUUAGCCCCAAUUGCCUACCCCACUACCUUGACUUUCCACAACUAAGGAUUUUCCAAAAUUCACUAAAUUGAUAACCUUUAAGGAUAAGGUUUAACAUUACAACUCUAUUAAGAUUUCUGUAACACCCCAAACCCGGCUAGACGUUAUAACCGAAUCUGGCGAUGUCACAUGGAAUGGGAUUUGAAACCUCGUUGUUACGAUGAAAACAUUCCAUGCUAUUAUCUUUAGUAAACCUUUGUUAGAACUUAGGAAGUCGUCUUUAUUCAUUUAAAACAUUUGUUUUGAAACAUGCCUCGUUGUGGAAGCUUUAAUAAAACAGUCUAUGUGAUCAUGCGUUUAGAAAAUAAUUUAACUUUUUGAAAACGGAAUUUCCUAAGACCCGCAGGUAUAAAUCCAUAAAGUAAAAUAAAUAAAUAAAAACCCAAAUUUAAAACCAAAAUCCUAGAAGGUCCUUAAAUUACAUCCCAAAUAAUCAAUAAUAAUCAAAUCAUAAAUCGUAAAUUGAAAACCAUGAAGUCGAAAAAUUACGGUGGUUACCGCUAAGUCCUCCGUCGCACCGAUCCAUCUAAGUCUAGGGAUUAACUAUGCACAUUAAACAAAAAAUGUGAGUUUACGUAAACUCAGUGUGUAGUCCCGUAGAAACAAACAAACAAUCAGUAUUCACAGUGCACAGUUGAACAGUCUUGGGCCUAAGCCCUUUUCAGUAUCAGUGACAGUUUGGGCCUUAGCCCAUCUCAGUAUAGUGUCAAAAAUGCAGUAGGUCCUUAACCCAUCACAGUAUUAGUAGCAGUAACAAUUAUGCAGUAGCAAAAUCCUACCCAACCAGCCUCUACACACCAUCUUCGUCUAACCCUACAUUCUAUGUGGGGAUAUAAUCAACCUACCCAUCCCUUUUUAAUAAUAACCCAUGCUAGCUAAAUAUUCUAUGUUUUCACUAUUUACUUAUAUGUUCAUUUAAAGCUGUCUACUUGAGUCAUUGUCACUAAAUUAUUUACAUCUUAAGCUACAGAAUUCCAAAUUAAGAUCUGCUUGAUGUUUUCAAAACUGGACUCAGAUAUCUUUCUACCAUAAAUUUUCAAAAUUUAUAGCUUAUCAAAUAAGUACAGUAAAAUCUUCAAAGUUAUCCCUAUUCUGCCAUUUGACAGCUUCAACCUUUUCCUUACUAAAAAUUAUUAAUCUCUUAGUACGAAAUUUGAAUGAUGUUUCCAUUUGUUUCUCUUGAAAGUAGACUUAUUAAAGAUUUAAAUGUAUAAAUUUAAGCCCCUAAUUAUUUGUUUACAAUUUUUGAUAAUUUUCUAAAAUCAGAACAGGGGAACAAGAAAUCAUUCUGACCUUGUCUCAGAAAAUUUAUUAUAUCUCAUAAUUUACAAUUCUAUUGCUUACACUGUUUCUUCGAUGAAAAACUAGUCUCAAUAAAAUUUAAUUUAAUAUUUUAUUCAACCCUUAACUCAAUUUUCACUAUUUUUGAUGAUUUUUCAAAGUUAAACUACUGCUACUGUCUAAAACUAUUUUUGUGCAAAAUGUUGAUUUCCAAGGUUAUAACACCCUUAUUUCCUUUCUCUACAAUUUUUUUCGCAUCAUUUUCUCUUAUGUCUCGACAGCAAGCGAUUUUGACUUUUUGCUGAAUCCCCUUUUCUGCGUUUCGGGUACACACCUGGUUUCGUUAGAUGCUAAAAUAGUCCCCGAGCACUCCAAAGCCUAUAAUUGAACAAAUAACAUCAAUUUAAUCUCACAUAACGUGAUCCCAAAUCAAACUCAUAUCGAGGUUUUAACCCAUAAGCGACUAAACCUUACCUUCAACUGAUAAUAGUAGUUCCCACACAAACUAAGACUCCGAUUGGUGAUUACAAGCCCUUGAAUCAUCCCCUAAUAGGCAGAAACAAAACACUUUAGAAGAAAGUUAACAAAUAGAGACAAAUCACUUAUCUAAAACUUGUCGAACGAUCGCAGACAAACAUGGAGCGACACGAGGCAGAGUGGGAAAAAAAUCAAGAAGAUGAAGGGUGAAAGAGAGCAGAAAUUUGGCAAUAAUGAAGAGAAAAACAGCAAAAGGGUGGAGGGAUUUUGGGGAAAGUAAAAAAAAAGAAAAAAAAAAUUAACAGAAUAUUUGAUAACCACCCCAAUCCCUUAUUUCUCUCCAUCAAACUCCCCACAAAUCCACUACUCAGAUUUUUAGUCCAUCUCAAACUCUCUUGGACACAUGAGCAAAAAUAAUGCCUAUGCUAAGAUUCAAACACAAGACCUCUUUCACACCAACACUCUACUUAUCCACCAAACCAGCAAGCUAAUUUUGUUAAUUAUUUGCCAACUUUUACUUAAAAGUCUACUGACCAAAUAUAGGACUUAUUCAUAAAAAUACCAAAAUUUGCCCAAGUUCUGGCUUGAACUUGGGACCUCCCAAACACACCUAAAAUACUUAACCACUGAAGUAGAUACACAAUUGUGUCACACAUUCACAAUACCCAAAAUUAAAAUUUUUAGGUGUUACAGUGCUUCUUUUACUGAAUUAAACUAUAACCUUACUAACCUUAUAAAAUGCAUAAAAAACUAAUAAAUCACUUGAUUACAAACUCAUUAAGUAUAGAAUCAAGCUUAAUUUGCCACAACGAAUUGUGGUUAAUCAAUUGUUAAUAUGAAAUUUAUUUUUUUAGAACACCAAAUUCUUUCAACCGCAUUUUGAAGCAGUGGUGGAUCCUAGGACAAAGUUUGGAGGGGAGGCUAGUAAAAUUUUUAGGAAUUAUAAUAUAUAUAUUUGCCAUAACCAUCUAAUACUCAUACUUGUUUAUGCUUAUAAUAUAAUUUUUGUAACUAGUAUAAAAAUAAAUUUUUAAAAUGGGAUUUGAGUGUAAUUACGUAUGUAAUCAUUUUAAUUCUCAGUCCCCUAAGAAUUAAAAAGUGUAAUUGAGUGCUCUAAUUACAGCCAAUUCGUGGGACUCACCAAUCAAUGGUUACCCAAACAUGUCAUCUUUGUGUAAUUACUAGCAAUUACACCCAAAUUCAAUUACUAGGUGAUUUUCCAAACACUGUGUAAUAUGUCGCGACAUCUAAGCCCUUUUGUUUUGUACUUUUUUUAACUUAAUUUUUAAGAGUCCAAGAAAAGUAAAUUACUUAUUUGGUAACACUUAUAUUUAGUCAAGCUAAAAAUAGCUUAAUAAAUUGAUGUUAUUUACUAUAUUUGUCAAACCAUUUUAAAACUAAUUUUGGCUAAGUCAAAAUCACUUUUUAUUCAACUUACCUUUACUAUUUUUAGCCAAUUGAAGUCUUAUAAAUACCUUGUUCAUUUUCAUAAUAUACACACUUGCUCAUCCUUUCCAUCCUUUUAAGAUUGCUAAGUAUUUUUUUGUUGUGAUCUAUUAUUGAUUCCUACUCCCUUUUUAUAAUGAAAGAACUUAUUAAUACCUUAAUAUUUUACUAUUGGUUCUUUCUCACUUUUGUUUUAUUUUCAUCACUUUUAAAAUGUUAUUGUAGCGACCUAAAACUUUCUGGGCACGGGCGCUAGUCGAAGUAAUUAUUGAAGGUUUGAAAACAGUGUCUCGAUUUUAUUCGAAAAAGGGAGUCGCCACCGAUCUUUUUUUUUAGGUGUGAUCGGACACCUACAAAAUUCCCUUUUUAGAAGAAAAAUUUAUUUUUAAGCUUUUCUAAAAAGAGGUAAUUUUAGGUCCACGUAAAAAUCCAGAGAAAAUUAGGGUUCGGGAGUCGGUUACGCGCGAGGAAGGUAUUAGCACCCUCGCGACGCCCAAAAUUGGUAUCUCGUUAAACGCAUGUUGUCUUAACUUUCAAAAAUACGAGUUCCAUUUAAUAUUUAGUCGUGAUCCGAUUGAAACACGAGAAUUUUGAAACACAACAACCCCUUUUUUUUGAAAACACGAAAUUUUUUUAAAACGCAAGAAUUUUAGAAACACGAAAUUUUUCUUUAAAAAAACACGAAAAUUUUGAAACACGAGAAUUUUUUCAAAACACGAAUUUUCUUUUUGAAACACGAAAAUUUUGAAAACACAAAGUUUUAUUUUGAAAACACAAAAGAUUUGAUAAAUUACGAAACAUGAGAUUUUUUUUGAAACACGGAAAUUUAUGAAACACGGUCAAUUUUUGAAAACACGAAAAUUUUUGAAAGACGGGAUUUUUUUUUGAAAACACGAAAAUUUAUAAAACACGGAAAUUUUUUCUAAAAACAAGAAAAUUUUCGAAAAACGAGAAUUUUUGAAAACACAGGAAAUUUUUGAAAACAUGAAAUUUUUUGUUACACUAGAAUUUUGAAAACACGAAGAUUUUUGAAACAUGAGGAUUUUUGAAAACACGAAGCUUUUUGAAACAUGAGAAUUUUUUGAGAACAUGAAAACAUGAAAAUUUGUCAAACACGGGAAUUUUUUGAAAACACGAUAACAUCAAAGAGUAGUCAAGAGAGUUUUUUGAAACACGGAAUUUUUUUUGAAAAAAAGAAACACAAAUAUAUUUUUUUGAAACACGAGAAAUUUUUUGAAAAAAAGAAACACGAAUAUAUUUUUUUGAAACACGAGAAAUUUUAUUAUUAUUAUUUUGAAACACGAGAAAUUUUGAAGACAUGAAAAUUUUUGAAACACGAUUUUUUUAAUAAUACCAUAUUUAACACGAAUCGAUGAUAUUCACCCCGAUAUGGUGAUGAAAUCGUCGUAUUAGUGUCAAAACAAAUCAAAUUAAUAUUUAAUCAGGAUUCUAAUAAAACACGAGGAUUUUUAUUAAAACACGAGGAAUUUUGAAUAUUUUCGAUUUUUAGAAGGGCGUCCCGUAUUUAACACGAGCCAUCGAUAUUCACCCAACAUAGCGAUGAAUUCAACGGCUUGAUGCUAAAUCGGUUCGUUGCCUUAUGCAUUAAAAUAUUUUUUCUAUAAAAAAAAUGCAAAUAAAAUUACAUAUAAUAAUAUUUCUAAACUAUUAAAAAACUAAUUUAAUUGUAAUGGGGAAAUAUUUAAAUAAAUGGACUUAAUUAGAGUGGGUUUAAAAAAUUACCAAAAGCCCAAAGUUAUGGGCUUGAAUUUUGGGCCUCCCUUUUCUUUUUUUUCUUUCUCUUUCUUUCCUGGGCGUUGGGCUGCCGGACUGGGCCGAGUCUGCUGGCCCGCUGGUUGUUGAAACAGGCCUGCUACCGCUGCUGGAUCGAGUACAGGCCUUCGUGCGGGUCGGGUCUGCCUCCUGGACUGGGUCGUGGCCUGCUGUCACUGCUGGGCUGCUCUGCUGCGCGUGGGCCUGGGCUGCUGCUUAGCUGCUGGAGUGGCCUGCUGUUGGCCUGCCCAAGAUGGCCUAUUGCUUGCUGGGCCGGUCUGCCACUGCUGCUGGUGUGGGUGGCCUGCUGCUGGCUUGUUGCUGGCUGCUGGCUGGGUUGGAUCCGGGUCAUCGGGUCGGGUUGGCCCGGCUGUUAUUUUUUUUCUUCUAUUUUCUUCUUUCUUCUUUCUUUUUUUCUUUUUUUCCUCAUUUCUUUUUCUUUCCUUUUUCUUUUUCUUUCUUUUCUUCUUCCUUUCAAACCCUAGCCACCGUCUUUUGCUUGGUGGCGCGACAGUGCCGGCGCUUCUCCCUUCUCCCUUCUCCCUUCUCCUCCUCUCUCUUCUUUCUCUCUUUUUCUUUUUCUUCUCUUCUUCCUCUCUUCCUUACUUCUUUACUGUUUGGGUUGCUGUUUUUUUUUGUUUUCUCUUUGCUUGUUUGUAUAGGUGCGACGGUGGUGGUGGUGUCACAACGGCGGUGCGACGACGGUGGUUGCGGGAGGAUGGUGGUGGAGGCUUUCGGCUUGCUGCUAUUUUUUUGUUUUUGAAUUUUUUCUGCUCUUUUUCUUUUGGUUGCCGAAAAACCUUUUCUUUUUGUUUCGGUUUCCCUUGGCUUUCUAGGUGGCGGUGCGGUGGUUGCGGUGGCGGGGUAGUGGCGCGACGGUGGCGAUGGCUUUUGGGCUGCUGUUUUUUGGAUUUUUUUGAGUUUUUCUCUGCUCUUUUUCUAUUUUUUUUUGGUUGCUAUCCGACCCCCUUCCUUCUCUUUUGAUUUUCUUUUUAAUCUCUUCAUUUUUUAUCCUCUUUCUUCUUGUUUUCAGAUGGCAUGGAGGUGAGGAGCAUGGCUGAUUGGCGGUGUCAGGCGUAGGGUGUGGUGCACGCCCAAAUGCUGGUUGGGGGGCAGUCUUGUCAUUCCCAGAAGGACUGAAUUGUAGAGUGUGCAAAGUUUUUAGGGCAAAAAUGUGAUUUUAGGAAAAUAUAGGGACAAAAUGUAAUUUCUAGAAAGUUUAGGGGCCUGACUGUAAUUUAUAAAAUAUUAGGGGUCAAGAUGUAAAUUUAGACAAAGUUAGGGGUCAAAAAAUAAUUUUUGAAAAGUUUGAGGGCCAAAAUGUAAUUUUUAUUUUUUGUAUUUUUAUUUUUUUCAAAAUUUUAUUAUGACUAUUUUAUUAAUAUUUAAAACAAAAAUUAAAAACGGACUAAAGUAAUUCCAAAAUUAAAUCCUAAUGGGCUCGAUCAUUGGGCCCAUACGAGACCGACCCGGCCUAAAAUUCAAACCGGGCAAAAUUCAGUGAUUACAGCUGCCCCUCUUUGCUCAUCGCUGUAAAACAGGGAUAGAGCAAAGACUUAAAAGCACUGAAUUUUGCUCGAUUGUCUAAUUUUUUAUAUUUUUUGAAAGCCUGAAAUUGAAAAAAAAAAGCUUGGUGUGCGAUCCGAAGUUCAACUCACUUUUCAGAUUAUAAGUUGACCUUUGAAAAAUAAAAAAUAAAAAUACCUCAGCUUGACUCGAGGCUCAACUCACCUCUAGGAUUAUGAGUUAAUAAUUUUUUUUUUUGAAAACAUAAAUUGAAAAUACCACAGCGUGACCUGAGGCUUAACUCACCUCUCGCAUUAUGAGUUGAUUUUUGAAAAACGAAAAAUUGAAAAAUACCUCGGCAUGUGACCCGAGGCUCAACUCACCUCUCGUAAUAUGAGUUGAUUUUUUUUGAAAAACAGAAAUUUAAAAUACCUUAGCGUGCGACCUGAGGCCCAACUCACCUCUCGCAAUAUGAGUUGAUUUUUGAAAAACAGAAAUUGAAAAUACCUCAGGAUGACCCGAGGCUCAACUCACCUCUCGUAUUGUGAGUUGAUUUUUGAAAAAAAGAAAAUUUAAAAGAAAUACCUCGGCGUGACCCGAGACUCAACUCACCUCUCGCAAUAUGAGUUGAUUUUUUUGAAAAACAGUAACUUAAAAAUACCUCAGCGUGACCCGAGGCUCAACUCACCUCUCGUAUUAUGAGUUGAUUUUUGAAAAACAAAAAUUAAAAAAUAUAAUUCUUGAAAGAAACAGGGUUUCAAAACAUCAGGUGAAACUAAAGCCUUCUUCUUCGUUGAUUCUGUGCAACUUUCUCUCAGUAUUCCCUGCUCUACUAAGAUACCUGUAUAUGUCAUGUAUGAUGUUAUUAUGAUAUGCACGUGUUUGACCUAAAUGCUUUUAUGCCUACAUAAUCAUGCCAUGAGCCCUGGGCUGUUUGUCUCAUGCCUCCUUUUCGUGAGGGACUGCAUUCAUUGCCUCAAUCAUUGACUUCUCUCUUCGGUUUUGUACUCAUCUUCAAGUUUGUCGGGUGACCCACAUGUCCAUAUUUCCCCUUCUUGCCCCUUUUGUUGAACUUUGUUCCUGCUUUGGGGUCCUUGUACUUAUCAAAUUCUCAUCCAGGUAAUGCUCAACAUUCAUUUUGUUUAGAGUAUGUCAUCUUACUAUUUAUCAUUUAAAUGAAUCAAACACAAGAUGCAUAAAUAAAAUGGCAAAGUAGGCAUGAAAGAAAUACCUCACAUCCAUUUCAUUUUCAAAACCAUCAAACAAAGAAAAUUGACAAGGAAAAAGUUCAAAGAAAGCAUCAUAUAGAAAGGAAAGUGAAUUCAAUGGCCACAAAUGCUCUAGAUAUCCAACGUAUGAACUUCUCCACGUUUCUUCAUCCUGGAUCCUUUCGAGCACGGCUUCUUGUGUAGAAGAUUUCGAGCUUCUGAGAAUGCUUCAAAUAUUGCGACUUUGUCAUUCAACUCUCCGUUCAAGUCACUUUGCUCCUUUAAGCUCGAGCCCACUUCAUUAGGACGCCCUUUCAGGUUUCCAUCCUAAUUCUUUUUGUUUAUCAAAACGCCCUUUUCAGGUUUUCAUCUUGAUUUUCUUUUUCUUUUCUUUUUUCUUUUUUUGUUUUUGUUUUUGUUUUUUUUUGUUCUUUUUGUUCUUUUUGUUCUUUUAUUUUUUUAUUUUUUUUUUGUUUUUUUAGGCAUAAUAUUUCUUUACAGCAUCUGAGUUCACUGGAUUAGGUAACUCUUUCCCGUCCAUCUCAGUGAGAAUCAGAGCCCCUCCUGAGAAUGCCCUCUUUACAACGUAUGGUCCUUCCCAAUUUGGUGACCAUUUUCCUCGAAAGUCCUUCUGUAUUGGGAGAAUCUUUCUCAGUACGAGCUCUCCUUCGCGAAAUUCUCUUGGCCGCACCUUUUUAUCAUGGGCCGUAAUCAUUCUCUUCUGGUACAUCUGUCCAUGACAAAUUACCUUCAAGCGUUUCCCUUCAAUAAGGUUUAGCUGAUCAUAUCGAGCUCGAACCCACUCUGAUUCCUCUAACCUUGUCUCCAUCAAGAUGCGCAGGGAUGGGAUCUCUACUUCGAUAGGCAGAACGGCUUCCAUUCCAUAGACUAGAGAAAAAGGAGUUGCCCCCGUAGACGUCCGUACCGAGGUGCGAUAUGCGUACAAAGCGAAUGGUAGCUUAUCGUGCCAGUCUUUAUAUGUCUCAGUCAUCUUCCCAAUAAUCCUCUUAAUGUUCUUAUUAGCGGCUUCUACUGCUCCGUUCAUCUUUGGGCAAUAGGGCGAAGAAUUAUGAUGUUUUAUCUGGAAUUGCUCACAUACUUCUUUCAUCAUCUUAUUGUUCAAAUUUAAAGCAUUAUCUGAAAUGAUUCUUUCAGGCAGACCAUAUCGGCAUAUAAUCUCCUUUUUUAAGAACCUACAGACUGUAGCCUUUGUCACAUUAGCAAACGAAGUGGCUUCUACCCAUUUUGUGAAGUAGUCUAUAACCACAAAGAUGAAUCGAUGCCCAUUGAAAGCUUUCGGGGAAAUUGGCCCUAUAACAUCCAUGCCCCACAUAGAAAAAGGCCACGGAGAAGUCAUGACAUGAAGGGGUGACGGAGCUGCAUGAAUUUUGUCGCCAUAAAUUUGACAUUUGUGGCACUUUCGUGCGUAACCAAUGCAAUCCCUUUCCAUCGUCAGCCAAUAAUAACCAAGUCUCAUAAUCUGCCUGGCCAUGGUGAAACCACUGGCAUGUGUUCCACAAAUUCCUUCAUGAACCUCUUCAAGUAUCUUUCUAGCUUCAACAGCGUCCACGCACCUCAGGAGCACUUGAUCUUUUCCCCUUUUGUAUAGAAUAUCCCCGUCAAGAACAAAUCCAAUCGCCAUUCUCCUGAUUGUUCUUUUGUCAUUCUCGUUUGCUUGCUCGGGGUACCUUUGAUUCUUGAUAUACUCCAAGAUAUCAUGGAACCAUGGUCGUCCAUCUGACUCCUCCUCAAUACUAAAGCAGUGUGCGGGGGUCUCAUAUAUACUCAUUUGGAUGGGCAUUAUCUCAUUUUCUCUGUUUGCCUUGAACAUCGAAGCCAAGGUGGCUAGGGCAUCAGCCAGUUGGUUCUCCUCUCGUGGAAAGUAGUUAAAAGUCACUUUAUAGAACUCCUUGAUCAGCUCUGCAACGAGAUCAUGAUAUUUGACUAAUUUUGGAUCUCUCACUUCCCAAUCUCCACGAAUUUGAUAAAUGACUAAUGCUGAGUCCCCGUGUACCUCUAAAAUUUUGAUUUUUCACUUGAUAGCUGCACGAAGUCCCAUGAUGCAAGCCUCAUAUUCCGCUAUAUUAUUUGUACAGAAGAAAUUCAAUCUGGCAGUAAGCGGGUAAUGGUCCCCUUCAGGUGACACUAAGACUACUCCUAUCCCAUGCCCCAAUACAUUUGAUGCACCAUCAAAGCUCAUCUUCCAUGACUUUCCUUUUGAUGACUCGCCCUCUUUUUCUGAAAUACACAUCAAAUCUUCAUCUGGGAACUCAAAUCUCAAAGGCUCGUAUUCCUCCAUUGUUCGACUUGCCAAGAAGUCAGCUAUUGCGCUUCCUUUUAUCGACUUUUGGCUCACAUAUACAAUGUCAUACUCAGUCAAUAGGAUUUGCCAUCGGGCCUUUCUCCCUGAGAGUGCAGGUGACUUCAUCAUGUACUUUAUUGGGUCCAGUUUUGAAAUUAACCAUGUCGUGUGAUACAGCAUGUAUUUUCUGAGCCUUCGAACUGUCCAAAUCAAUGCACAACAAAACUUCUCAAUUGACAGGUACUUUGCCUCAUAUUCUGUGAACUUCUUGCUGAGGUAGUAAAUUGCCUUCUCUCUUUUCCCUGACUCAUCAUGUUGUCCCAGUACGCAACCCAUUGAGUUCUCAAACACGGUCAGGUACAAUAUUAAGGGUUUUCCAGGGGUCGGCGGUACUAGCACAGGAGAAUUAGAUAGAUACUGUUUUAUCUUGUCGAAGGCCACUUGGCACUCCUCGUUCCAUUCUCCCGGAUUACGUUUUCAAAGGAGUCGAAAAAUUGGGUCACACUGAUUGGUAAGUUGAGCAAUGAAUCGAGCAAUGUAAUUCAACCUUCCUAAAAAACCUCUGACUUCCUUUUGUGUACGCGGGGGAGGCAAUUCUUGUAUAGCUUUUAUCUUAUCUGGAUCAACCUCGAUACCUCUUUCACUAACAAUGAAACCUAGCAGUUUUCCUGAGGUAGCCCCAAAUGUACAUUUGGCCGGGUUAAGCUUCAACUGAAACUUUCUUAAUCUUUCAAACAACUUCCUAAGACUCCCAACAUGCUCUCUUUCUUCCCGAGAUUUGGCAAUCAUAUCAUCGACAUAAACUUCUAUUUCUUUGUGCAUCAUAUCAUGGAAUAACGUCACCAUGGCUCUCUGAUAUGUUGCCCCAGCAUUCUUUAAUCCGAACGGCAUUACCUUGUAGCAGAAGGUUCCCCACAUUGUUAUGAAUGUAGUUUUCUCCAUAUCUUCGGGAGCCAUCUUUAUCUGAUUAUAUCCUGAGAAACCAUCCAUGAAAGAAAACAGAGAAUGCUUUGCCGUAUUAUCCACCAAAGUGUCGAUGUGCGGUAAAGGAAAGUUAUCUUUAGGGCUUGCUUAAUUCAGAUCAUGAUAAUCCACGCACAUUCGCACCUUGCCAUCUUUCUUCGGCACUGGGACUAUAUUAGCUACCCAUUCUGGAUACUUUGAGACUUGUAGGAAGCCAGCGUCAAAUUGUUUCUUGACUUCUUCUUUUAUCUUUAACAGCAUUUCGGGUCUCAUCCUUCUUAAUUUCUGCUGAACGGGCUUGCAUUCUGGUUUCAGUGAGAGCUUGUGGACCACAAUAUCCGUGUUUAAUCCUGGCAUAUCUUGAUAAGACCAGGCAAACACAUCCUUGUAUUCAUGGAGCAAGGCGAUCAAAUCUUGCCUUGUGUUUUUUGAAAUCGAAGUCCCAAUCUUCACUUCUUGUUUCUCUUCUUCAUUCCCCAAGUUCACUACCUCAACAGAUUAUUGAUGGGGUAGGAUUUGUUUCUCUUCUUGUUCCACCAUUCUCAGUAAGUCAGGAGAUGAGACACAAUCUUCAACAUUUUCGUCAGCUUCGAAUUCUCCUAAACAAAUAACCUUCUCAAAAUUGAUUUCAGGAUUCAUAACGGGAUUAUUCAUGCCAUUGAUAUCUGAACACCUGAAAGGUGAAUGGAAAAAGGAUAUAGAAGAGUAUUGAGGUAUUGUAAUCAACACACAAUGAUAUGAGAUGAUAUGAGACAUAUGCCAGAAAAGGAUAUGAACAGAAGGAGUAGUCGCAAAGUUAAUGAAAAGAAUAUGACAAUAUAAAACAAAAUGCAUCUUCAUUAAUGUUCAUUGAAAUGAUAAAGAGCAAACAUAAGCUCUUACAAAAGGAACCCUACUGUUUAAGGACACACAAAAUGAAGGGUUAACAUUGAGCAUUACUCUGAAGGGGACUUAAAAACUACAAGGAGGUCCUCAGCAGUCCAGUUGUUCAAAACAUAUCCUGGAGGACAAUGGCGUAUCAUUGAAGCAUUCUUAAUUUCAUCAUUCUCAUUGUCAAUAGCAUUUAGGCUGAGAUUCUGAAGACCCUUUUCAAUCAAUAAUGUGGCUUGCAAAUUGUUCUGCCCUGGGUACAUCACUCCUGCUGAUGUAAAUGUUCUCGACAAAGGAGGAUACGCCAACGGCCCCCAUUCUAAUUCCUGGCCCGAAGCUCUUGCGAUUCUUCUUUCUCGAUUUUUCUGAAAUUGUUUUUAUCUUUGAUGUACAUCUGGCUUGAACCCCAAACUGUAUCGACCCUUAUGGUGCGUUGGUUUCAAAGCUCUAACCAUCCUUUGUUGAUAUUUUCCCAAACCUUUCCUCGCUCGAGCUCCUUUUCCCACAGUCAGCUUAAGUCCCAUCUUGGUAUUCCUCGACAGUUUGGGAAUGGGGAUCUUAUUCCCUUCAGUAACAAAUGCAGCAUUGAUAAAUUUCAAGAAGCGAAAAGAACAUUCUACAGCAUCUUCGCUUAUUUCGAUGUAGGGUGCAUCAGUAGAGAUAGAUGCGACGAUGUCUUCCUCGCCACCAACAGUAAUCAAACGACUAUCCAUGAUGAACUUUACUUUCUGAUGGAGAGAUGAAGGAACUGCCCCAGCAGAAUGGAUCCAAGGUCUUCCUAACAGGCAAUUGUAUGAAGGUGUGAUGUCCAUGACCUGAAACUCGAUAUCGUAUGCACAUGGCCCCACUUUUAAAGGAAUUUCGAUAUUUCCCAUGACCUCUCGCCGUGUCCCAUCAAAUGCCCUUACUAUAGAAUGACAAGGCCUCAGAUAGGACAUAUCAACCGGCAUCCUAGAAAGCGUGGCCAAAGGCAUAACAUUGAGUGCAGAUCCAUUGUCGAUGAGCACAUUUGGUAAUAUGUAACCUUUGCAAUUGGUUGUGAUGUGCAAUGCUUUUAUGGAGCCCCUUCCAUUUGGCGGUAUUUCGUCGUCACUAAAGGAGAUGAAAUUAUCUGCAUUUAGAUUAUUUGCCCACCUAUCAAGCUUUUCCACAGAUACAUUGUUCGCCACAUAAGCUUGAUUUAACACUUUUAACAAGGCAUUCCGAUGUGGCUCUGAAUUCAACAAUAGAGACAGUACCGAGAUACGGGCUGGCUGCUUGUUUAAUUGUUCUACAAUGCUAUAUUCACUGUGCUUAAUGAACUUUAAGAACUCACAUGCUUCCUCCUCAUUCACAGCCUUUUUAACUUCUUCCUCGGGUGGUAUUUCAACAUCAUCCUCAGCCUCAUACAUUGGUGCUUUUCUUUUUUGGCUCGGACCAGCAACCUUCUUCUUUGGCUCAACCGUCUCGGGAGAAUAACAUCUUUCGCUACGAGUAAAAUGUCCUACUCCGCUAACACCUUCACUCACAACCUUGGACUUUUCACCCUCAGGUACAAUGAUAUUGACAUCAUAAUUCUAAGGCACCGCCUUGUUGUCCUUAUAAGGGAAAGGAGCAGGUACUUCAAUUAUCAAACUUGGUUUAACUUCUCGACUAACUUCUUCCUUCUUUGUCCCGUAAUAAAUCACCAAAGGUCUAUCGACGCUAUAAAGGGAAGCCAUUGAUUGAUUAUUAGAGGCACAUAUUUCUCCUUCUUCGGCCCCCUCCACCCUAUCAAAGACCUUGACCUCUUUGUUAUCCAUCAUGUCUUGAAGUAAUUUCCUAAAUUCCUUACAAGAUUGGAUGUCAUGCCCUUGGACGCCAUGAAAAUCACAGAAACUCUGGUCUUUUGUACUUUCUUCUUUAAGAAUCUUACUAGACGGACAGAGCAAGCCAUUUUCAAUCAUCAUCUCCCAUACCUUCCGUAAAGGUGUCUUUACUUCGGUAACACAACCUUUGGCUUGACAAUUGUCUUCAUUUGUCACCGCAUUUACAUUCCCGUCAGUAUGGUUAGGAAGAGGAUUUCCUGUCACAUUGCUAACAUCGUCGAACCGUAGAACACCGGCAUCAAUAAGACCUUAAACCCUCCUUUUAAAAGCAAGACAGUUUUCUGUAGAAUGUCCCUGAUUCCCAGCGUGAUACAUGCAAUUAGCGUUAGGAUCAUACCACUUCGGGUAUGGAGGCUUCAGGGGUGCCAUGUAAUGUGGGGAUAUUAAUUGUUUUUCCAACAGCUUUGGGUAUAAUUCUCCAUAUGAUACAGGAAUUAGAGUAAACUGAGGUCUUUCAAGAUUGGGUCUUGCCGGUCUUUGUUCAUUUUUGGGUUGGCUUUGUACAGGUAUGGUGUUUGGCGGGAACACGGUGAAUGGUCUUUGGUUAUUCACAGCAUAAACGGGGUAAGAUAGGGGUGCUUGAUAGUAAGGACUUUGAGGAGGAAAGUAGAAGUUUGAAGGUGGGCGGUAAUGAGGUCGUGGUUGGGUGAGGUACGGAUUAGGGGUACAUUGGCUUUCAGUCCCAACCAUAUGGGCCUCUGCCUCCUUUUUCUUUGCGGGUACUGUCCUCUUCGAACUCUCAGGACCUUCCAUUCUCCCACUCUUGACGGCGUUUUCGAUAAGUUCCCCGGAUAUUACAAUAUCUGCAAAGUCCUUUGUGGCACUUCCCACCAACUUAUCGUAAAAUGGCGCUUUUAGAGUGUUGAUGAAGAGGACCGUUAUCUCUGUCUUAGUUAACGGAGGCUCCACUUGAGCCGAGAUAUCCCUCCAUCUUUACGCAUAUUACCGAAAAGUCUCUGUCGGCUUCUUUUCCAUCAUUUGUAAGGUUAGUCGAUCAGGCACCAUAUCUGUUACAUGCCUAUAUUGCUCACAGAAUGCUGAAGCCAAAUCCUUCCAUGAUCGGAUUCUCUCUCUACUGAGUUGAUUAUACCAUCGAAGGGUUGAGCCAAUCAAACUAUCUUGAAAGUAAUGCACCAACAAUUUAUCAUCGUUUACAUAACCAGUCAUCUUUCGGCAAAACAUGAUCAGAUGCGCCUUUGGACAUCUUGUUCCGUCAAAUUUCUCAAAAUCAGGUGCCUUAAAUUUUGGUGGUAGGACCAAAUCAGGUACCAAACUGAGCUCUUUGGCACUCAAAGCAGAGAAAACUUCAGCGCCUUCUACUGCCUUGAUCCUCUAUUCCAGGACUCUAUACUUAUCCUGAGCGUUAUUGUCAUCAAUUCUCAGCCUUGCUACUUCUACAGGAUCAUCUAGGUCUGGAACAAUUGGAUCUGAAGGAUUAGCCCCAGGGUUCGAUACAAACAUUCCUUGUCCUAAAUGAGCAGAUGGAGCAGGAUGUUGUUCCAGGCCUGUAGGUUCCCUUUGGGGGUAUCCUCUUUGCAUUGCGUGGACAUGAGGUGGAGUAAAUCCCGGGGGAUAAAGUGGGUCUUGAUUAGCUCUUGACUGAGGCGGUUCUACGACAUUAGGGCUCUGUAUAGGUCCCUUUCCUUUGACCAAAGCCGUCAUCAUUUCUAUCAUUUUAGCCAUUUGAUCCCUUUGCUCGAGCAAUUCUUCUCGAGAUCUCACCAUCAAAUCUCUUGCCUCUUGCUGCGACUUGGCCAGUUGCUCCUGCAACUCUCUUUGGGUUCUUUCCAUCCUUUCCAUCCUUUCAUUGAGUUCAGCAUCCAUAGCUCUAGCUCUUAAGCGCGUCCUAUAAGAGUGACGUGAUUCCAGACUCGUAGUGUAGUAACUGUGGAUUAGAUGGUUUUACCCUUAGCGAAUGAUUAAGGUGAUAUGAGAAUACAAUGAAUAAAUGAAUGAGUAACUAAUGAAUGUUAAUCAUGCGUAAAUAUGCAAAAAAGGGUGUUGAUUCCAAAAUGGCCCCAUACUUGGGCGUUUCAUUUAUCAAAAGAGUCCGUUACAAAAAGUUUUGCCAUCCUAGUUCAACAAUUACACGAAUUUCCUAGCCACAUCGCCUUGCUUCUUCAUACGUUCCAAGAACUCUGAUAUGCUUGAUCUUUGGCUAGGAGGGUAUUGGCAACUGAGAACUUCCGCUUCAUCUGAUAAUUGUACUAUUUGUGCAGCCGCCUUACGAAUUUCAUUGAUCAACCUACCGAGAUGCAUAUCCUUUUCUUGGAGGGCUCUUUCAUAAGCACGAAUGUCUCUGUCAUGCUGAUCAUUCUUCUCUUCUAAAGCUCUCAAGAGGUCAUCCAGAUGUUGCUGAUGAGCUUGCAGUGUACUCUCUAGACUUCAGAUUUUUCCUUUUAGCCCUUGAUGCUCAGACUGACUAGCCGUUAGUUCUGCAGUCACAGUUUCGUAUUCAACGUUCUUCUUCCUCAACUCUAUCAUAGCACAUGCAGCUCUUUCCUCUUCUUUCUUUGCUUUGGCUUUCCAGAAUUCCAUCCCACCUUUGAUAUUACUUAGUUCCUCUUUCCAUUCUGCUGAUGCUUUGCCCAAUCCACUAUUUCUUAUAGUGCCCCUUAAUUUCUUGUUUUCCAAAUGAAGGUCCCUUAAAUUCUUUCUCGUAACUUGAACUUCUUUUUGGACUUUUUCGGCUCUGGAUUUUUCAAUUUCGACAUCAAUCUUCAGCUGGUAGUUCUCCUCCUGAAGAGAUUAAUAUCUCGCAACAUUUUGGCCUUUUCACGUUCAAAUUCAUGUCUUGCAAUUUCUAGCUCGGAUGGGGUUUUCUCUGAGAACGGAUUCUGGCAAGCUUCAUUAAUUGGUGGGGUUACUUGACUCUUCACUCGUUGUUGCCUCCAUAGGUCAUAGUCUACAGUGAUAGUAUCAGCAUAUAGAGCCAAUUCCAUUAGGUAGAUUCGCCUCCAAGAAUUCGCAGUAUCUCAAACCUUUUUCAUGUAACCCUCACCCAUAAAGGCAAACUCCGAUUGUGCCAAUCCAUCGGUAACUGGUACAAACUGUCGCGAAGCGAACUGUCUUUAAACCAACAAUGGAGCAUAUCCAACUCCUCCCCAUAAUCCUAAUAAAGGUAUCCAGUCUUGGUUUCCACACUUGUAUAACAAGACAGAGGGACGAAUCCAAGGUGCUCUCCAAGUUAUAUCUUCGACACGGAGGUUCUGAAAGACCGAGACCCAGUGUUGUUCAGUGACAUCUUUCGGCCAAUCUUUUCCAAGGUGUGCUUCCAACGGGGCGAAUGUCUUUGAAAACAUGUGGAAAGGCGUACGCUCCACCCUCCAAAAAUGGCUAAAGAUCCAAACAUUCAGUAACUGAGCGCAUUCGAUAAAACGUCCUUCCCCUUUUCUCCUACAAGCAUUUAGAGAUCUAAAAGUCUCAGCCAAGAUGGCUGGGACCGGGUUAACUCUUUGCCUCAACUUUUCGAAGAAAUCCACAACCGCAACUUCAAUAUGCCCAAGAACCUUCGGGAAGACGACCAGUCCGUAAACAGCCAAGGCAAACAAAUCUACUCUUUUUAACACAUCUGGAUGAUUCUGAACUAACUCCCGCAGAGAAAACCACGGGACACAACUGACUUCAUUCUUCUUCUUUAUCUGUUUUUCAGCCCAUGUAUCAGUCAUUCCCGUCAACUUCAUUAGCUUUUUCUUGAAGGUCAUUGGUUUAGGCUCCUUCACAUAUAUCUUGUUGAGUUGCACAUUAUCGAUGCGAAGCAAAGCGGCAUACUCUUCUAUGGUCGGAGUCAUAUCUUCCUGAUUGAAAGUGAAACACUGAUAGGCUGGGUCCCAGAAUCGAACCAUGGCUUGGAUCAACUGCUCGUUCACAUCGAUUGCUAUCAAGUGAGCUAUAUCCCCAUACUUUUCAGUGGAGAUGCUUCUAGUAUCUGAGUCCCACUGCUUCCAAAUCCUAGUCAAGUCUUCGAGAUCAUUUUGACGAGCAUUCAAAGUCACACGCUCGGGAAGAUCAGAGGUGUAUCCUUCCUUCAAACUGUCCCCUUUCACUUUUUGAGUUCUCAAAGACCAAUCUCGGACUACAGCAUUUUUCUCGGUUACUCGUGUAAUUGACUCCUCCAUCAGAAACCCGUUUUUGGCAACCAAUAUUUAACCAACACCUUCCUAAUGAGAUGUCUACGAUGCAUGAUGGAAAAUAAGAUGAAAAACAAAUAACCUUGGUUAGAGAUCACAACAGAUAUAAACAAAAGAAAAAUGAAAAAUAAAGACUAUGGAAAAUUUAACAAAUUAAGCUAUUCAAUCAUGCAAUUUGGUGGAACAGACCCACAUUUUUUUUUGCCCCAACAUGCUUUACAAGAAACCUACCCCACAUACCAUCAGACCAUCUAUCCGACCCAAUUUAUUGAAUAGACUCAAUUUAUCUGCAAAUAAGUGUAAAUGUAAAAGAAAUAAAAGGUAAGAGGCGUUUCUCCCGUGCACUUAUUUUGGUAACUAUCAAACGGACAGAGGUUCUGUAUGGCUCUACUCGGGUGGCCUAUACGGUUCACUAUAUGUAGUUUCGGUUUUAGAAAGGUACUCGAAUUGUCCAUACUAUCACCUACUAAGGUUAGUACAGAGCUUCGGUUAUCGCCCGUCAGGGCUCGCGAGCUCAAUUCGAGGGAUUACAUUUACUUAUGCCUAUGCGGAGGGACAAGUUAACUCACGAAAGCAUAAGUCAUAUGUAACCCGAAAGUAAUUACUAGCCUGUGCGGAGGGACGAGUUAACUCACGAAGGCGUAGCGUUUACUUCCACUUAAACGGACAGAGCCCGGGUAGAGAGCUCAUGUUAUGCAAAAAAUGCAAGUGCACUGUGUGUGGAGAGAAACUCACAAACCUUUUUAUUUUUACUUUUACUAAAAAAAACAAACUAAAACCAUAAAACUUAAAGCUGAAAAAAACACGAAAAUAAAAAAGGUUAGAAAAAUAUUAAUUUCAAAACUGAAUACGGAUGCAUGAUUUUUUUCAAAACAAAAUUCAAGGAUCACGAUUAAAAAUUAAUUUGAACAAGAAAAUUUGAAAAUUUUGACAACACACGUUUAACAUCAGACUCGACUCUCAAAAAAAACUCCCCAGCGGAAUCGCCAGCUGGAGCGACCUAAAAAUUUCUGGGCACGGGCGCUAGUCGAAGUAAUUAUUUAAGGUUUGAAAACAGUGUCUCGAUUUUAUUCGAAAAAGGGAGUCGCCACCGAUCUUUUUUUUUAGGUGUGAUCGGACACCUACAAAAUUCUCUUUUUAGAAGAAAAAUUUAUUUUUAAGCUUUUCUAAAAAGAGGUAAUUUUAGGUCCACGUAAAAAUCAAGAGAAAAUUAGGGUUCUGGAGUCGGUUACGCGCGAGGAAGGUAUUAGCACCCUCGCGACGCCCAAAAUUGGUAUCUCGUUAAAUGCAUGUUGUCUUAACUUUCAAAAAUACGAGUUCCAUUUAAUAUUUAGUCAUGAUCCGAUUGAAACACGAGAAUUUUGAAACACAACAACCCCUUUUUUUUUUUUGAAAACACGAAAUUUUUUUAAAACGCAAGAAUUUUAGAAACACAAAAAUUUUCUUUAAAAAAACACGAAAAUUUUGAAACAUGAGAAUUUUUUCAAAACACAAAUUUUCUUUUUGAAACACGAAAAUUUUGAAAACACAAAAAAUUUGAUAAAUUACGAAACAUGAGAUUUUUUUGAAACACGGAAAUUUAUGAAACACGGUCAAUUUUUGAAAACACAAAAAUUUUUGAAAGACGGGUUUUUUUUUUGAAAACACGAAAAUUUAUAAAACACGGAAAUUUUUUCUGAAAACAAGAAAAUUUUCGAAAAACGAGAAUUUUUGAAAACACAAGAAAUUUUUGAAAACAUGAAAUUUUUUGUUAAACUAGAAUUUUGAAAACACGAAGAUUUUUGAAACAUGAGGAUUUUUGAAAACACGAAGCUUUUUGAAACAUGAGAAUUUUUUGAGAACAUGAAAACAUGAAAAUUUGUCAAACACGGGAAUUUUUUGAAAACACGAUAACAUCAAAGAGUAUUCAAGAGAGUUUUUUGAAACACGGAAUUUUUUUUUGGAAAAAAGAAACACGAAUAUAUUUUUUUGAAACACAGGAAAUUUUUUGAAAAAAAGAAACACGAAUAUAUUUUUUUGAAACACGGGAAAUUUUAUUAUUAUUAUUUUGAAACACGAGAAAUUUUGAAGACAUGAAAAUUUUUGAAACACAAUUUUUUUAAUAAUACCAUAUUUAAUACGAAUCGAUGAUAUUCACCCCGAUAUGGCGAUGAAAUCGUCGUAUUAGUGUCAAAACAAAUCAAAUUAAUAUUUAAUCGGGAUUCUAAUAAAACACGAGGAUUUUUAUUAAAACACGAGGAAUUUUGAAUAUUUUCUAUUUUUAGAAGGGCGUCCCGUAUUUAACACGAGCCAUCAAUAUUCACCCAACAUAGAGAUGAAUUCAACGGCUUGAUGCUAAAUCGGUUCGUUGCCUUAUGCAUUAAAAUAUUUUUCUAUAAAAAAAUGCAAAUAAAAUUACAUAUAAUAAUAUUUCUAAACUAUUAAAAAACUAAUUUAAUUGUAAUGGGGAAAUAUUUAAAUAAAUGGACUUAAUUAGAGUGGGUUUAAAAAAUUACCAAAAGCCCAAAGUUAUGGGCUUGAAUUUUGGGCCUCCCUUUUUCUUUUUUUUUCUCUUUCUUUCCUGGGCUUUGGGCUGCCGGACUGGGCCGAGUCUGCUGGCCCGCUGGUUGCUGGAACAGGCUUGCUACCGCUGCUGGAUCGGGUACAGGCCUUCGUGCGGGUCGGGUCUACCUCCUGGACUGGGUCGUGGCCUGCUGUCACUGUUGGGCUGCUCUGCUGCGCGUGGGCCUGGGCUGCUGCUUAGCUGCUGGAGUGGCCUGCUGUUGGCCUGCCCAAGAUGGCCUAUUGCUUGCUGGGCCGGUCUGCCACUACUGCUGGUGUGGGUGGCCUGCUGCUGGCUUGUUGCUGGCUGCUGGCUGGGUCAGAUCCGGGUCGUCGGGUCGGGUUGGCCCGGCUGUUAUUUUUUUCUUCUAUUUUCUUCUUUCUUCUUUCUUCUUUUCUUUUUUCCUCCUUUUUUUUCUUUCCUUUUUCUUUUUCUUUCUUUUCUUCUUCCUUUCAAACCCUAGCCGCCGUCUUUUGCUUGGUGGCGCGACGGUGCCGGCGCUUCUCCCUUCUCCCUUCUCCUACUCUCUCUUCUUUCUCUCCUUUUCUUUUUCUUCUCUUCUUCCUCUCUUCCUUACUUCUUUACUGUUUGGGUUGCUGUUUUUUUUUGUUUUCUCUUUGCUUGUUUGUAUAGGUGCGACGGUGGUGGUGGUGUCACAACGGCGGUACGACGACGGUGGUUGCGGGAGGAUGGUGGUGGAGGCUUUCAGCUUGCUGCUAUUUUUUUAUUUUUGAAUUUUCUCUGCUCUUUUUCUUUUGGUUGCCGAAAAACCUUUUCUUUUUGUUUCGGUUUCCCUUGGCUUUCUAGGUGGCGGUGCGGUGGUUGCGGUGGCGGGGUAGUGGCACGACGGUGGCGAUGGCUUUUGGGCUGCUGUUGUUUGGAUUUUUUUGAGUUUUUCUCUACUCUUUUUUUAUUUUUUUUUGGUUGCUAUCCGACCCCCUUCCCUCUCUUUUGAUUUUCUUUUUAAUCUCUUCAUUUUUUUGUCCUCUUUCUUCUUGUUUUCAGAUGGCAUGGAGGUGGGGAGCAUGGCUGAUUGGCGGUGUCAGGCGUAGGGUGCGGUGCACGCCCGGAUGCUGGUUGGGGAGCAGUCUUGUCAUGCCCAGAAGGACUGAAUUGUAGAGUGUGCAAAGUUUUUGGGGCAAAAAUGUGAUUUUAGGAAAAUAUAGGGCCAAAAUGUAAUUUCUAGAAAGUUUAGGGGCCAACUAUAAUUUACAAAAUAUUAGGGGUCAAGAUGUAAAUUUAGAAAAAGUUGGGGGUCAAAAAAUAAUUUUUGAAAAGUUUGGAGGCCAAAAUGUAAUUUUUAUUUUUUGUAUUUUUUUUAUUUUUAUUUUUUUUUCAAAAUUUUAUUAUGACUAUUUUAUUAAUAUUUAAAACAAAAAUUAAAAACGGACUAAAGCAAUUCCAAAAUUAAAUCCUAAUGGGCUCGAUCAGUGGGCCCAUACGAGACCGACCCGGCCCAAAAUUCAAACCGGGCAAAAUUCAGUGAUUACAGUUAUUUUAUUAUCUUAAUUAUUUUUCAAAAUUAAUAGAAUUUUAUUAUAAAUUAGGGCAGUUCUCAUUUAAUUAAAAAGUUUAUAUAUAUUAAAAUUAUAAAAAUAUAUUAUUUAGUAAAUUAAAAAAUAAACAAAUACAUAGUUUAAUUAACAGUAAUAUUGUAUUUUCUCCAUUAUGUGGUAUUUUCCCUAUAAAUACAUAGUUUUAGGUUUAUACCUAGAGUUAGCCACCUUAGUAUUAUUUUGCUUUAGUGUUUUCUUUUGUCCAUGAAUUUCUAAAUCAUCUUUUCUAGUCAAAGGGAUUUUGAACUUUGAUUGUAAUAGUUUGUAAGAUCUAAUUGCUCUUCAUCUAUUCUUUGUUCUUUAGCGCUUGCAUGUGUUCUAUUUUAAUUACAAAUAUUCAAGUUUGUUGGAUAUUGGUACCAUAUUCAAUUGCUUAGAACAUAGUGACAAAUAACAUGAUUACAUAUAAACUAUGUAUGCAAUUCAUGUUAUGUGGAUACCCGAUUUAAUCUAAAUGAACCCCGUUGGUGUGUGUUAGUUGGUCAGAAAUAGGUUUCUCUCAUUCUUAAUACUACCUAUAAUUAAGCUAAAUCCUAGGCACGAAGUUAUAGGGCCUCUUGGUUAUCGAAAGGUAAUGAGAGAUUGUUUAUAUGGUUCUUAAUGCUAGGUGCGACAUGGGCAACUAUAACUAAUUUAUUAAAAACACUAAAAUUAUAUUUGCAUCAUUGAUCAAACUCAUGAAUCAAAAUUGAGAUUUUACCUUAGUUAGACUCUCAUUAUAUUGAUUUUGCUAUAUUUUAUUUUGCAAUCUUUUUCUUUUACAAAGUUUUAAUUUUAAUUUUAAAAAUCCUUAUUUUUAUUUUACUUGUUUUUUUAAAGAAUUAGAACAAUCACUAGUCUUUGUGGAUAUGGCUCUACUCACAGUCAUCUACAAAUUUAUUUUUUUAGUAAGAAUUUAUUUUUCUAGGUCACAACAACCAUACAACUUUUGACACCAUUGUUGGGGAUUGGUGUCAAUAAUUUUAUUUCCUUUUAAAUUCAAAUAAGAAUUUUCAAGAAGAGUGAAUGAGGUAAAUAUUUCUUUUUCCUAAUAAUCAUUGAGACCAAACGAUAACAUUAAUGAUGACCUUGAUAUUUGUGGGUGUCGAAAUAUCCCUUAAAAAAAUGUAUUUCAAAUUUUAACUUUCCUGAAAACAUAUAUUAUAAAUAAUAAAAUAUCUAAUAACAUAGUAAAAAAAAUCCAAGUUUUGGUUCCCCUAUAAUCGAUGGCCCAGUUUGCCUUUAACGAGCACUACACCAAAACAGGCUUUUAGCGGCGUUUGAAUAAAAAAUGCCUCUAAAGAUCGAGCAUUAGCGACUCUUUUCGGAAAACGCCGCUAAAUAUCGAACUUUAACAUCGCUUUAUGGAAAACGCCGCUAAAUAUAAGCAUUAGCGGCGUUUUCUAAAAAGCGCCGCAAAAAACCUAUGCUUUCGGGGUUUUAGCGGCGUUUUUAAUGAAGCGCUGCUAAUGCUCAGGGCUUUAGCGGCAUGUUUUGGGAAGCGCCGCUAAUGCUUAGGGCUUUAGCGGCGUUUUUGAGAAAGCGCCGCUAAUACUCUAUUUUUAGCGGCGUUUUCUAAAAUGCGCUGCUAAUGCUCAGGGAUUUAAAAUAAUCUAAAAUAUUUUUUAAAAAUGGAAAAAUUAAAAUACUAUAAGUUCUUUUAAACAGAAUAUAUGGCAUAACCUAUAAUAUGGAAUAAAAGGCGGCAUCACGUGUUAAUUUAAUUUAAUUAUUAUUUAAAAAUUUAUAUAAAUAAAAUAGACAUAAUGAUUUAUUUAUCCUUCUAACUUUACAAAAAAACCAUUACAACCCUUUAUUUAAUUUUUAUCUUUUUAACCCUUAAAUUUAUAUUAUUUAUUAAAUCAGCUCAAAAUAGAUGGGAAAAUUAUUCUUUAUUAACUUUACUAAACAUGGAAGCCAAAGGCCCUGAAAUGAAAACAAUUUUCACCAAAGCGUUUUUAUAACUUAUACACUUUUAAAUUAAUAAUGAUAAAAUUACAUGUUAACCCCCUAAAAAUGAUAAAAAUUUUAUUUAAUCCUUAUAAAAAUAUAAUUAAAAUGGUAAAAUUACAUUUUUAACUAUCCUAAAAUAUACAAUUUAAUUCCAUCUCCUCCAAAAAAUAAAAAUAAAAGAAAAACAUUACCGUUAACCCAGUUCAUAGGAGGCUGAAAGUGAUACCCGGUUCGAUGAAGUUGUUUUACAGUAAAUGCAGUUUUAGAUUAUAAAUGUGGAUGAAUCUUAUGAAAUGCUUCAACGAUGCCAUUCUUACUUAUUAUCUCACAAAAACACCCAAUUAUUAAAUAAACUAACAAAAUAUUUUUUGUAAACUCCAUUGAAAUUUCGAAAGCCGAAUGUUGAAACAGGAUGGUGAUUCAUUUAUAUAGGACUGAAAUUUAACAAUUUCAAAAAAAAAAUAUAUAUUUUAAAAUGUUUAGAUAAAAUAGUUUUUUAUUUGAAUUUACCAGUAAUUUAUAAUAUCAACAUUAAAUCUACAAUUCUUGAUUUUCUUUUUUUAAAAUAAUUAAAAUUUUAUUCUUAUAGUAUUUAAAUAAUUAGGGAUUAUGAAUUGUGGUUUAUGGUUUAAGGGUUGGGGUUUAAGGUUUAGGGGUUAGGGGUUAGGGGUUUAGGGGUUAGUGCUUGCUGAUUUUUUUUAUUGAUCUUCUACCCCUUGUACCUGGAUCCGACCUGACCUGGAUUGUUCCUUGUGUUCUUUUUCUGCUUUCUCAGCAGGGAGAUCCCAUUCUGCAGACAAAGAAGAACACAAAAGAUCAAAGGUAAUUUUAUUUCAAUUUGAUCCAUUUUUCUUGGUUAUCUUUUCCGUGUUUUUUUAUUUGUAAUUUGUUAUGUUUUCUGGGUUUUGCUUAUAAUGUCUGCAUUAAUAUUCAUUUCACAUUUUUUGUUUGUAUUUGCUUUUGUUUCUUUUUCCCAUCACAAUCAAAGUUCUAAACUAAUUUUUUCCCUGUAAUUUCAUUUUUAGAUUCAAAGUUUCUUUUUUUUUUUAAAUUUUUUUAUUAAUAGCAUUGACUUUUAAUAUUUAUUUUGAUAGUUUUUUUGGGGGAAGUGUGGGGGGGGGGGUCAGCAUAUUUGCUUUUGAACAUAAGAUUGAUUCUGCCUGUGUUGUGUAUUUGCCAAAUUCCAGUCCUGGAUUCAAAGUUUGUAUGUGUUUCUUACCAUUUUCUAAGAAAUAAAAAAUAUGUUAUUAAUAUUGUCUUUGUUAAGUCUUUUUCACAUAAUAUUCUUUGAAGUUUGAACAUUGUUUUGCUCCUUUUCAUUAUGGAAAAACAAAUCUUUUUUUUCCAAUUUAGUCUUUGUUUUUAAUUAUUUUAUAUAAUUAAAUUACUCAAAGUUUAUUUCCCUUUUUUUGAUCCAAACUUUUCUUUUGUACAAAAUUACUCUCUUUCUUAACUUUUUAUAUUAUAUAUAUGUUUUAUAAUAUUAGCUUUAGCUCUCAGUUUUCACUUUCACAUUGAGUUAUUUGAGCAUUUUUCAUAUUUCUUGCUAAUGUGGGACAGAUUUCAUUUUCUUAAAAGGAAAAAAAUUAUGUUGUUUUUGUUGCCUCAAUCCUCUUUAUUUGUCUCUUUAACCUCAUUGGAUAUGGAGUCUAUGUUGUCUUUUCUUUUCAGUUUUUCCAUUUUAGAUUUAUAGGUAAACUUCAAAGUGGUUCUUCUUCAAGUUAAAACAGUGGGGUUUUUUACAUUGAUCAUCUUAAGUUUUCAGAAAAUAUUUUUCCUGUUGAUUUGGAUUUUUUAAGGUUAUUUUUGUCUUUCCUUCCUAAAAUACUUUUUUUUGGAUGAUUUAAUGAAUAUGGCAGGAUUAAGCUUUAGAAAUCCAUGAUUAACUGAGGACUCUAUAUUGGGUCCUCAGUUCAGUUGUUUAAAAUCUAUAUAUUUUUUUAUAAUAUGCUAUGUUAUUCGGACUUGGAUAUGUCCUUGGAGGAUCAUAUCCCGGUACUUUUGUUUGCAUAUGUGCUGGACACAGAUGCUUUAAAUAAAAUGAAGAGUGCUUGCUGUCAACUAGGAGUUUUGAUGAUUAUGAUCAUGAUUGUUUCAUAUAUAUAUAUAUAUAUGCUCUAUUUUUCACCUAUAGUAACAUUAAUUUUGUAAAGAUAUUUUCUUCAAUUCUGAAACUGCUUUAAUAUCUCUUAUCUUAAAAGUUUUGUUUAUCUUGGUAAACUUAAUUUUGCAGCUGCUACUGGAUUUUUUGAGCUUCUCUGCUUCUAGCUUUUCAUCUAUGGCCAGAUACUCAGUUGUGACUGAUAAGGUCUCAAUAGAGGUUGUUGAAGAAUUCAUUCUAGUACAGUUGAAUCUGACAAAAGGCACAAUAUCUGAAAUUAAGGUACCUAAUUCUUUUUUUUCCUUCUUAGCCAUUAAUCAUUAUUGAGUGUUGACAUGGGGGAUCUAUGCUACUAUAUCUAUGUUACUCUAACUCAUCAUUUUUUCUGAAGUGCUCAUGUUUGACACUUGUGUUUGAUGCAUAUUUGGACAUGGAUACAUGAACAUGAUCCUCCAAAUAUAUGAAAAUCCUUAAAAAAGUUGAGCAUACCUAUGUGGGAUAUAUACCUUAUCUGAAAAUAAAGGUUAUGCCUUUUUAAAAACCUGUUUAAUACAUUAUAUAAAUUUCUUCUUAAAAGUUUGUUAGGGCUGAAGCAUGCAUUAGUCUACUAUAAUUUGCUGCAUAAAUGGAAAUUAGCUAGGUGUCCACUGCACAACCUUCAAUUAGACUUUACAUAAAAAAAUUCAUUAUUCAAGGCAAACUGCCUGGCUUGCUGAAAAAUGAUAGUUACAAACUGCCUUCAUUUCUCCCAUAAAGAUCUGCCGAAAUAUGUUUCAUCUAACAAGAUUUUGAUUGACAGCACAUUCAUUUGACAGGAUAAUUUGGAAACCCUGUUGCAAGAGGACAUUCAGGCUGAUCUAGUCUGCUGCUUGCAGCAUUUGCAGGUAUUUUGUGUAGUUUAAGUUGUGAACAUUGGGUUUUGAUUUGUCAUGUGAACAAAUAUGAUGAAUCUGAAGUGCAUUUCUAUUCUUCUAUUUGCAGUUAAGAUUUGAAAUUGAAGACAAAGCAAGGAGACCUCUAAGUAAUGUGUCAUUUUUGUUGAAACCAGGGGGUUAUUUUUUCGGUAUUACUCCUGAAAAAGUGAUUGCCAAAAACUGUUGUUUCUGGAUUUAUGUAUUUUCCUUUUUUUUUCUUGUGAUUACUGCUGCACCUGUUUCUGGGAGGUGAUUGUGUAAACAUUUUAGUGUGCUUUAAUUAUUGUAAGAAUAUUAAAUUUUAACAUUGUUAAUUUUAAUAUUAUUGUAAGAAUAUUUUGAAUUAUAAUUCAGUUAUCAAUUAAUAUCAUAUAUCUUUCAUUGAAUUUGAAGUAUCAUUUAAAUUUACUGUUUUUGGUUGGAUUUUAUGUUACAAGAAGAUUUGUAUAUGGAUGAAAAUCGGCAAAUUUGUCAAAAUUAGUGGCGUUUUCCCAUAAACGCCGCUAAAGUACGUACUUUUAGUAGCGUUUGUGAUGAAAGCGCCGUUAAAGAUAAUGUUCUCUAGCGGCGUUUGUGGGUCAAGCGUCGCUAAAGGUCAUGUUCUUUAGCGGCGUUUGUGUGUAAAGCGCCGCUAAAGCUCAUGUUCUUUAGCAGCGUUUGUGGGUAAAGCGCCAUUAAAGGACAUGUUCUUUAGCGGCGUUUGUAGCUAAAGCGCCGCUAAAGGUUAUGUUCUUUAGUGCGUUUGUGGCUAAAGCGCCGCUAAAGAUUAAGUUCUUUAGCGGUGUUUUUUUCACAUAAACGCCGCAAAAGUUAGCGACGUUCUCAAUAGCGGCAUUUUUUGCGGCGCUUUUGUGUAGUGGAGGAUGAUGAGGAAAGUCUUGACGAUGUUGUGGAUAGCUCGGUUCAAGUUUAGGGUGCUUCUAAUAGUGCUAAUGUUUCUUCUAUUGUUCCAUCGACUGGGAAUCCUUCUUCUAUUAGUGUAGCUGCUGAUACAGUUACCUCUACUUCAAUAAGAGAUGAGACAAUACAGAUUGCCUGGGUCAUGUUUAGUCUUUUUGUAAAACUUUGGUAUUUAAUGCAAACUUUAUCCCUUAUUUGGAUUCCGUGUUUAUGUUAUGCAUCCUUGCAUUUCUUUAUCAACUUAUUGUAUUGAUCUUGUGUAGCUUUAUCAAGCUUUUAUUUUUACUACUUGGAAGAUGUAGGGAAUUUUAUUCUUUCCUUAUUUGUUGUAUUGUGCUUUUAGAUUAACUUAGUGAGAAGUACCCUUGGCUAAGUCUUUCAGAAGGCUAGUAGUUUUAUUUGCUAUUAAUUUAACGGGCAGUAUCCUUGGAGGGUCUGUGCUAAAUUAAUGGGCAGUAUCCUUUUUUAGUUGCAAUGUGACACCUCACACUCGAUUCGGACGACGAAUUUAUAUAUAAAACAUCACAUUCAUUAUCGAAACAACUCAAACAAACAAGAAACUGACGUCAAAGCCAAAUCAAGAAGCAUAGCACAUAAUUCAUAAUUUCCAAAACGCUAAUAAUUAAUUUGUAACUUUUUUUAAUAUAGUUAAUUUAAUGACUAAUGCCGUAAUUAGUCUCACUUAAAAAGAGCCCACCAUUUGACUUGACGCAGAGGUCAAGAGAUAUCUCUAAAAAUGGGAAGCAAUAUAUGAUGUUUAUGGUUGAUAUUGUUCUAUGUGAGGUGUUCAAAUGGUUGAUUGAUCAGUUAACUAAAUCGAACUAGUAUUAAUUGAAUUAAUCUAACUUUUUAAUCUUUAACUGUUAAUUAAAUCGAUUUUUUUUCAAAAAGAUUAACCGAACAAAAAAUAUUUCAAUUAAUUCAAUUGGUUAACCAAAAUUUAUAUAUAUUUUUUGUUUAAAAUGAAUAUAAAACAUAUAAAAAAAUUGAUAAUGUUCAUUUGACUGAAUUAACCUAAUUAAUCAAAUUAGUAAUAGCCUAAUACAUAUGACAUAUAAUAUUAUUUAUUAAGUUCAGUUAAUUCGGUUAAUUACUCGAUUUCGAACUGAAUUAACCAUUAACUGAAAUUCCAAAAAUCAUUUAAUCGAUUUUUAACCAAAUUAAAUCAGUUAACUGAUCAAUUAACCGAAUUAAAUCAAUUUAAUCAAUUAAUUUAAUUUUAACCGAAACUUAAACACCUUUUUUAACUCUAUGAAUGCCAAAAUCCAUAUAUAGACUUAUUUCGGAUGUUAGAAUUUUCCACCAAAAACCAAGUCUUUGUGGAAUUAAAGUUUUGUUGCUAAGACCCACUGGAUUUUUCAUAACCACUAUAAUUAGAUUAGAACUAUCUCUCCGCGUAUGCUCGAGUUUAAAAUUUUUUAAUUAAAUUUUAUUAAUCUAUUUUUUAAUUAUUAUAAUAUUAACAUAGAAAUUAAAAUUGUGAUUAUUGUUUAUAAUAGAAUAUAAAGUCUUAAAUUAUAAUGAUAAAAUCAUGGAGAAGAUAUUUUAAUUUAAAAAAUGUAUAAAAUUUAUAUAUUAUCUCUUCAAUAAUUUAAAUUAUAAUGAUAAUUUUUAUAUAUUAAAAUUAAUAUAUUAUCUCUUUUACAAUUACAUAAAAAAUUAUAUUAAUAUAUAAAAAUGAUAAAUUAAAAGAAAUUCUCUUUUAAUUGUUUGCCAUUAGAUAUCUAGUGAACUGAUGCCACUAAUUUAACUCUCAAAAAAUGGAAGUUUGAGAAAGCUAAAGGUUGUUAAAUUAGACAAAAAGAAACAAGAAGCCAUGCCAAUAAUUCCGUUAACAAUUUAACCGGACCAAAGUAGAACUAAAUGAUAACAUUAAUGAUGAAAUUAAAAGUUUUUUGUAGUUCAAUGACAAAACAAAAAUACGCUAAUAAUUGAGCCAUUCAUUGUGCAAUUUAGACUUAAUUUAUUUUUGGAAGAAAUUGUAUUUAUGUGAUAAUAAUAAAUUUUAAAAAAAUAUUUAUUUUGUCAAAAAUUUGUAAUUAUAAUCAUUUAAAUAUAUAUAAAAAAGUAUCCAACAAAUAUAUCAAAUUAUUGCAAUAAAAGGAUGAAGAAAUCAUAAUAUAACAAGACACCAAUUAGAAAUAACUUCAUUUCAAAUAUAAAUGAAAUUUAAUAAUGAAACAAAUUUUAUUAAAGGCAAGGACUAAAUUAAAAAAAUUAAAAUCAAUUAUAGACUAAGGGUGAGUUUGGAUGGGCGGUGUGUUUACCUGUGGUUAGAGUAAAAACAGCGGUGGUGGUGAGAUUAGAUACUGUAGCGAUACUGUAGCGUGAGACAAAAAAUAAGUUAAACGCACCGCACCGCACCCAAUCGCCCAUCCAAACUCACUCUAAGAUAUGAAUAUAUAAAUAGUGAAAAGCGUAAUCAUAAACUUUUAAAAUAAAAAUAUUCUAGAAAGCAAUUAUUUCUAAAAAGUAAAAAUCAUCCACCCUCUUUUGUUUAUUAUACUUUUAUAUUGAAUAUACUAUGUCUUUUUACUUGCUGAAAAGGUUACAAAGUUAUCAUAAAUUUCCUAAAAUCUUAUAGCACUUUUCCAAAGAUCCAAUACAGCAUGAUACAAUAGCUGAAUUAUACCAUUAAUUAUUAAAUUAUAGAUAAUCAAACAAGAUUAUAAUUUAGUCAUUAAUAUUUUCAAAAUUAUUUUUAUGGUCACCUGAUUAAGUGGCACUUUUUUUUGUUAGUAUGAUAAUAAUUUUAUUCUUUGAUUUUUCUAUUAAUUUGACUCUGAUUCUAAAUAAAAAUUAUAAAUAAAUAAAUAAAAAGACAAUUUCAAAAAUAGUGGUAAUCAAAUUGUAACGUUUUUAGUUUAAUGUCAAAAACAAAAAUUUAUCUAUAAUUAAUUUAACGCAUAUAUACCCUUUAUUUUUUGAAAGGAAAUCUUACUUAAAAAUAUCCCACCACUUGACUUACACACAAGUCAAGUAAGGAAAGCAAUAUUUGAUGUUUACUGUUGAUAUUAUUUUAUGAAUGCCAAAAUCCAUAUAUAGACUUAUUUCGAGUGUUUGAAUUUUCCACCAAAAACGAAGUCGCUGUUGAAUUAAAAUUUUGGUGCUAAGACCCACUGGAUUUUUCACAACCACUUUUAUUAGACGAUAAUUAUCUCUUCACGUAUGCUGGGGUUUAAAAAUUUUUAAUUAAUAAAUAAACAGAGAUAAUAAAGAACAAAGAAUAUGAGAGUUAACAAAAGAGAGUGUGUGUUUUAUUGAUCAAUCAGAAUAUUUACAAAACUUUUUCAAAAUCUUUAUUUAUAGGUAUAAAAAGUAUAAAUGAAGUAGAGAUCUCCGGAUGACUAUUAAAAUUUAAAGUACAUCAAAACUUUUCUCGGUUUUAAUGGAUAUCCGUUUAAUAAUAUAUCCAAAACAUUUAUUUAUUUUUAAAAAAUAUUAUAAUAUUAACAUAGAAAUUAUAUUUGUGAUUAUUGUUUAUAAUAUAAUAUAAUAUAAAUGAUAACAUCAUGGAUAAAAAUAUUUUAAUUUAAAAAUUGUAUAAAAUUUAUAUAUUAUCUCUUCAAUAAUUUAAAUUAUAAUGAUAAUUUUUAUAUAUUAAAUUUAAUAUAUUUAAUCUUCCUUUAAACGAAACAAAUUACUUGUUGAGUUAUUGUAUUUAUUCUAUGAAUUAAUUUUAAAUUUUAUUUGUUAAUCUUCACAAAAUUAUUAGACACUUUGAGCAGUUUAGAAAAUCAUUUAAAAGUAGAGAAAUUCUAUUGAAGAAUGAUAUUUUUGAUUAUUGAAAAUAUUUGCUUAUUGAAGAAUGAUAUUUUUGAUUAUUGAAAAUAUCUGCUUAUUAUCAGACGGAUGAUAUUUUAAAAACUCAAACUAAUAAAACAAUAAUUUGAAACAGUGAAGAAACUUAUAGAAAGGGUGUAGCAAGAGAGCUAGAGGGUUGACACCAGAAGUCAAGAGAUAUCUCCAUAAUGGUCACUUGUGUUGAGUGGUCUGGGGUGAUUGAAUUUUGUACAUUGAAAACGAAGGUAGAGGACAAUUGCUUUCUUGUCACUAUUGCUACAAAUGCCAUUGAAUUUCCACAAGAAAUUUAUCCCAUAUUUAGUUAAGGGAACCUCACUUGACUUGACACGUGACACAAGUCAAGAUAUAUCUCUGAAUGUAAGUAUUAUAGAUUUUUAUUUUUUUUCUAUUAUAUCAAGUAAAUUUUUUAUAUUUAUGUCAUGUAAUUAUAUUAUGCAGUAAAACGUACAAGUCUAAUUCAUAAUGACUUUCGAUAUUGCCUCACGUAUCAUCAUGCCUAUGCUAUUUUUGUAUUAUCCUUGUUUUGAAGGCUAUAUAUAUUUAUAUAAAUUUUGUUUUAGGUAGAUUUUAACAUGUUUUUUCUUCAUCUCAAGUACAUUUUUUUUUAUUUUUUUUUUCAUAUUUUAGUUAUUGAAUGUUGGGCUUAAAAUAUUAUAAACAUUCCUAAUUAUAUAUUAAUUUUACAUUAAGUUUUAACAGAUAAAUUUAGCAUUAUUAUAUUAUACUAUAAUAAAUUUCUUAGGUCAAAAUUAUCUUUGAUUUUUUAUCCAAUUAGAUAUUCCUACACCUUUUUUUUUAUUUCUAAUAACAAAUUCAAAAUUAUCUAUAUCUAUCUAUAGUACAAACUGGCUCUUAAGAGAGUUUUAAGAGUAAAUGGGUUGAUAAUAGUGUUUUUCAAUUUUAUACAUAUUCACAAUUUUUAUCUUUAAAGGUGUCAAGGUUCGUUCAUUUAUUUUCAUAUAAUUAUGUUCAUUUAUCUUCAUACCAGGCUUUCUUGCAGGCUUACAAUCUACUCUAGCUUAUUAUUACUUUAAUGCAAGCUGCAGGACAGGAUUAUGAGUGUAACACCCUAAAUUCGGCCUAGACGUUAUAGUCGUAUCUGGUAAUGUCACACGAUAGUGUUUUUGAAACUUCAUUGUUACGAUGAAAACAUUCCAUAUUUUUUAUUUUAUUUUUUAUUUUAGUAAACCUUUGUUAGAACUUAGGAAGUCGUCUUUACUCAUUUAAAACAUUUUUUUUGAAACAUCCCUCGUUAUAAAUUCAUAAAGUAAAAUAAAUAAAUAAAAACCCAAAUUUAAAACCAAAGUCCCAGAGGGUCCUUAAAUUACAACCCAAAUAAUCAAUAAUAAUCAAAUCGUAAAUCGUAAAUUGAAAACCAUGAAGUCCAAAAAUUACUAUGGUCACCGCUGAGUCCUCCAUCACACCUAUUCAUCUAGGUCUGGGGAUUACCUGUGCACAGUAAACAAAAAGGCGAGUUUAUGUAAACUUAGUGUGUAAUCCCAUAGAAACAAACAAACAAUCAAUAUUCACAGUGCACAGUUGAAUAGUCUUGGGCCUAAGCCCUUUUCAGUAUCAGUGACAGUUUGGGCCUUAGCCUAUCUCAAUACAAUGUCAAAAAUGCAAUAGGACCUUAGCCCAUUACAGUAUUAGUAGCAGUAACAGUUAUGCAGUAGUAAAAUCCUACCUAACCAGCCUCUACACACCAUCUCCGUCCAACCCUACACUCCAUAUAGGGAUAUAAUCAACUCACUCAUCUCUACACUCUAAGUAGUACCGAAUGAGGCACAAAACAGUAGUUUGCAACUGAGCUGCCAGUAAAUUUGGCUAAAAGCCUUUCAGUACACUUCUUCCGAAUAACAACCCCCAAUCCAAUGCAAUGCAACAUACAAUGGAUGACAUGCUAUUAUGCAAUUUCAGUACAUAUAUUCAAUUCAAAUAUUUUCAUACUCAGUACAGAUAUCAUUCAGUCAAUUUCACACAUUUAGGGAUCUAAGUAGCGUUUACCGACCCUACAAUAGGUUCACAGUCGACUUGGGUGACCCGUGCAACCUUAGAAACAUUUCGAUGAAAAUGGGCUCACAUACCUAUGUGAUCUGCCCCUGUGGGCCCACAGGCCUGUGUAGCCCACUCGGCCCAAAUUGGCCUUGGUCGUGUGAUCUAUUUUUAAUGUAACCCAUGCUAGCUAAAUAUUCAUAUAUGUUUUCACUAUUUACUUAUAUGUUCAUUCAAAGUUGUCUACUUGAGUCAUUGUCACUAAAUUAUUUAUAUCUUGAGUUACGAAAAUCCAAAUUAAGACCCGCUUGAUGUUUUUGAAACUAGACUCAAAUACCUUUCUACCAUAAAAUUUUCAGAAUUUAUAGUUUAUCAAAUAAGUACAUUAAAAUCUUCAAAUUUAUCCCAAUUCUGCUAUUUGACAGCUUCAACUUUUUCUUACUUAAAAUUAUUUAUCUCUUAGUACGGAAUUUGGAUGAUGUUUCUAUUUGUUUCUCUUGAAAAUAGACUCAUUAACGAUUUAAACAUAUAAAUUUAAGCCCUUAUUUAUUGUUUUUCAAUUUUUGAUGAUUUUCCAAAGUCAAAACAGGGGAACCCGAAAUUAUUCUAACAUUGUCUCACAAAAUUUAUUAUAUCUCAUAAUUUACAAUUCAAUUGCUUACAUUGUUUCUUCCAUGAAAAACUUAAUAAAAUUUAAUUUCUAAUUUUAUUCAACCUCUAACUCAAUUUCCACUUAUCUUGAUGAUUUUUCAAAGUUAGACUACUACUGUUGUUCAAAACUAUUUUAGUGCAAAAUGUUGAUUUCCAAGUUUAUAACACCCUUAUUUCCUUUCUCUAUAAGUUUUCACAUUAUUUUCCCUUAUUUCUCUUAUUUCUCGAUAGCAAGCAAUUUCGACUUUUCGCCGAAUCCUAUUUUCUGCGUUUCGGGUACACACCUGGUAUCGUUUUGCUGCAAAUACGCUCUCAGGCACUCCAAGACUUAAAAAUCGAUAAUUAGAGCCCAAUUUAGAUCACUAACGAAAACUCAAAACUAAAAAUCAUCUACAUCAAAAUCAAUAGCAAACCUAAACACUUACCGACAACGAACUAAAAUUUCUAACGCUCAAUUUGCUUGUGAAGCCGCAACUGAUUUCUGAUUUUCGCCUAAACCAAGAGAGCCAAAACAAUCCUUUUUAGGAACUAGCUAAGAAACGAUAAAAUAGAGACAAUUAGAUACUUACAGAACCAGUGUAUACAAUUGCUAGUUGGAAAAUAGGCUAGUAAAAAAAUCAAAUAGAGAGGGUGGGCUAGGGAACAAAAAUUUGGCAAAGCAAAGAAGAAGAGGACGGUAGAAAAAUUGGGGAAAAAAAGAGAAUGCCGAAAUUUAGGAAAAAUAAAAACCAAAUAGAAACUUAGAUGAUAUUAAUAACUACCCUACAUCCCUAAAUUUUCUCCCACCAAUCCUACUAACCUACAACCACUCCAGAAUUCCACUCUGCCGAAAUACUUGUCCAUCAUUGCGUAAAAAUAACGCCUAUGCUCCAGCAUAGAUUCGAACUCAGGACCUCAUAUAAUUAAACACUCUACUUAACCACUAGACCAGCAGACCCAUUUUGUUAUUUAAUUACCAACUAUUAAACUUAAGCUUUUUAGGCCAGGUUAAGGCUUUAUUUAUAAAAAUACUAAUAUUUGCCCAAGUCAUGGCUUGAACUUGGGACCUCCCACACACUUCCAAAACACUUACCCAUUGAAGCAGACAAGUACUUAUAUCACAAAAACAAGAAUUAAAAAUUUUGGUGCAUUAUAAUUCUACCCCCAAGAGAAAAUUUCAUCCUCGAAAUUUACCUGAUCAGAACGAAUGAGGAUGCUGCUGACACAUCGCAUCCUCAAGCUCCCACGUUGCCUCCUUAGUAUUAUGGUUACACCACAGAAUCUUCACCAGAGGGAUAGACUUCCUCCUCAAAACCUUUACGUCUCAAUCCAUAAUCUGAACCGGCUCCUCCUCAAAGGUUAAAUCUGGCCUAACCUCAAUCUACUCUAUUGGAACAAUAUGUGUAGGAUUAGAGAGGUAGCACCUCAACAUAGAAACGUGAAACACGUCAUGAAUUUGAUCCAACUCUAGAGACAGCUCCAAUUGAUAAGCGAUCGGUCCCACUCGUUUCAAAAACCUAGAGCUCAACUUGCUCUUACGACCAAACCUCAGACUCUUCUUCAUUGCAAAACCUUGAGGAACAUGAAGUCCCCCACGGAAUACUCAAUCUCUUGACGCUUUAGAUCCGCAUAGGAUUUUUAUCUGUCUGAUGGCAUUUUCAGACGAUCCCGAAUCAGUCUAACCUUAUCUUUAGUCUCCAAUACUAACUCAGGAUCCAGAACACGUCGUUUGCCCAACUCAGUCUAACAUAAAGGAGUGCGACACUUAUGACCAUACAAUGCCUCGUAAGGUGUCAUCUAGAUGCUAGACUGAAAACUGUUAUAAUAGGUGAACUCCGCCAGUGGCAGAUAAUCUUUCAAACUACCUUAAAAAUCAAUAGCACAGCUCUUGAAUUUGAGCCUUAAGCUCCACAAGCUCCUUCCGUGCCUUUCGAUAGGGAGCGAUGGACACCAGAGCUGUACCUGGAAGUAGCUCAAUCCCAAAUUCCAACUCGUGAUUCGGAGGUAACCCAAGUAGCUCUUAAAAAAAGACGUCUAAAAAAUAUUUUACCGUUUCAAUAUCCUUAAUUGUAGAAUCCUUAGAAUCCAAAACACUUACGGAAGCUAAGAAUGCCUCACAUCCCUUAUGAACUAUUUUCUCUGCCACCAGUAUAGAGAUCACAUUAGAUAAGUAAUUCUGGCAUUCUCCAAUCAUGACUACCUCUUUAUCCUUCUUAGUCCUUAGUACGACCCUCUUAGUCGCACAGUCUAAGCUAACACGAUGCUUGACCAAUCAGUCCAUCCCUAGAAUUAGGUCAAACUCCCCAAAUAGAAGCUCCAUCAAAUCAGCCAAGAAGAUUGCCCCUUGUACCUCUAAAGGAAUGUCCUUAUACAGUUUACUAACUCUAACAGAUUGCCUUAAUGGGAUCAGUACCGUAACUUCACUCGUAGUGCUCUCAACUGGAAUUGUUGACACCAUUUUUGGAUUAAAAACGGGGUCGACUUGGGUUUUGAAAAUGAAAAUGAAUAGAGGAGUCGCCACCAAUCCUUUUUGAUGAGGUGCGAUCGGGUCACCUCGAAUUAAUCAUUUUAAUAAAAGUUAAGAUUUACUAAAACGAUAAUUUUUUUUGGUCUACGAAAAUCAGAAAAUGAGUUCGGGAGUCGGUUACGCACGAGGAAGGAUUAGCACCCUCGAUACGCCCAAAAAUUGGUACCUAGUUGAUUAAUUAGUGUCUUAGUUUCGAAAAUUGAAAACUUAAAAUACUUUGAAAUACGAUCCAUCUCUUUGUAAAAAAAACUCAAAUAUUAAAGACCUUCUCAUCUCUAAGUGAUAAAAUAUCACAUCCAGUAAGUUAGGACACGACAUCUCGAGCUUUUGAGAGUGAGUUUGUCUUUAUUUAAAAUUCAUGCAUUUUAACUUUUUUUUAAAAAGGAUGUUCGGUUAUUUAGGGUAAACGAAGAAAGUCGAAACCCAGUAAGUUAGGGUACGUUUUCUCGAAUUUCCUAAAAACGAAAUAUUGCCUUAUUUUGAAUUUUUUUUUGAAUAAUAGCAAAUGCAACAUUUAGAUAGUGUGCAUUAUUUGUUUGGAUUAAAAUAAAACAAUUUAUUGGAUAAAUGCAACGAGACUUGAUUCAUGAAGCGAUGAUAUAAAAUAAAAAUAUAGUAAUAAGCCUAGAACAAUGAUACAUGAACACAACAUUAUAUGGAUGAAUCACAAUAAUGCAAAAAUACGAAAUAAACAAAUUAAAAUACACAAAGACAAUAAUCAUACAACAUUUAAAUAAUAACAUCGAUAGAUAAAAGACCAAUGAAUUAAAUAAUAAUUUUUUAAGAAAAUAAAUGGCAUAAAAUAAAUUAAAAUAAAUAAUAUAAAACAUUUUAAAAUGACAAUAAUAAGUUUGAAAUAAAUAAUGUGAAAAAGGAAAUUUAAAAAUCAAUAACACACUAAACGAUAAAAAAUAUGUUUAUACAAAAAAUUAAGAUAAACAGUAUGUAUAUAUAUGUAUAAAAGUAUGAAGUGAAUGAUAUAAAAAGAGCAAAUAAUAGCAGUAAAACAUUUCGGAAUAAAUAAAUAGGAUUCAAAAUAAGAUACGUAUAACAAUUUAAAAUAAGCAAUAUAUAAAUAAAUAGAGUUUAAAAUAAAUGAUGUAAAAAAAAAAAUUUAUUUAAAAAAAAGGAACAAUAAUAUACGAAAAAGAAAAAAAGAUAUAUGAAGAAUAGAAAAUAUUUAUAUAAUAUGUGCAAAGAAACCAAAAUAAAUAAUGUAUGUAGAGUAGUUUAGAAUAAACAAUAUAUGCAAAACAACUUACAACUUUGAGUAAUUGAUACAUAAAAUUGGUUAAAAUUAAUAAUAUAUGAAAAUGAACCGUAUAUAGAAUAUUUUAAACACAUACAAUAACAGUUCCUUUUUUAAGAAAAAGAAUUAAACAGGUGAAGGAUUAAUUCGAAAACAAUACAAAAUUCUAGGUAAAAAAUAAAAAGAUACUGCCAGGAUUAAAAUGAAGUGCACCUAAAAUCAUAAGGACCAAAUGGGAUAAAAACCAUAGCCCUAACAUGCGCAUGAGGCCCGACAGAUCAAAAGACUGAUUUAAAAAACAAGCAAAAUCUAACAACUAAAUUAAGAGAAAAAGCAAAGAUAAAAUAGGGCCUGAUCAAAGGACGCUAAAGAUGGAGGGACCUCGUGUGCAAAUAUCCUAAUAAUUGAGGAUACAUGAAUCCCCAUCCCCACCAACGGCACCGUUUUGUUUGGUGUUUAAAACACCCAUUCUCUUUAUUAUUUCAGCCCUAAUUUCAUAGAAGAAAAGAAAAAAAGAACAAAAAAAAUAGAAUGUUAAAGCUUCUCUCCCUCUCCUCUCUUACUGAAUCGUGAGCCCGUCGCCGUUGCAUCACCGCGCCCCCACCGUAUCGGUGGCUGGCGAUGCUCAAGGGUGGGUUUUUAGCCCCCGAUUCAACCAGGUAUGAAGGCUAAGAUUUUUUAACCAAGAAAACCCGAAAAUGAAGGGAUCUCCACCCGUUUUGGGUUCGGCUCCGACGACUGAGGGAACCGCCGACGGUGUGACCCAGGGGUUCGGGUAAGUUUUCUCCCCGUCUUCUUUUUAUUUCUUGUUCUUGAAGCUUAAAAGCAAAAUCAAAAAUGAAAAAAGAAAAAAAGAAAUCAGAAAUUGAAAAAACGUAACCUUUUUCUUUUGUUUUUGCUCUUUUAUUUCUGAAAUAUGCGUGUGUACAAGAAUGGGGAUCCCUUUUUUACAAUUGCUUUCGGCUUCUGUUUUUAGCCGAAUGAGAUAGAAUCCAAAAUCUCCCCCUUUUACAUUGAAAAUGAAUGGCUCUUUAUAGCCGAUUAUACAAAGUCCUAUUGUUGUUUUGUUACUGUUUGCUGCGUUUCUGUUUCUGUUGCUGCUUCCGUCAUGUUUGCAGGUGUUCAAGGAGGUGAUGGGAGCAGGUGGAGGAGAGAUGGCGAUGGGACGUGCGGCUGACAGAGAGCAGCGGCAAGUGGGAUACUAGGGUUUCAGUUUCUGAAACCCUAGUCUGAUGUGGGCUUGGCUGUUGGGCCAGGGUGCUGGGCCUUUUAUUUCUUUCUUGGGCCCGGGCAAAUGGGCCUGCAACAGCUGCCCCUCUUUGCUCGUUGUCGUGUAACGAUAACAGAGAAAAGACUAAGAAAGGCCCAUUUUGCCCGGUCUCGCCGAGUCUUGACUUGUUCUGGUACUUCUCCAUUUCAAGUAGUUUCAUUCCAGUCCACUAGGUCUUGUUGCUUCGAUCCAUUCCACUGCAUUUUAGAGAGAUGCGUCCUGUAGCCUUUAUCUUCUUCGUAGCAACUUCAGGGGGACGAGGUUUGUGGUUUUCAAUCUAUUCCACUGCAUCUUCAGGGAAAUAAGACUUGAUGCGACCUACUCUGCUGUAACCUCAGAGAGAUAAGAUCCUUUAUUUUAACCCACUCCACUGUAACUUCAGGGAGAUAGGAUAGUGUCUUCGAUCUGCUCCGCUGUAAUCUCGGGGAGAUAAGAUCUCUGGCUUCAAUCUGCUCCACUGUAACUUCAGGGGGACAAGAUCUGUAAUUUCCAAUCUAUUCCACUACAGGUCAGGGAUAUAGGACUUGUGGUUUGAAUCCGCUUCCUUACACUUGAAGAUAAGAUUUGCUGUCUUUGAUCUGCUCCGCUACGGCUUAGGGAGACAAAAUCUGUAACCUUUAACCAGCUCCAAUGCAACCAAUGGAGGCAAGGCUUUGUUUUUGAUCUGCUUUACUGUUAAUGCAGGAAGGCAAGAUCUGCUUCUUUAACUAGCUCCACUGCAAUCGAUGGAUGCAAGGCUUUGUUUUCGAUCUGCUUCGCUGUUAAUGUAGGACGGCAAGAUCUGCUUCUUUAACCAGCUCCACUACAACCGAGAGAGGCAAGGUUUGUGUCUUCGACCUGCUUCAAUGUCAAUGCAGGAAGGCAAGAUCUUUUGUCUUCAACCAGCUCUAUCACAACCGAAAGAGGCAAGGUUUGUGUCUUCGAUCUGCUUCGCUGUCAAUGCAGAAAGGCAAGAUCUUUUGUCUUCAACCAGCUCCAUCACAACCAAAGAGGCAAGGUUUGUGUCUUCGAUCUGCUUCGCUGUCAAUGCAGAAAGGCAAGAUCUUUUGUCUUCAACCAGCUCCAUCACAACCGAAAGAGGCAAGGUUUGUGACUUCAUUGAUCUGUCCCUUGGGGAACAUGACCUGUAUGUUCUAUUUUAUGAACCUAAUUGUGCCUAGUGAUUAGGAUGACAUAAUCAGAAUGAAUCAAAUGCUCCUAACUAGAUAUGUAUGAAUGACAUUUGAAUGAAUGCAAAAUGUCAUGAAGAUGAUUCCUUAAUGCUUAGGUUAACAUCACGUAAAAACUUAUUAAGGUUUUAUCACUGACGUACUACAACGCCUUUUUGCUCGUCUGGUAUAUCCAAAGAAACACUUAAUCUGGUUGCCCCCCACUGUAAACCUUAAAGUUUAAUCUAUUAGGGCACAAAAUUUGUACCAUCAUUCUCCCACUACAAUCCAAGGGUAGAAAUAUGGUUUUUCCUCAAUCCUCUUUUAUCACAAUUCAAGGAUAUAGGAUCUUAAUCUUUCUGGUCCCCCUUUACACCAUUUCCAGGGUGUCGUUUCAAAGACUCAUGCACAAAUGAAGGCUCUCUUCUCCGAGGUAACCUCUUCCUAUUGCCUAGUGAUCAUUGCUUGCUUGUUUAUUUAAGCUUUUUCAUUGACACGACAUCUUGUCAUUUUGUUCAAUCAAUGCAUUUGUCAACAAAAUCCAAAGAGAAAGUCUAAACUUAGACUCUUCCUUCUCAAAUUUCCAACCUUCAAAUUUGGCAUGUUCUAAACAAUAGUCCUGUUUUAGGUUCCUGUAUUAUUUAGAAACUUUUCAGAGUAAUAUGCAAAACUUCCUUUGUGAAAGUUUUAUUAGUCCAUUAAUCAUUAUUCCAAUGCUUGCAAAAAGGUCAUAACAAUGGAUAAGAAUAAAGUUGGUUCUGAGCAUAGCUCGAAAGAACAAAUUAUCGAAAAUAGUGAAGAAGGACAACAAAAGAAUUAAUUGGGAAUGUAUAUCUUGGAAAGAAAGAAAAAGUAUUCCAAGAACAACAAAUAACAUGAGAAUUGGGUGCCCCAGAUAUCACAGCUUGAACUUCUCUAUACAAACUUUCUGAAGACCCUUUUGAGUUGGACAUGUGUUUAGGAGAUCUACAAUGCUCUGUCGAUGCCCCCAAGAUGUCGCCUAUCCUUUCCUGUUGAUUCAGGCAUGGCAAGAUCAACACAUGCCUCAAUAUGAACAAAACUUGAGCAGCUUAUAUCACCCCAUGCCCCAUUUUGAUCAGUAUUUGAGCCGCCCUUUUCGGGUUUUCAGCUCAGAUCCCCUUUGGCCUAAGGCGCCCUUUGCGGGUUUUCCCCUUAGCCUCUCCAUUUUACUCUUUUCAUUUUCCAUUUUCAUUCUUCAUCUUUUUAUUUUUUUUGAACUUCAUUGUCUUACAAUACAGUGACAAACUGUGAUGUCUGAUUUUGAACCGAUUACAGCCCUCAACUAUCAUGUUGUCAUUCUAGUUCAAUACAUUUUCCCAUACCAUCGUCUCUAGAAUUCUAUAUUGGCAUAUGAUGACAUUGACGCAUGCUGUAGCCUUUAUCCAUUUGAUGAAGUAAUUAAUGAUCUCAAUAGUGAAGCAAUGCCCAUUAGAAGUCUUCGAUAAUGGUGAUGUCCAUGCCCCAUUUUGCUCAAAAUUUGAGUCACCCUUUUUGGGUUUUCCACUCAAAACCACUUUUGGUCACAAAGCGCCUUUUUGGUUUUUCGCCUUGGCCUCUCCUUUUCUUUUCUUUGCUUUUCGUAUUUUUAUUUUGACUUUGAUUGAUUUCUCUUUGUUUUUAUUUUUUAUUUUGAUUUUGAUUUUGAUUUUGUUUUUUUUUUUCAUUUUUCCUUGUUUUUUGAAUCGGAUCUAAACUCUUGGGAUUAGGCAAGUCUUUGUUAUCCCCUUCAAAGGAUCUUCUCUGAUAUCGAAUUUCCUUUAUAGAGCCUUUUAGGGCAAAACUACAACUGGAAACUUUUGAUCUUCUUCUUCCAUCGGGAUAAAAUCUAGCAACAUCUUGAAGGAAUAGAAACUCGACUUCAAACGGGCAAAGCUAUGCUGAAUUGACGAGAACGGUAUUGCCCCGGCAAAGAAUUGUAUCAUUCAUACGAGUUUGGACAUCGUGUUGUUGUGCAGAUUUCAUUAUCAGUGCUUAACCCAGCAUAUCCUGGUAUGAUCCUACAAAGACAUCUUUGAACAAGGUCUUGCUUCAUUUUUAAGGACAAGUCAAUUCCAAGCUCAGAAUUCCUAGUGAUCUGUCUAUCCUCCUACUCAACCAUCCUCAAUAAGUUUGGGGGUAAGCUACUAUCUAUGUCAUUUCCAAAGUCAUGAGAUCCAUCUAAGCACAUGCCUCACUCAAGUGGAAAAUCUGAGUUUGCAGCAGUUUCAUUCAUGUUAUUGAUAUCUGAGGACUCAUAAUAAGCACCGAGGAAUAUACAAAAGAAUGUAUAAAUUUAUGAAUGAUUAUUUACAAUAUGAUUAUGAAUGAAUGUUGUGGAAGAAAAUCCAACAGAAUGAAAUAAUCAAAAAUAAUUAUUAAAAAGAAUGAAAGAAUAUUGGCUCAAAAAGGAACGCAAAGAUGUAUUUUAUUAGAAUAAUAACGUUCAGACAUUAGCCUAUUUCACAAAGGAAUUUCUAUCGCUUCAGGCUAAAAACAGCAAAAAUGUUCUGAACAUUACUCUAAAUAAGCUCUAAAAACUACAGGGAUUUAUUCUACAAGCCCAUUGCUUGGAACACUCCAGGUUUAUAAGGGCAGACAUCUAACAAGAUCCCUUUUCAAUUAUGCCUUCAUAUAUGGUAUUGAUGUGAAAACUUCCCAACACUUUCUCAUAUAUUGCGUUCACCCCAUUGUUAAUCAUGAUUGGGUGGCGAAUUUUCUGCAUUAGAUGAGUCACCAAACUUGACGACACCCAUGUUGAUGAGCUUUUCAACCAGUUUCUUGAAGGCUAUGCAGUUCUCUAUGGAAUGCCCCGUAUUUCCCGCAUGAUAUUCGCAAUGUGCAUUCGCAUCGUGCCAUUUGGGGUACGGUGGCUGUGGAGGUUUUGAGUAGAAAGGAGAAACAAUGCGUGCAUCGAAUAACUUUUGAUACAGCUCAUUAUACGACAUCGGGAUUGGCGUGAACUGGAGGUUCUCAGUACCUUGUUUCACACUAAUUUCUUGUCUAGAUGAACCUUGCUGACUAGCAGUCACCUUUCUUGGCUGUGUAAUCGAUUUGUUGUAAGUGUUGACAUUGCUCACAUCAUUUUCCUUCUUCUUUAAGUCUGACCUUCUAUUAUUCUCCCCAGCAUCAAUCUUUCCACUUCUCACGGCACUUUCAAUCAUUUCACCGCUCAUGACUAUGUCUGAAAAACUCUUCGAAGCACUUCCUAACAUGUGGGUGAUGAACGGGGCCUUCAAUGUGUUGAUGAAGAGCAUCGUCAUUUCUUUCUCUAGGAGUGGCGGCUGAACUUGGAUAGCGACCUCCCUCCACCUUUGUGCGUAUUGCCUAAAACUUUCAUUAGGUUUUUUCUCCAUAUUUUGCAGGGUUAUUCUGUCAGGGACCAUAUAAGCUACAUGACUGUAUUGUUUCAUAAAGGCUUGUGCUAAAUCCCUCCAAGAACUAAUCUGGAUACGCGUCAAUUGAUUGUACCACUUAGACGCUGUCCCUGUGAGGCUAUCUUGAAAGCAGUGUAUGAGCAGUUGGUCGUUGUUGACGUAUCCGGCCAUACGCCUACAGAACAUAGUAAUAUGAGCUUCUGGGCAGCUGGUCCCAUUAUAUUUCUCGAAUUCCGGCAUCUUAAAUUUGUAAGGGAGCACCAAGUCCGGAACCAAGCUCAGAUCCUUUGCAUCUAUUCCAUAGCUUUCGAUGCUUUCUAUUGCCCUAAACUUCUCUUCUAUCCAUUUCCAUUUCUCCUCAAAUUGUUUUGGAAAUUCCUCCUUCGCCUUAUCCUUUUCAACCAUCUCGUCAAGAUCUGGGACAGCAAUAUUAUUCGGGCUAUCACCGGGAUUAAAGCCCGCUCCGGGUUGAAAAUUCAUUGGAAUUGAAGCAUCGCCUUGGAACUGCUGGGGCCUAACCGACACAGAGGGUCUCCGCGGAUGCAGCUCAGUCUGUACUUGCGCAUGCGGAGGCGUGAAACCUGGAGGAUAAAGUGGUUCACCAUUGUUUUCUUCUUCACUAACAAUCACAGGACCUUUACCCUUGUCUACUCCCUUCAAUAAUUGCGUCAUCUUAGCCACCAGAUCAUUUUGGGACUCCUCCAUCUUUUGCACCAUGUCACGCUGAAUCUUUUCUAUUUGCUCUUUCAUUUGCGCCUGCAACUGGUCUUGCAUUUCUUUUUGAAGUCGCUCUAGCUUCUCCAACCUUUGGUCCAUAAUUUUUGUCUUAGCUCGGGUGCCGUAACUUUGUUGGUUUUCCAGGUUAACUGAAAUGAUUUUAUUCGAUUAGGUUUUUAAUGGUCAUUAAUGCAUGUGAUGUGAUGCAAUGCAUGAAAAGAAUGCAAAGAAAAAGAGGCACUGAUUCUAAUUCAACUUCAUUAGAAAACUUUACUAGAUAAAGAGUUUCUUUACAUAAAAUAGACUACAUAUAUGGCUUUGCCCUCACACUCAAAGCCUUAACCUUUCUAAGAAGCCAAGCUAAUUCUCGGCCCCUGUCCGACUCUGACUCAUACUUCAAACUUAAUAGAUCAGCCUGAACCGCUAGAGUUUGCAGAUGAUCAGCUACUUCGCGCACUUGAGUCACCGCCUCUCCCAUAAUAUAAUCUCUUUCUCCAAUCUGCUCUUGAGACCGACGGAAUUGUCUUUGCCACUGCUCAUUACUUUCUUCCAGAAGCUCUAUCCGGAUUUCACUAUUUUGUAAUGCAUUCUCUAGCCCUCAUAUCUGUCUUUUUAAUUCUUCAAUUUUGUCUAAGCUCACCCUUAAUUCAACCGUAGCAUUACGAUUACAGUACUGGUGAAGCGAUCUUUCUAGUUCAGUUAUCCGGACCUUCAACACCGUCUUCUCGUCUUGGCAAACUAGUAGACUCUUUCCCAAGGCGACUUCUCGAGCCCGAGUAUCCUGAAAUUUCUUUUCCCAUUGAUUAGCUUUUGUCUUUUCCUCCUGAAUUUCUUGUCGCCAUUGUUCUGGUGUUUUACCCAAGCCAGCGGCUCUUACCGACUUACGCAACUUCUUGUAAUCUGUCUUCAGGCUGUCCAAAUCUUCUUCUGCCUUGUUCUUUCCUUUUCUCAAUUUGUUGGCCUCUAAUCUUUGAAUGUCCACAUCCAGUCCUAACUGCAUUUUUUCUUCCUCUAGUUGUUCUAUCUUCUUCCCUAAUUCUAAACUUCUUUUUUCGAAUUCUUGUUUGAUGAUUUCUAUUUCAGAAGGCAAAACUUGUAAGUGUUCCUCUAAAGAUCGAGCAGUUUCUGAAUUUGACGCCGGGAUGUUGUCAUUGAUCCUUUGAUCACGCCACUGACCAUACUCGGGGGUAAUUGUCGGACCCACGGCUAAGAUCUUCAUUCGACGAGUCUGGUUCCAGGCACUAGAUAUUUCUCGAACCUUCUUCUUGUAAUUGUCCUUCCUAUAGGAAAAAUCACUAUAAGCCAACCCCUGGGUUGCUGGUAUGAAUUGUCGUGAUCUAUACUGUCUUGAUACGAGUAGAGGAGCAUAUCCGAUAGCUCUCCAUAUCCCGAGCAGCGGAACCCAGUCAAAAUCUCCACAUCGGUACAAUAUCUCAUCAGGAAUUAACCAAGGAGCCCUCCAUUCAAUAUCUUCAUCUUGGAGAUUCUGGAGUAUCUCUAUCCAUUUUUCUUCUGAAAUAUCAUCUCGUCUUGGCGUGGCCACCAAUUCUCCUAGAGGGGAGUAGCUAUCAGAGAAUACCCGAUAAGAGACCUUUUCGACUUUCCAGAAGUGGCUAUGGAACCAUGCCAAUAAGAGCUGCGCGCAUCCAAUAAACCUUCCCUCCCCUACUUUUCGACACGCAUUCAAUGAUCUAAAAGUUUCAGCGAGUAUUGCCGGAACCGGUGUAACCCCUUUACUAAGCCGAUCGAACAAAUCAGAUACAGCCUCGUCUAUGUGUCCUAAAGCUUUGGGGAAAACCACUAGUCCAUAGAUACCUAAAGCGAAAACAUCGACCCUUUUCUUUAAGUCAGGAUGUACAAGCACCAAAUCUCGCAAACUUUUCCAAGGAACACAUUUACUGUCGCCCUUCUGUUGGAUCCGGGCAGCGACCCACUGCUCGCUCAUUCCAGUGAUGUUCAUUAAUUUCUUUAACAACGGAGGGACACAAGCAGCUCUGGAAUAAGCCUUGUCGACUUGAAUCUUUGGGCACCGAAGCAAGGUCGUAUACUCCUCCACAGUAGGCGUCAAAUCUACCUUCCCAAAAGUGAAACAACUGUAGGCAGGAUUCCAAAACUGAGCAAGGGCUCGGAAUAAAUACUUGUCCACUUUGACACUAAGCAGGUAAGGUAGGUCACCGUAGUUACAAUAGAACAGCUGCUUGGCCUCGACAUCCCAUUGAUCCCAGACUUCUUUCAUUUCUCGAAGGUCAUUUUGGAUUACACUGAUACGGGUAAAAUCCCACAAUUCUGACACGUACCCUUCGGUAAGACUAUCGCCUUUCUCCCGUUGUGUCGUUUCAGCCCAUAUUCGCACAGCCGCAUUAUCCUCUACUUUAUCAACAAACCCCUUUUCCAUGAUAAGCUUUCUACCAAGAAACUGAACGUAAAUCGACACCUCUUUUAGAAUGAAGAUGCCAUGCAAUCACAAACAAAGUAAAUUAGCAUUAAACACAGAAUAAGAUUUAAAAUAAGCGACAAAUAAAUACAACAUUCAUUUAGGUAAGCACUAAAAAUUUAGAGUAGCUCUACCUAGGUUGGUUCCUAUGGCUCAUUACAUGUGGUUUGGUUCUAAAGUAGGGUACCUGAACCAGCAAAUUCCUCGAUCCUCACCCAUUAUAGGCUCAUACGGACCAAGUUCGAUUCAGGGGGAUACAUUUCCCUAUGGCCAUGCGGAGAUGAAAAUCUCACGAAGACAUAGGUACGGAUGUAUCCCGAAAGCGAUUCACUAUCCCAUGCGGAGGUGAAAACCUCACGAAGGCGUAGUUUCUCACUCCCACUUAAAAGGGUGUGACCAACGGUCAUGCAAUGCAAUGUGCAGAAAGAUACAAAAACUUAAACUAACACAACAAUUAUAAACCACAACGAUGAAAAUUGUAAUAAAGAGCAAUGAAAUGCGAUGAAAGGAUCGUAUAUUUAAACCAAGUUUUGAUUUUCGACAAAAAGACAAAAAAUAAUCAACUCGUGGCCCGACUCACUUAUUGUGGUUGUCCCCAGUGGAGUCGCCAAGCUGUUGACACCAUUUUUGGAUUAAAAACGGGGUCGACUUGGGUUUUGAAAAUGAAAAUGAAUAGAGGAGUCGCCACCAAUCCUUUUUGAUGAGGUGCGAUCGGGUCACCUCGAAUUAAUCAUUUUAAUAAAAGUUAAGAUUUACUAAAACGAUAAUUUUUUUUGGUCUACGAAAAUCAGAAAAUGAGUUCGGGAGUCGGUUACGCACGAGGAAGGAUUAGCACCCUCGAUACGCCCAAAAAUUGGUACCUAGUUGAUUAAUUAGUGUCUUAGUUUCGAAAAUUGAAAACUUAAAAUACUUUGAAAUACGAUCCAUCUCUUUGUAAAAAAAACUCAAAUAUUAAAGACCUUCUCAUCUCUAAGUGAUAAAAUAUCACAUCCAGUAAGUUAGGACACGACAUCUCGAGCUUUUGAGAGUGAGUUUGUCUUUAUUUAAAAUUCAUGCAUUUUAACUUUUUUUUAAAAAGGAUGUUCGGUUAUUUAGGGUAAACGAAGAAAGUCGAAACCCAGUAAGUUAGGGUACGUUUUCUCGAAUUUCCUAAAAACGAAAUAUUGCCUUAUUUUGAAUUUUUUUUUGAAUAAUAGCAAAUGCAACAUUUAGAUAGUGUGCAUUAUUUGUUUGGAUUAAAAUAAAACAAUUUAUUGGAUAAAUGCAACGAGACUUGAUUCAUGAAGCGAUGAUAUAAAAUAAAAAUAUAGUAAUAAGCCUAGAACAAUGAUACAUGAACACAACAUUAUAUGGAUGAAUCACAAUAAUGCAAAAAUACGAAAUAAACAAAUUAAAAUACACAAAGACAAUAAUCAUACAACAUUUAAAUAAUAACAUCGAUAGAUAAAAGACCAAUGAAUUAAAUAAUAAUUUUUUAAGAAAAUAAAUGGCAUAAAAUAAAUUAAAAUAAAUAAUAUAAAACAUUUUAAAAUGACAAUAAUAAGUUUGAAAUAAAUAAUGUGAAAAAGGAAAUUUAAAAAUCAAUAACACACUAAACGAUAAAAAAUAUGUUUAUACAAAAAAUUAAGAUAAACAGUAUGUAUAUAUAUGUAUAAAAGUAUGAAGUGAAUGAUAUAAAAAGAGCAAAUAAUAGCAGUAAAACAUUUCGAAAUAAAUAAAUAGGAUUCAAAAUAAGAUACGUAUAACAAUUUAAAAUAAGCAAUAUAUAAAUAAAUAGAGUUUAAAAUAAAUGAUGUAAAAAAAAAUUUUAUUUAAAAAAAAGGAACAAUAAUAUACGAAAAAGAAAAAAAGAUAUAUGAAGAAUAGAAAAUAUUUAUAUAAUAUGUGCAAAGAAACCAAAAUAAAUAAUGUAUGUAGAGUAGUUUAGAAUAAACAAUAUAUGCAAAACAACUUACAACUUUGAGUAAUUGAUACAUAAAAUUGGUUAAAAUUAAUAAUAUAUGAAAAUGAACCGUAUAUAGAAUAUUUUAAACACAUACAAUAACAGUUCCUUUUUUAAGAAAAAGAAUUAAACAGGUGAAGGAUUAAUUCGAAAACAAUACAAAAUUCUAGGUAAAAAAUAAAAAGAUACUGCCAGGAUUAAAAUGAAGUGCACCUAAAAUCAUAAGGACCAAAUGGGAUAAAAACCAUAGCCCUAACAUGCGCAUGAGGCCCGACAGAUCAAAAGACUGAUUUAAAAAACAAGCAAAAUCUAACAACUAAAUUAAGAGAAAAAGCAAAGAUAAAAUAGGGCCUGAUCAAAGGACGCUAAAGAUGGAGGGACCUCGUGUGCAAAUAUCCUAAUAAUUGAGGAUACAUGAAUCCCCAUCCCCACCAACGGCACCGUUUUGUUUGGUGUUUAAAACACCCAUUCUCUUUAUUAUUUCAGCCCUAAUUUCAUAGAAGAAAAGAAAAAAAGAACAAAAAAAAUAGAAUGUUAAAGCUUCUCUCCCUCUCCUCUCUUACUGAAUCGUGAGCCCGUCGCCGUUGCAUCACCGCGCCCCCACCGUAUCGGUGGCUGGCGAUGCUCAAGGGUGGGUUUUUAGCCCCCGAUUCAACCAGGUAUGAAGGCUAAGAUUUUUUAACCAAGAAAACCCGAAAAUGAAGGGAUCUCCACCCGUUUUGGGUUCGGCUCCGACGACUGAGGGAACCGCCGACGGUGUGACCCAGGGGUUCGGGUAAGUUUUCUCCCCGUCUUCUUUUUAUUUCUUGUUCUUGAAGCUUAAAAGCAAAAUCAAAAAUGAAAAAAGAAAAAAAGAAAUCAGAAAUUGAAAAAACGUAACCUUUUUCUUUUGUUUUUGCUCUUUUAUUUCUGAAAUAUGCGUGUGUACAAGAAUGGGGAUCCCUUUUUUACAAUUGCUUUCGGCUUCUGUUUUUAGCCGAAUGAGAUAGAAUCCAAAAUCUCCCCCUUUUACAUUGAAAAUGAAUGGCUCUUUAUAGCCGAUUAUACAAAGUCCUAUUGUUGUUUUGUUACUGUUUGCUGCGUUUCUGUUUCUGUUGCUGCUUCCGUCAUGUUUGCAGGUGUUCAAGGAGGUGAUGGGAGCAGGUGGAGGAGAGAUGGCGAUGGGACGUGCGGCUGACAGAGAGCAGCGGCAAGUGGGAUACUAGGGUUUCAGUUUCUGAAACCCUAGUCUGAUGUGGGCUUGGCUGUUGGGCCAGGGUGCUGGGCCUUUUAUUUCUUUCUUGGGCCCGGGCAAAUGGGCCUGCAACAGGAAUCCCCAAGUUUCUAGAUAUGUUGCUAGCUAUGUAUGAGUGAGUAGACCCUAUGUCUAUCAAGGUAAUAUAUAGUACAUCAAGAAUAAAGAACGUACCCGUGAUGACGUUCGGAGCAUCUCUAUUCUCUCGGCGACAAGCAACAUAUACUAGGGCCGACUGCCUUGCCUCAGCCUGUCCAACACCUCUGCUUCGGUGCUCUCUACCUAUGACCCAUACCAUUACCACAUCUGGCCUGUCUAUGGCCCCUCGGUGGUUACUGUACUACCUUUUAUAACUAUACCGUACCAGUACCCGAAGUUUUCAUCUGAUCGGCCCUUAACGAACACUCCUUACAGUACUCUAAUGACUCAUACCGCAAGCACACCUCAGUCUUUCUCUAACACUCGCCCUGAUGGCGUCUACCACAAUCAGUACUUAGCUGCAGUUCAGUAACAGUAACAGAGGGCCCAGCUCUAACCGACCCAUCAACUCUGCCCUUUUUCUUAGGCCUCUGUGCAGAACUCGAAGGCUCUAAAUCCCUCUUAUUCUUACCUCUCUCACAGUAAUAGUUCUGGCGCUCAGCGCGCUUAAUCUCAUCGGUGAUCUUCGCCUUCUCCACUAGUGUAGAAAAAUCACCUCUCUCUACGGAGCUAUCAAGACUCUCAAAUUAUCUCUGAGCCCAUCCUCAAAACGAAUACAUCGCUCAUACUCAGAGGCCACCAUACCUCGCGUAUAGCGGCUCAGUCACAGGAACUCAGCCUCAUACUCGGCCACUGAUCAAUUUUUCUGAGUCAAAUUUAAGAAGUUCCUUUUACGGGUAUCCACGUAGCUCGCCCUCACAUAUUUCCCCUAAAAGGCAGUUUUAAAGAACUCCCAGGUUAGAUGUUCGGGCUGAGUGCCCUCCUUAACAAUGAGUCAUCACUGAUAAGCCUCAUCCCUCACCAGUGAGACUGCACCCUUUAAUUUCUGCUCUAGGGUGCAGUCUAAGUCAUCCAUGAUCCUCUCCGUGGCCUCAAUCCAGUACUCGGCCAUAUUAGGGGCAACUCUAGUGACACCCCUGAAAAGCUCAACUCCAUUGGACUAGAGUCGUUUCGUAUUCGAUCCUCGGACCCCUAAUCUAGUAUUGAUCCGAGCGACCCUCUCCAAAAUCCUUAGCAUAGCUUGGGAUAAUGCGUCGUCCUCAGCCAUGCGAUCUUGAGACCCAGUCUCAGUAGUAGGCGACACUAGCGUCUCACUAGUAUCCAAAUUCGGUAUGCUACCCAAUGAAGAGGACUCAGAUCGAGCUCCUUUGUGACCUCUACCUCAGCCUCUAGUACCCCGUCCACAGAUACAUCGUAUGCUCAUUGUCUAAUCACGUUUAUCUGUAUUAACAGUUUUAUGAAUCAGUUACGGUUUCAGUGUUUAUUAACAAAUGUUUUAUGUAAAAUAGUAUCGGUUAUUCAAAGUUCGUUUUGUAAAUCACAGUCUUACUAUAGUUUUUAGUUUUUUUACAAUUUUUAUUAUACACUAACUAGAGUGUUUUCAGUACAGUUUACUACCUAUAGUAGAUUCAGAAUAUACUAUCCAUAACAGUUUCAGUUUAAAACAAAUCACAGUUCAAAAUACUUACAGAAUCGACACCGGAGACUCGGUGUACCACUUACUUAGUACAAACAUUUCAAAUCAUUUAGAAAUUAAUCAACUUUUCGAAAGCUCAAUUUUUACAAAACCCAUAAUCCACUAUCGAGUUCUGUAACUUGGCUCUGAUACCACUAAAUGUAACACCCCAAACUCGGCCUAGACGUUAUGGUCGUAUCUGUUAAUGUCACAUGAUAGUGUUUUUGAAACCUCGUUGUUACGAUGAAAACAUUUCAUGUUAUUAUCUUUAGUAAACCUUUGUUAGAACUUAGAAAGUUGUCUUUAUUCAUUUAAAACAUUUUUUUUGAAACAUCCCUCAUUGCAGAAGCUUUAAUAAAAUAGUCUAGGUGAUCAUGCGUUUAGAAAAUAUAACUUUAUGAAAACUGAAUUUCCUACGACCAGCAGGUAUAAAUCUAUAAAGUAAAAUAAAUAAAUAAAAACCCAAAUUUAAAACCAAAGUCUCAAAGGGUCCUUAAAUUACAACCCAAAUAAUCAAUAAUAAUCAAAUCAUAUAUCGUAAAUUGAAAACCAUGAACUCAAAAAAUUACUAUAGUCACCGUUGAGUCCUUCGUCGCACCGAUCUGUCUAAGUUUGGGGAUUACCUGUGAACAUUAAACAAAAAGGGUGAGUUUACGUAAACUCAGUGUGUAAUCUCGUAGAAAUAAACAAAUAAUCAGUAUUCACAGUGCACAGUUGAAUAGUCUUGGGCCUAAGCCCUUUUCAGUAUUAGUCAUAGUUUGGGCCUUAGCCCAUCUCAGUAUAGUGUUAGAAAUGCAAUAGGGUCUUAACCCAUCAUAGUAUCAGUAGUAGUAACAAUUAUGCAGCAGCAAAAUCCUACCCAACCAGCCUCUACACACCAUUUUCGUCUAACCCUACACUCCAUGUGGGGAUAUAAUCAACCCACCCAUCCCUACACUCUAAGUAGUACUAAAUGCGACACAAAACAGUAGUUUGCAACUGAGCUGCUAGUAAAUUAGGCUAAAAGCCUUUCAGAACAUUUCCUCCGAAUAACAACCCCUAACCUAAUGCAAUGCAACAUACAAUAGAUGACAUGCUAUUAUGCAAUUUCAGUACAUAUAUUCAGUUCAAAUAUUAACAUGCUCAGUACAUAUAUCAUUCAAUCAAUUUCACACAUUUAGGUGUCUAAGUAGCGCUUAUCAACCCUACAGUGGGUUCACAGUCGACUUGGGCGACCCGUGCAAUCUUACAAACAUUUCGGUGAAAAUAGGCUCACACGCCCAUGUAAUCUACCCGUGUGGCCCACUUGGCCCAAAUUGGCCUUGGCCGUGUGAUCCAUUUUUAAUGUAACCCGUGCUAGCUAAAUAUUCAUACAUGUUUUCACUAUUUACUUAUAUGUUCAUUCAAAAUUGUCUACUUGAGUCAUUGUCACUAAAUUAUUUAUAUCUUGAGCUACAGAAUUCCAAAUUAAGAUUCGCUUGAUGUUUUUGAAACUAGACUCAAAUACCUUUCUACCAUAAAAAUUUUAGAAUUUAUAGUUUAUCAAAUAAGUACAGUAAAAUCUUUAAAUUUAUCCCACUUCUGUUGUUUGACAGCUUCAACCUUUCCUUACUAAAAAUUAUUUAUCUCUUAGUACGAAUUUGGAUGAUGUUUCUAUUUGUUUCUCUUGAAAAUAGACUCAUUAAAGAUUUAAACAUAAAAAUUUAAGCCCAUAAAUAUUUUUUAAAAAUUUUUGGUGAUUUUCCAAAGUCAAAAUAAGGGAACCCAAAAUUAUUCUGACAUUGUCUCACAAAAUUUAUUAUAUCUCAUAAUUUAAAAUUCCAUUGAUUACACUGUUCCUUACAUAAAAGACUAGACUCAAUAAACUUCAAUUUCAUAUUUGAUUCAACCUCUAACUCAAUUUCUACUAUUUUUGAUGAUUUUUCAAAGUUAGACUACUGCUGCUGUCCAAAACUAUUUUAGUGCAAAAUGUUGAUUUCCAAGUUUAUAACACCCUUAUUUCCUUUUUCUAUAAUUUUUUGCAUCAUUUUCUCUUAUUUCUCUUAUGUCUCGACAGCAAACAAUUUUAGCUUUUCACUGAAUCUCAUUUUUUGCAUUUCGAGUACAUAACUGGUAUCGUUUCGCUGUAAAUACGCUCCCAAACACUCUAAGACCUAAAAAUCGGUAAUUAGAGCCCAAUUUAGAUCACUAACUAAAACUCAAAACUGAAAAUCGUCUACAUUGAAAUCGAUAGCGAACCUAAACACUUACCUGCAACGAACCAAAAUUUCUAAUGCUCAAUUUUCUUGUGAAGCCGCAUCUGAUUUCUGAUUUUCGCCUAAACCAAGAGAGCCAAAACAAUCUUUUUUAUAAACUAGCUAAAAAGCGAUAAAAUAGAGAAAGUCAGAUACUUACAGAAUGAGUGUAUACAAUUUCUGGCUGGAAAGUAGGCUAGUAGAAAAAUCAAACAAUGAGGGUGGACUAGGGAGCAAAAAUUUGGCAAAGCAAAGAAGAAGAAGACGACAGAAAAAUUGGGGAAAAGAGGAGAAUGCCGAAAUUUGGGAAAAUAAAAACCAAAUAGAAACUUAGAUGAUAUCGUUAGCUACCCCACAUCCCUAAAUUUUUUCCCACUAAUCCUACUAACCUACAACCACUCCAGAAUCCCACUCUGCCGAAAUACUUGUCCAUCACUGCGCAAAAAUAACACCUAUGCUCGAACAUGGAUUCAAACUCAGGACCUCAUGCAAUCAAACACUCCAUUUAACCACUAAACCAGCAAGCCCAUUUUGUUAUUUAAUUACCAACUAUUAAACUUAAGCCCUUUAGGCUAGGUUAAGGCUUUAUUUAUAAAAGUACUAAAAUUUACCCAAGUCAUGGCUUGAACUUGGGACCUCCCACACACACCCAAAACACUUAAGCAUUGAAGCAGACAAAUACUUAAUAUCACAUAUACACAAAAACAAGAAUUAAAAAUUUUGGGGCGUUACAAUGAGAAGGAAAAACUUAACGAAAGAAAUUGAAGUUUCUUGGGGCUACCUUUGUAGAAAUAAGAGAUCAAUAGAGUUUCUUGGAAUUGAAGUUACAGUUUCAAAUUGUAUUAGCUUUUAUGUAGUACAACAUCAAUAUCAAUGUCCAUCAUCUUAUGUACUUUUUUAUUUGUUUACUUUUGUACAUUGAGUUGAAUGUUAGUGGUAUAUGUUAGUGGUAUACAUUUUAGCUAAAUGUUAGUGUAUUUUAAUUGUUGGAUCGAUUUUUGUAGUGAAUAUUAAAUCUUUAUUUUAAUUUUAAUUUUAUAUUUUUUUGUUGUAUUUAUAGCACAAUUCCUAUCAUUAUUCACUGUAAAUAUUUAUAAAAAUAUAUUAAUAUUGAAAUAAUAAAAAAUAGAAAAAAUUACAUUAUACGUGUCUAUUCCAAUCUUUUUAAGAUUACCUUAGACGGGUUUAUCCCAACCUUUUUUUAAAGGUUGCCUUAGACAAGAUUUAUCCCAACCUUUUUAAGGUUGCUCUAAACGGGUCUAUCCCAACCUUUUUUAAAAGUUGCCUUAGACAAGGUCUAUCCCAACCUUUUUAAAGUUGCCUUAGACGGGUCUAUCCCAACCUUUUUUAAAGGUUGCCUUAGACAUGGUCUAUUCCAACCUGUUUAAGGUUGCCUUAGAUAGGUCUAUCCCAACCUUUUUUAUAGGUUGUCUUAGACAAAGUCUAUCCCAACCUUUUUAAGGUUGUCUUAGACGGCUCUAUCCAAACUAUUUUUAAAAGUUGCCUCAGACAAGAACUAUAUCAACCUUUUUAAGGUUGUCUUAGAUAGGUCUAUCUCAACCUUUUUCAAAGGUUGGCUGUAACUAGGUCUAUCCCAACCCUUUUUAAUGGUUGGCCUUGACUAGGUCUUUCCCAACCCUUCAAUAAGGGUCGGCUUAUGUUGACUUAUGCUGACGUUUUUUCAAAAGUGUUGUGGAGCCUACGCCAACUGUAUUAUAGACAACCUUUUCGAAAGCAUCAGGAGAACCGUCGCGAAACUUAUGCCAACCUUUUUUACGUUGUCUUAGGUCAAAAAAAAGUGUCACGAUAGGCUUAUUUUAUUGUAGUGAUAGUAAUAUUUUUAGCUCUUAAAAAUCUAAAUUAUAUAUAAUAUGUAUUUACAACUCUAAAUAUUAAAGCUUGAUUAGAUAUAGGUUAUUUGAACUUUUCAUCUUAAAUAAAUUUGAGGAAAUUAAAUAUGGAAAUUUUAAUUAAAUUAUUUUAAUAUAUAUACACACCAUUAUUUUCAUUCAUUAAUAAUUUUAAACUAACAUUUUUUCUUCAGUAAAUUUCACUUUAAUCCCUUUCUUUACUUUUCUAAUGUUAUUUUUAUUUUUUUGUCCUUUAUUUUUCUUCUAUUUUAUAAAUUCUUUGAUCUUAUAUGUUUCAAGUAUCAAAGUGUAAAUAAAUAUAAAUAUUAAAAAAUGCCAAAUGUAACUCUAUGUGAUAUUAUUUAAUUGCUACUCAUUUCUUUUUGUUUCAAAAAACAAUGGAAAACUUAAGAAUUUUAAAGUUUUUGGUAUCAAAUAUAUAUAUCUAUACAUUUACAUUUUAAACUCCAAACUUAAAUAAAUAGAGAAAAUCUAAAAAUUUAAAAUAAAAAUAAAUAAAAAAUGAAUAUUUAACUUUUUUAGUACACAUGUAUCAUUCAGACAAUUUUAAUAUAACAAAUAAUCAAGUAAUUGGGAUUUAAUAUUUAAUUAAAAAUAUUCUUCUAAAAAUUGUAAAUCGCAUAACAUUGAAAGUCUUUAAAUAAUAUACUAAAGGGGUGAGCAUUCAAUCAAAUCGAAUGAAAAAAUUUUGAGUUAAUCGAGUUGACGAAUAAUAUUUUAUUAUCCUAACUAGAUUUAAAUUUUUCUCGAAUAGAGUCUAGUGAGAUGGAACUCGAAUCGAAUCGAAUAUAUUUGUUCGAGUUAAAUUAAGGUCCUUGUAAUCAUUGUCACCCACCGCAAUCAGAUUUGUUAUUAACUUUCACUCCCUCAUAAUUUAUUUAUUAAUCUUUUAUAUAGGGUUAGAUUCUUUGCUUGCUUAGUUGCUUCAAUUAUCUUCUGAUUUUGUCACUAUGUAUUCUGAAAUUUAAAAAUAUAUUAAAUGUAAAAAAUGUGAUUUUUUUAAUAAAAAAAUAUCUUAAAGGUAAAAUAUAAAAUUGAUACCAACAUAAAAUUUUAGCACGAAUAUUUUAUGCCAUCAUCAAUAAUUUAAUUUUAACAAAAAAAAUUAUAAAGAUUCAAUAUGAUAAAAUAAUUCAAUAAUAUUGAUAAGCUAUAAAAGUAACAUAUUUUAAUCUCAAUCUUAAUGUGUUUUUAGAUGAUUAAUUAUGCAAAUUAGUGAAUUUAAUGCUCCUAAUCCAUUAAAAUAAUGCAUGGUACUUUUGAUAUUGUAUAGUUCUUUUGAUGUCAAAAUAAUGCAUUAAAAUUUAUUCAACUGUCAAUUUAAGUGGAAAAAGUUGGAGAUGAAAUUUGUAAUUAAACCUUCUUUAAUUUACGUCUUUUUCCCUAAAAAUAUAUUUUUUAAAAAUAUUAAAUGUUAUAAAACUUGGGACAAAUAUUAAAUGUUGGAAAGUGGUUAAGAAAAUCAUUAUCAUUAUAAUUCAUCCUCAUUAUUGAUCAGUGUCACUGAAGCAAUGAAUUUCAAUGGGUUUGGUAAUGGAUGAGAGUUUGCUAAAAAUCUUCCUUUUGGUUUGUAACCAUUUUCACUUACAUAGUCUAGGAUAAGAAUGUUAAAAACCUAUGUUAUAUCCAUAGAAAUUGAGGGCUAUAUUUCUUAUCAUCACAACAAGCGCAAGCAUUGUUGGGGUAUAUCCACUUGUCUUAAACCACUAGAAUGUACAAGUAGCAAAAGAUAAUAAUGAUUAAAAGCUUGGGUAAUUAAUUUUGUAGUAUAUAGUCGGUCCAACACUGACUUAUAUCUAAGCAAAGUGCAUGCAUCAACUACAACAUUUUUUCUCUGAUUACCUUCUCCUUUCUUCUAUCAUUCUAGAGUGUAAACAAUUCACUCAAAGGCAAACAAUUUAUAGAAUUGUCUAACCAUGUGUAUUGCUGCUUUCAUUUGGCAAGCUCAUCCACUCUACCCUCUACUGCUUUUACAAAACAGAGAUGAAUACCACAACAGGUAUGUUUCCAUUUCACUUCAAUCAUUCUUCUCUUGAAAAUAUAUUUAUCUUAUUAAUAUAUAUGGGUGGAAUUGAAGGCCUACGAAGGCACUUGCAUGGUGGGAUGUUGAUGGUUGUGAGAUAUUAGGAGGAAGAGAUGAAGUAGCAGGAGGGACAUGGUUGGCUUGUUCAAGACAAGGCAGAGUUGCUUUUCUCACCAAUGUGUUGGAGCUUCAUCCCCGUCCCGACGCCAAGACCCGCGGUGAUCCCCGUCCCGACGCCAAGACCCGCGGUGAUCUUCCACUUCUUUUCCUGGAGGUAAAUAAAUCUAUAUGCCUUUUUUUUCUUCUUUUUAUUUGGUCGAAGCCAGCUCACCUAUCAAAAACGGUGGUCAUUCAUUAAAAGUAAACACACUGUUGUUGAUACAGAGCACAAAGAGCCCCAUGGAAUUUGCGGAGCAACUGGCCACCGAUGCUCAUCAGUACAAUGGAUUUAACCUCAUAGUGGCUGAUAUUCCUUCCAAAUCAAUGGUUUACAUCUCGAACAGGCCAAAGGGGGAACCCAUUAACAUUCAACAGGUUUCUCCGGGGCUUCAUGUUCUUUCAAAUGCCAAGCUUGACUCUCCCUGGCAUAAGGUACAUUAACUUGUUUCAUGUGUUAUAUUCCUAUAAAGUUAUGCCCAAAGGCAGAUGGACGCUGGAGAAUUGAUUCAUCCACUCCCAUUGUGCAGGCUUGGCGGUUAGGUAAAGGCUUCAAACAGAUGCUCAAUAGAUACGGUAAAAAUGAAGUAAACGUGAAAGAAAUGGUUGAGAAACUUAUGAAAGAUAAAGUGAAAGCUGAUAAAAGUAAGUUACCUGGCAUAUGUGAUCUCGACAUGGAGUUCAACCUUAGCUCCAUAUUUGUUGAAAUGGACACCCCACUGGUAAAAUUCCAAGUUCUAAACCAUCCUCCUACUAAAAUUUAUGUAGAACAAUGUUGAAGCCAAUAAAAAUUGUGGUUGUUUCAACUUACAUAUCCAUCUAUUUUCCGGAAUACAGGGGCUUUAUGGAACAAGGAGUACUGCAGCAAUAACCGUAGGUGCUGGUGGGGAAAUUAGCUUUUAUGACGAGUAUCUAGAAAAGGGUGUGUGGUUUGAGAGAACAGUCAAUUAUCAUAUCCAGAAGCUCAAGUAGAUUGAAUCCAUGUCAAAGCAAGGGAUUUUACUACUCAAGUUAUUUAUUGAUUUGCGAAUGUUAUAAGCAUUUUAAGUUUAUACUAAUUGUAACAUAGGAGUGAUGUAUGAUGUAUCUCAUUCUUAAUACUUUACAUUUUCACUUUAAACUCCAAACUUAAAUAAAUAGAGAUAAUCUAAAAAUUUAAAAUAAAAAUAAAUAAAAAAUGAAUAUUUAACUUUUGUAGUACACAUGUAUCAUUCAGACAAUUUUAAUAUAACAAAUAAUCAAGUAAUUGGGAUUUAAUAUUUAACUAAAAAUAUUCAUCUAAAAAUUGUAAACCGCAUAACAUUAAAAGUCUUUAAAUAAUGUCACAUACAUGAUUUUUUUUUUGUAAAUAUACAUGGUCUGUUUUUAUUUAUAAAACUUCCUUUUACCUCAUUUUUCUUCAUUAAUGUCUACAAAUUUGAAGGGAGUCAUGUACCGAUUAAAUUUGAAUCCUAUCAAGAAUGAGCUUUUGAUUGUUAUAUUUGAUGUUUUCCUAUUAGUUUAAGAUCCCCAAUAAUUAAGCAUGCUUUCUUAAUAAUUGGAAAAUAUUUAUUUAAAAUAUUACUGUAACAGCUUAAUUUUAGGCCUAGUCGGAACAGUAGUUUCGGGACCACGAAUCUGACGAGGAAAAUUUUAUUUUUUAUUAUAUUUUUAUAGUCUACAAUUUCACAGAAUGAUUUCGUGAAAAUUUUGUUCAAAAAUUUCGACGUUUGUGCACUCAAUUUAGCCAAAAGGACUAAAUUGUAAAAAGUGCAAAAGUUGAGUUCUACAUGUUAGAAGUGUCCAAUUGUUAUGAAAUUUUAAAUUGGAGGUCCUUAAAUGGUAAUUAGACCAUUGGUUAACUUUUUGGACAAAAAUGGACAAGAGAUAAGUGAAAUAAGAUAUUUUUAAGUUUGGGGCAUUUUGGUCAUUUAGUAAUUAAAAGAAUUAAAAAGGCCAAAAUAGCCAAAAAUUUGUCCAUCUUCUCCAUGGUGAACGAAAUCAGCAAGGGGAAGCCAUGGUUAGGGUUUUCAAGCUUCCAAGCUCCAUAGCAAGUGAUUCCAAGCCCCAUUUUUAAUGUUCUUUACAUUUUUGGAGUCUCAGUAACUUGAUUUAGCUUAUUCUAACAAUAAUUUAACCUAGGGUUCAUAUUUGGAAAAAUACCCAUAGGUGAAAUGUGUUUAUUUUGAUGUUUUAUGGUAGUGUAUGAAGCUUGAAAUUAUGUUAAAUAACUUUUGCUAGCCGAUUUUAAGUGAAAACGAGUAAAUUGACAUAAUCGAUAAAAAUACCUAAUGUUCAUAAGUAAGUGUUAGAGUGAGAAUUUGAUGUUGCCAUAGAAGGGAAAAAUGUUCAGCAUGUCAUAAAACAUAAGAAAAAGGAAUAACGUUUAAUCUCCGAGCCUAGGGGCAAAAUUAUAAUUUUGUAAAACUUUAGGGGCAAAAAUGUAAUUUUGCCAAAAUGUGAUUUUUGGACUGGAUUGAAUAAUGUGAGUGUUAAAUAAGUUAAAUAUGUUAUUAUAAGUCAAUAAAGACAAGGAAAUGACUUUGAUUAGUGAAAAAGAAAAAAAAAAGAAGAAAAACUGAGAAAUUUCCCGAUUGAACAUUCGGAAUAAAAAGGGAUAUGAAUGAAGUGACAGAAAUGAUCACAUGCGUGGCAUGGACUGUGUGUAGGCCACUAUGUGAAAGUGAAAGUGAUGGUCACGUGUGUAGUACUAUGUGCAGGCUACUACGUGUACCAGAAUGAUAGGUCGCAGGUGUAGUACUAUGUGCAGGUUACUAUGCGUACCGGAUAGCUUCGAUCACGUGUGUAGUACUAUGUGCAGGCUACUACGUGUAUCGGAUAGUGAUGGUCACGUGUGUAGUACUAUGUGCAGGCUACUAUGUGAACCGGUAUCAUUAAUUAUAAGGUGGUUGCUAUGUGUUAAUCCCACAAGAUAUCAUUGAUUACAAAGGGUAGUUGCUGUGUGCUGAAUCCAUCGUAUAUAUGUUAUUAUUCUAAACUGUUCAUCAGGAAAUUGACUAAGUGAAAAUACAUGAGAUCAUGUAAUGAUUAAGUGUGAUUGAAUGAUGAAUACAUGUGUGGAAUUGAAUUGAAUAAUGAUUGAAAGUGAAAAGUGAAAUUAUGAAAAAGUAAAACUAGCAACAAAUAGUUUUAGACAGUAACAAUAGUGUGACUUUGAAAAAUCACCAAAAAUGGUGGAAAUUGAAUUAAAGAGUGAAUAAGAUAUGAAAUGAAAGCUUAAUGAGUCUAUUUCUACAUAAAAGAAACAGAGCAAGCAAAAGAGUUAUAUAUUUUGAGAUAUUUGAAUUUUAGUGAGGCAGGGUUGGAUUGAUUUUGGAAUCCCCUAUUCUGAAUUUGGAAAAUAAUUAAAAAUUGUAAAAAUAAUAAUUAUGAGUUAUAAUUUAUAUUCUUAGAAUCCUUAAUGAGUCUAUUUUCAAAGGAAAUAAACAUAAAUAUCAUCUGAAUUCUGUAAAAUGAGAUAAUUUAUUUUUAGUGAAGAGAUGUCAGAGAUGCUAAGCAGUGAAAUAGGGGUGAGUUUAAAGAAUAAACUGUACUAAUUGGCUAAGAAAAAAAUUCUGAAAAUUUUAUGGUAAGAAUAUAUGUGAGUUUAGUUUUGGGUAAAAUUAACGGAACUUAAUUUGGAGCUUUGUAGCUCAGGAUAAAAAUAAUUUAGUGACUGUAACUCGACUAGAUAGCUUUUGAAUUUAAAUAUAAGUGAAUAGUGAAAUUAUGUAUAAUGCUAUUUAAGCAUGUUAUAUACAUAAAGGAUGUGGGAUGGAGAGGAGGAGGAGGACAAUAAAGCAUAUGCGUGUGGUAGAUUAGCAUGAAAUGAUGUCGUGAGUGGCUCAUGAAUUAACUCAUGUUGGUAAGUUGAUGCAUAAUUAUAGUAUUCAAAUAUAUUACAUAUUUGUAAUAUUUUGCUAUGUGAUUCGGAAAAAGGGGAAUAAAUAGCAUAAUGAAAAUUCGGCCAUGGUGCUAGUUUAUGUUAAAGGAGUGUUUUAUGGCAUAUCUUAAGUAAUGGAAUGUUAUGAAUUUUGAGAUUAAUUUGCUAGUCAAAUAAAUGACAAAUGAAUUGAUUGCGUAUUCGUAAUUUUGACAUAUGCUUGGUAUAUGAAACGUAAUAAUAUAUGCUUGAACAAACUUUAAGUAUUCGAAUGACAUGGAUUUGAUGGUGAUAAGAUUCGAACAUUGAAUUCAUGAAGCACAAGUGAUGUAUUAUUGUUGUGUGAUAGCUUGGUUUGAGAAAUUGGUUAGGUAAAUGGUAAGUUAAAGCAUUUAUGGAUAUAGAAGAAAAUUUGGAGUGAAUAUGAAAUUUAGCUCAAUUAAAUGAUUUCAUCAAUUAAACAUUGUGUAUACCAGAAUGUGUUAGUGAAUUACAUAUUCAUAAAUUGACAUUCGAAGUUCAGUUAGUGAUAUAUGAAAAUAACAUGAAAAGAUUUAUGAUUGUGAUUAAUAUUGAUUCUAACUUAAAGUGGAUUCUUCAAUAUUGGAUUGAUUUAACGGAUAUAUUGAGCAUAUGAAUGGGUAUGUAUUGGGCCUCGUAAACCUUAAUUAGCGACUCAAAGAUAAUAAUUUGAAAGUUUUUAAUUUGAAUGAAAUUUUAUAACUCAGUUUAAUAUGUUUAUAAGUGUAUUUAUUCUAAUAAUGCCUCGUACCCUAUUCCAGCGUAGAAUACGAGUAAGGGGUGUUACAAUGUGACAUCACUAGAUUCGGCCCUAAUGUUUAGGCCGGGUUUGGGGUGUUACAAUUACUUUUGAAAGUAUUUCUAUGAAGCGUGUCUCGUAUUUUCGGUCAAGCUAAAUGGCAAAGCAAAGGCAACAUUGAGACAUGGAGCAUAGGAUGUCACAAUGACGUGACGACAUUCGAAACUAAAUCGAAGCAGGGCCGACGUCACGAUGAGGGGACCUACGAUGUCGUGACGAUGCAACGAGGCAGCCACGUCUCUUGACAACUUAAUGGAUUUUCCUUCUCCCAGUUGAACUUUGAUUUUCGGUUCUCUUUUCUCAAUUUAACUCUAACUAUUCUAGGGAUAUUUUUGUAAUACCCUAUAUGUAGCACCUUUAACCCGUAUCCAUUGUCAGAUUAGAGUUACGAAAUAUUACCGAGUAAAACAAAACAUUUAACUUCACAACAGAAACAAUUAUAUUAAUUAAAUGUAAUCAUGGUAAAAAUAUAAUUACGGGUCUUAACUCGAGUUUACAGGGCCUUAAAAACAGUUUUGGAACAUUCAGGGAUCAAUUCGAACAAAUCAGAAAAUUUAAAAAAACAGGAAAAUUUUGAAAACAGGAAUCACACUAUCGUAUGACAUAGUUCAGAUCUUGUGGACAUUCGAAGUCUAGACACACAGCUUAUCCCAAGCCGUGUGAGUAUUCGGAAUAAGGCUACACGGACAUGUCAUAUGUCGUGUGCCAAAUCAUGUGUACUGUAAUAACCAAUUUUACCCGAGCUUAUUAAAAUUAAAUUAAAAUAAUAUAAAAAUCAAAUAAUAAUAAAAUGUCCAAUAACAGUCCAAUAAAAUAAACCCAUAAACCGAAUACACCCCAGCCCAAUAACCAAUUACAGGCCCAAUUCAAACCUAAUACCCAAAUUGCAACCCACAAGCCCAAAAGCAAGAAAAAUAGAAAACCCUAGACAGUAGCAGCUUCCAGCGCCGUUCUCCCUAUGUAGCCUCCGCGCGUGCUACGCCACCACCACGCGCGUUCCUCACAUGUGAACUAGGCCUCCACUCCAGCUUGCACCUGUAACAGACGUAACAAACUAGUAGAGAAAGCAAAGGAAAAAUGACAGCAAGGAAAAGGCAACACAGCAAAUAGGAAAGCAGUAAAUAAAAAAUGUAAAAAAUAUAUUUCGAUUGAUUUUAUUUUUAUUUUUAUUUUUAAGGAUUUCGGUUAUAAAAAGGCCAUUUGAGCACUAUAAAUGUGGACGCAUACAGAGAUUGAAUACAAAAAACAAAAAAAAAAUUCAAAGAAAAAGGUAAAUAGAGUUUUGUAAGAAAAAAAUGACAUUCUGCAUUCAUGCAAACAUCAUUCAUACAUUUGAAUUAUACAAGUCAUGUUCCCCCAGAGAACAAACCGGUGAAACUAUAAAGCCUGAGCAGCAGUGGAAUAGGUUGAAAAUAGCAGAUCUUGUUUUUCUGUACUGGCAGCGAAGCAGAUCGAAGAUAACAAGUCUUAUCUCCCUGACUUGCAGCGGAGCAGACUGAAGAUAGCAGAUCUUGUCUUCCUGUACUGACAGUGAAGUAGAUCGAAGACACCAGUCUUAUCGCCUUGAUGUUGCAAUGGAACAGAUUAAAGCUAAAGAUAGCGAAUCUUGUGUCCCUGCCGUUGCAACGGAGUAGAUUAAAGCUGAGGGCAGCAAAUCUUAUCUCCUUAGCGUUAAGACUUGGAUUAGCUGAAGUGGAGCAGAUUAAAGCUGUAGGCAGCGAAUCCUAUCUAUUUGGCAUUACAGUGGAAUAGAUUGAAGCUACAACAGCGAAUCUUACUUCCCUGGUGGUGUAGUGGAACAAAUUGAAGCUACGAUGGCGAAUCUAGUUUCCCCGACACUGCAGUUAAAUAGAUUGAAGCCAUAACGGUGAAUUUUACUUCCCUGGCGGUGUAGUGGAACAUAUUAAAGCUACGACGCCAAAUCUUGUUUCCCCGACAUUGCAGUUAAAUAGAUUGAAGCUACAACAGCAAAUCUUACUUCCCUGGCGGUGCAGUGGAACAGAUUGAAGCUACAACGGCGAAUCUUGUUUCCCCGACAUUACAGUUAAACAGAUUGAAGAUGGCGAAUCUUAUCUCUCUAAGGUUACAGUGGAGCAGAUUAAAGCCAAUAAUCCUAUCUCUCUGAGGUUGCAGUAGAGCGGAUUGAAGUGAUGAUCUUAUCUCUCUGAAGUUACAGUAGAGCAGAUCGCAUCCAAUUUUAUCUCCCUAAAGUUGUAGUGGAGCAGACAGAAGAAACCAAUCCUAUCUCCCUGAAAUUGCAGGGGAGCGGAUUAAAACUACAGAUCUUAUCUCUCUGAAGUUGCAAUAGAGCAUAUCACAACAGACUUAUCUUUUUAAAGUUGCAGCAGGACAAGUUGAAGCUACAAGUCUUAUCUCCCUGAAGUUGCAAUGGAGCAGACUGAAGAUAGUAAAUUUUUUUCUUUUGAAAAGACUACAAGUUACAAAUUGCAUCUCCCUAAUGUUACAGUGGAGUAUAUUGAAGCACCAAUUCCUAUACUUCUAAAGAUGCAGUAUGAUGGAAUGAGGCUACUUGAAGAAGAAGAGCACCAAGGUCCAGCAUGACCAGGCAAAAUUGGUCAUUUUUAAAGUCUUUGCUUUGUUCCCGUUACACGACAACAAGCAAAGAAGGGCAGCUGUAAUAACCAAUUUUACCCGGGCUUAUUAAAAUUAAAUUAAAAUAAUAUAAAAAUCAAAUAAUAAUAAAAUGUCCAAUAACAGUCCACUAAAAUAAACCCAUAAACCGAAUACACCCUAGCCUAAUAACCAAUUACAGACCCAAUUCAAACCUAAUACCCAAAUUGCAACCCACAAGCCCAAAAGCAAGAAAAAUAGAAAACCCUAGACAGCAGUAGCUUCCAGCGCCGUUCUCCCCAUGUAGCCUCUGCGCGUGCUACGCCACCACCACGCGCGUUCCUCGCAUGCAAACCAGGCCUCCACUCUAGCUUGCACCUGCAACAGACGUAACAAACUAGCAGAGAAAGCAAAGGAAAAAUGACAGCAAGGAAAAGGCAACACAGCAAAUAGGAGAGCAGUAAAUGAAAAAUGUAAAAAAUAUAUUUCGAUUCAUUUUAUUUUUAUUUUUAAGGAUUUCAGUUAUAAAAAGGUCAUUUGAGCACUGUAAAUGUGGACGCAUAUAGAGAUUGAAUACAAAAAACAAAAAAAAAAUAUUCAAAGAAAAAGGUAAACAGAGUUUUGUAAGAUUUUUUUAAAUUUUUCUUCACUUUUCUUUGUUUUUUUUUACUGCUUUGUUCAUUAAUAAUAUGUGUAAGGCCCAAUUUUUGUCCGGCCUGUUACAGAAAUAAAAAACCAAACAAAACCAAAAUGUUUCAGUCCAAUUUUGCUAAGCCCAAUAACCCAAUAGCACAGCCCAAAUCAAUUUAUCCUAAAACUAACCCAGCUACAAUCACCGAAACCCUAAAAUCCCUUAGCCACCGCCUCCAGCAAGUGUCCAAUCAGCGCACGUUUCGGAACCAGCCCUCUUCUCCGCGUCGUGCUCUCCACGUCUACCUGCGAAAACGGACUAAAAGAGUCCCAAUAUUGUAAAAUAAAAAUACAAAGUAUUUUCUUAGGCUAUAAAAAGCCUAACUUGUACACUGAUAAAAAUAAAAGAAUAGAGAACAGAAUAAAUAUUUUUACAAAGGUGAUUUUUUUUUGUUUUAUUCCGCAGUGACCAUUUUUUAUUUACAUAUGUUUUAUUUUCUUUUAUUUUCAUUUAUUUCGUAUAAAAUAACAAAGAAAAAAGAAAAGGAAAACAUACCUUUUGUCGGACUUGCCGGAUUGUUGCCAUCUCCAGCGCUAGGAGUUAGGGCUGAAAACCCUAGCAGAGGGCAUUUAGUUUUUUUUUUCCUUUCAUUCUGCUGCAAAUGUUUUUUAGAGAAAAAAAUUGUUUUAAAUAACAGAGCAAAACGGCGCCGUUUUACCCAGGCAUGACCCGCGCGGUGACCCGACCCGGAGGGAGGAUUCGCGCGUUUUGGUCGAAGGGAAAAUUUGCGCAAUUGGUCCCUCCCUUUUGCAAUGCGCUUCAAUUAAACCUGUUUUGUUUUUUUUAAUUUGGCCGCAUAUUUUAUUUUUGUUUCAAUUUGGUCCCUUGCUGCGCAGCAUUUUGGAGGGUAGGAUUAAUUUCCCUUCUAGUCCCCCAUUGUUGUUCGCGCGUUCAAGUUGGUCCUUUUUUUAUUUAUUUUUGAAUCUACCCCAUCUUUUCGUUUUUAAGUUCAAUUUAGUCCAUUUUUUAGCUUUUUCUUUUUUAUGUUUGUCAUUGUACCAUUAUUAUUAUUAUUAUUAUAUUAUUUGCUAUCAUUAUUGUUAUUGUAUUUUCUAUACAUAUAAAUACGCAUAUUUUUUAUAUAUAAUAUAUAAGCAUAUUUUUAAUAUAUAUAUUUAUAAGUACGCAUCUAUUUUAUACAUACAUACUUUUUUUUUUAUUUCCUAACCUUUAUGUACACGUAUAUAUACUUCUAUAUUUUGGUUUCAAAAUUUUUUAUACAUAUGCAUGUUCGUUUUUUCUUAUAUAUAUUAUUUUUCAUUUUUUUUACAAAACGUAUAUAUAUGUGUAUACAUACACAUUUUAAAAUACACACAUGUUUCCCAUAUUUUACAAUUCAAAAUACACAUUUUUUAUAUUAUAUAUAUACAUUCUUUAUAUUUUUGAGUUAUUAUAGACAUUUUUAUUAUUCUAUAUAUACUCCGUUAUUUAUGUACAUAUCAUACAUAUAUAUAAAUUUUUUAAUAUAUGUAUACAUAUUUUCAUGUUUUACCAAUACAUAUAUACUUAUACAUUUUUUUUCUGUAAAUAUAUACACAUAUACAUACUUUUAUAGUUUUAUUUUAUUUUCACGGUUUUCAAAUGCACAUACGUGCAUUUUUUAUGAGUUUUUGAUUGAUAUAUUCCAUUCCAUUUUUUUAUAUGUAUCCUUGUAUAUGUGUGUAAAAUAUAUGCGUACACAUAUUUUCAAAUUUUCUUGUAUAUUGUACUUGUAUGUAUAUAUUUUGUAAAUACAUAUUCAUAUAUGUUUUAAAUUAACGUUUUGUUUCAUAUUGUACGUUAACUUUUAACAUACCUUUUGGGAAAUAUAUUUUGGUUUUGUCAGUAUAUCAAAAUCAUUUUCUCUUGAUUCAAAGUUUUUUUGAAUAAAAGCAAUAUUCAAGUUUGAGAUUUUUGAGGAAAAUUGAGCCCUAACGUAUUGGGUUCUGAUUUUCUUUGUUAAUCUUAAAUAACCGAGGAUAUUCUUUAUUCAAAAUGCAUGAGUAUAAAGAUCAUUUUUGGGAACUUAACUUGUUGUGUCCUAAUGUAUUGGGCGUGACAUAUUACUUUCUCAAAAUGAAGAUUUUCACAUAAAAUAAAAGUGAUAUUCAAAGUUCGGGGAUUUUGAGAAAUUGUACCCUAACGUAUUGGGACUCGAUUUCUUUACAUGACUUGAACAAUUGAUUAUCCUUUUCAAAUUUCAUCAUUUAAGUUGUUUUAAAAAAAAUUAGCCCUCGACAUUAAGACAUUAAAUAAUUAAUUUGGUACAGAUUUUGGGUGUCACGAGGGUGCUAACCCUUCCUCGUGCGUAACUGACUCCCGAACCCAUUUUCUCAAAUUUCGUAGACCAAAAUACGUUUUAAGGUGAACUGAUCACACCUCAAUAAAAGAUCGGUGGUGACUCCAAUUUUGUUUUUUUAAAAAGUCGACAACUACAUUUUUGAUUUAGAAAUGGUUUCGACAGCUUGGCGACUCCACUGGGGACACUAGAGAGUCGAGCCAUAAAUUGAUUAUUUUUGUCUUGUGAUUGAAAAAUCAAAUUUGUUUUAAAAUCAUGAUUUCCCUUUACAUUCAUUGAUUUUCAUCAUGAUAUAUUUGCAUGAUGGGUCCGAGUCGAUUAAUUUGUAUUUGCAUUAUGCAUUGCAUUGGUUGGUCAGUGUUACCUCUUUAAGUGGGAGCGAGAAACUAGUCCUUCGUGAGGUUUUGACCUCCGUGCAGGGUAGUAGACCGCUUUCGGGAUACAUCCGUACCUAUGUCUUCGUGAGAUUUUCAUCUCCGUGCAGCCAUAGGGAAAUGUAUUCCCUUGAACUGAACUCAGUCCAUAUGAGCCUAUAAUGGGUGAGGAUCGAGGAAUCUGCUGGUUCGGGUACCUUUGCUCUAGAAACUAAACCUCAUAUACUGAGAUUUAGGGACUUGCCCUAGGUAGAGCUAUACCAAACCCUAGAGGAGUCCUGAAUAGGUUUUAUUAUUUCCUAUGUACGUUGAAUUAUGAUUUUAUGCAUGAUACUAACUUGUGUGUUUUGUUUUGGCGGUAUGGCAUUUUGACUGCAUGGCAUUUCAUUAUAGAAAAAAAAUGUUGAUUCAUGUUUGGUUGUUAAAUAGAGAGCUUGCUACGGAAAAUAGAUUUCUUGAUAAGGUGAAAGAUAAUACGGUUGUCUGAGUAUAGUCUAAGAAAACGUGACGCGAAAGGUAAUAGCGUAACAAGAGGAGUAUACGACUUUGCUGCGUUGCCCAAGGAUUCAAAUUGUCAAAGAUUAUUCAAGAGUCAUCAAACGUCCUAACCUCUUAAAGAAGCUCAUGGGCAUGAGUGAGCAAAGAGAUACGACCUAGAUCAAACAAAAUGGAGCUAAGAUUCGCAAAAUGCAUCUUAAUGUUCGAAUGGUCGAUGCCUUCACUUGGAGUACGAGCACAAAGCCGUAUAUAUAUAUCCGCUUUGUGUAAAGAGAUUUGUUUUCUAGUGAAGUUUUUCUAAUAAAGAAUUGAACUAGAAUCAACGUCUCUUUUUGCAUUUAUUUCAUGCAUUUGCAUUACAUUACAUCACAUGCAUUAAACACCGUAAAAGGAUCCUAAUUAACUAAAUCAUUGCUCAGUUAACCUGGAAACCAACCAACCAACCAAACACCAUUAUGACACUUGAGCAAAGAUUAAAGAUAUGGAUCAGAGAUUGGAAAAGCUCGAAUAGUACCAGAAGAAGAUGCAAGACCGACUUCAGCUGCAAGUGCAAGAACGGUUGGACAAGAUGCAAUAGGAUAUGUCAGAGAAGAUACAGGAAUCCCAAAAGGAUAUGAUGGCGAAGCUGACCCAACUAUUGACUGGAGGAAGUGAUAAGGGAAAAGGGACCUGUAGCUAAUGUCGAAGAAGGCAACGAGGAUGAACCUCUCUAUCCUCCAGGCUUUACUCCUCCACAUGUACGAACUCAAGCUGAGGUAUACCCGCACAAAUCUAUUGUCACAAUCAGGCCUCAGCAGUUCCAGGCCGGUACUUCAAAUUUCCAAGCUGGAUCGGGCUCUAACCCCGGGAACUACCCUAUUAACUCUGCCAUUCCUGACUUCGAUGAAAUGGCUGAAAAGGAAAAAAUAAAUGAAGAGUUACCAAGGCAGUUAGAAGAGAGGUGUAAAUGGCUCGAAGAGAAGUUCAAGGCGAUGGAGAUCACUGAAAACUAUCGUGGGAUCAACGCUAAAGAACUGAGUCUAGUCCUAAAUUUGGUACUCCCUCAUAAGUUUAAGAUGCCGAAAUUUGAAAAAUAUAAUGGGACAAGUUGCCCAGAAGCACAUAUCACCAUGUUCUGCAGGAGAAUGGCUGGAUAUGUUAACAAUGACCAGCUACUGAUUCAUUGUUUCCAGGAUAGCCUUACAGGGGCAGCAUCUAAAUAGUACAAUCAACUGAGCCAUACCAUGAUAGGUUCAUGGAGGGACUUAGCACAAGCGUUCAUGAAACAGUACAGUCAUGUAACAGACAUGGUUCCUGACAGAAUCACCCUUCAGAAUAUGAAAAAGAAGCCAAACGAGAGCUUUAGGUAAUAUGCACAAAGGUGGAGGGAGGUGGCUGUUCAAGUUCAGCCACUGCUCUUGGAAAGAGAAAUGUCAAUGCUCUUUAGAAAUAUAUUGAAAGCCCCGUUCAUUACGCAUAUGUUAGGAAGUGCUACAAAAAGCAUUUCUGACAUAGUUAUGAAUGGUGAAAUGAUCGAAAAUGCUAUAAGGAGUGGGAAAAUCAAUGCAGAGGAGAGUAACAAGAGGCCAGUCUCAAGAAGAAGAGAAAAUGAGGUGAACAACACGGGUUACUCUAAAUCAGUUACUAUGAGUCAGCCAAGAAAGUUGGUUGCUAACCAACAAGGUUCAUCAAGACAAGAAGAUGGUACAAGACAAAACACUAAGAGGCCCCAAUUCACGCCAAUUCCGGUGUCGUAUAGGGAGUUAUAUCAAAGAUUUUUUGAUGCACAUGUUGUUUCCCCUUUUCAUGUAAAGCCUCUACAACCUCCGUACCCCGAAUGGUAUGAUGUGAACGCACAAUGUGAAUACCAUGCGGGAAUUACGGGACACUCAAUAGAGAAUUACACUGCCUUCAAGAAGCAAGUUGAAAGACUCAUCAACACGGGUAUUGUCAAGUUUGGUGACUCAUCUAGUGCAGAAAAUCCGCUACCCAAUCAUAUUGAUAAUAGAGGUGAGAUUUUCACAUCGACGCCGUAUGUGCAGACACAACCAAAAGGGUUAUUGUUAGAUAUUCACCUGGAAGGUGCUAUAAAUAAUGGGACUGCAGAGGAAACCCCUAUAGUAUUUAGAGUCUGUUAGGGUAAUGUUCAGAACACACUUGUUGCUUUUAGCCUAGAAGCAAUAAGAACUUCUUUGUGAAAUAGGCUCAUGUCUGAACAUUGUUAUUUUAAUGAAAUACAUUAUUGCAAUCAUCUUUGAGCAAAUGUUCUUUCAUUCUUUACGAUUCUUUCAUUCUUUUGGAUUUUUUUUGCCAAACCAUUUUUUUCAUUCAUUCAUAUUAUUUAUAAAUUCAUACAUUAUUUUGUAUAUUCUUUGGUACCUACUAGGGGUCCCCAGAUAUCAAUGACAUGAGUGACGCUGCUAUAGACUCAGAACUUCCUUUUGAGUGAGACAUGUGUUUAGAGGGAUCUCAUGACUUUGAUGAUGACAUAGAUUGCAGCUUAUCUCCAGAUUUGACGAAGGUGAUAGAAUAAGAGGAUAAGAUAGAUCAUACCUCAUAAGAAAUUAUUAGAAAUUGUAAGCUUGGUGAAGAUUAAAAUUGACAUGACCACAAAGACGAAGUGGGACCUUAUGAAUUACCCUAAGAAUUCAAUGAUGUCUUCACAUGGUCAUACCCAGAUAUGCUCGGGUUAAGCACUGACUUUAUAAUCUGAAUAACAACAUGAUGUCAGAAAUUUGCAGUAGGUUCAGCAUUAAUGUUAUGAACGAUGCAGUGAAAUUUCUUUAUUGGGGAAAUGUCCUUCUCUUUGGCUUAUCAUAGCUUUGCUCAUUGAAGUUGAAUUGCCAUUUCUCUGUAUUUUUAUCCUAAGAGGAAGAUCUGAAGGUUCGUCCUAGAGAAUUUCACAAGGGGGAGCUAGUGUUGAAAAUGAUCAUUCCUAUACAAAAGGGAUUUUAGAGGAAGAUAGAUGCCAAAUUAGGAGGGUCCAUAUGUUGUAAAGAAAGUCUUUUCUAGGAAAACUUUGAUCCUGAGUGAGAUGGAUGGUAAAGAUUGUCCAAGCCCUGUAAACUCAGAUUCAGUUAAGAAGUACUUUUCCUAAAAAAGGGGACCAAGGUGAAAGCCUACAAAGGGCGCCUUGAGUAAAAAAAAAUAGAGAGGCCAAGGUGAAAACCCGCGAAGGGAGGCUUGAGACCAAAAGGAUUUUAGUUGAAAACCCAAAAAGGGCGGCUCAAAUGUUGAUCAAAAUGGCAUUUGAAAUUAUCAGAGCAGCUCAAAUACUGAUCAGAAUGGGGCAUGCAGUGGUCUUGCUAUACCUGAAUCAACAGGAAAGGGGUAGGCAACAUCUUGGGGCAUCGACAAAGCACUGUUGAUUUCCUAAACACAUGUUAAAAUCAGAAUGGUCUUCAGAAAGUUUGCACAGAGAAGUUCAGGCUGCGAUACCUGGGGCACCGAAUCCUUAUACUAUUUUUGUUAUACUUGGAACACUUCAUUCAUUUCCAAGACACGCAUUCUUAAAUUAAUUUCUUUAUUAUCUUUGACAAUUUAUUCAUUUCGAGCUAUGUUCAGAACCAACUCUAUUCUUAUCCAUGAUCUUUUUGCAAGCAUGUUGCAUUAGAAUAAUGAUUAAUGGACUAAUAAAACUUUCACAAAGGAAGUUUUGCAUAUUACUCUAGAAAUUUCUAAAUAAUAUAGGAACCUGAAACAGGACUAUUGUUUAGAACACACCAAGUUUAAAGGUUGGAAAUCUGAUAAGGAGGAGUCUAAAUUAAGACUAUCCUUUUAAAUUUUGUUGUCUAAAACAUUGUUUGAACAAAAUGAUAAGAUGUCAUAUUGGUGACAAAGCUUAGAUGAAAGAAAGUAAUGAUCACCGAAUAAUAAGAAGAAGUUGUUCUUGGAGAAUAAAAUUUUUCAUUUGUGCAUUGGCAUUUGGUAUGACACCCAUAGAAUGGUAAAAGACCAAAGAGCUUCACAUUCUACAUCCUUGAAUUGUGAUAGGAGAGGAUUGAGAAAAUGCCAGAUUUUUCUUGGGUUACAGCGGGAGAAAGAUGGUACAAAUGUUACAUCCUAGUGGAUUGAGCUUUGAAGUUCACAGUGGGGGCAAUCUGGUCAAGUGUUUCUUUGGAGACGUUAGCCAAGCAAAAGGUGCUAUAGCACAUUAGCGAUAAAAUUUUAAUAAACUUUGAGUAAUGAUAACCUAAGUGAUAAGGAGGAAUCAUUCUCGAAAAAUGACAUUCUGUAUUCAUUCAAAUGUCAUUCAUACAUGCCUAGUUAGGAGCAUUUGAUUCAUUCUGUUCAUGACAUCCUAAUCAUUAGGUAUAAUUAGGUUCAUAAAGUGAAUUAUACAGGUCAUGCUCCCUAGAGGACAGAUCAGAGAAAUCAUAAAGCCUUAUCUCCCUGAGCAACGGUGGAGCAGGUUGAAAAGCAGCAGAUCUUGUCUUCCCGUACUGGUGACGAAGUAGAUCGAAGAAAGCAGAUCUUGUCUUCAUGUAUUGGCGUGAAGUAGAUCGAAGAAAGAAGAUCUUGUCUUCCCAUACUGGUGGUGAAGUAGAUCGAAGAAAGCAGAUCUUGUCUUCAUGUAUUAGCGUGAAGCAGAUCGAAGAAAGCAGAUCCUGUCUUCCUAUAUUGGUAGCGAAGUGGAUCGAAGAUAGCAGAUCUUGUCUUCAUGUAUUGACGUGAAAUAGAUCAAAGAAAACAGAUCUUGUCUUCAUGUAUUGGCGUGAAAUAGAUCGAAGAAAGCAGAUCAUGUAUUGGCGUGAAAUAGAUCGAAGAAAGCAGAUCUUGUCUUCAUGUAUUGGCAUGAAGUAGAUCAAAGAUAGCAGAUCUUGUCUUUCCAUACUGGUGGCGAAGUAGAUCGAGGAAAGCAGAUCUUGUCUUCAUGUAUUGGCAUGAAGUAGAUCAAAGAGAGCAGAUCUUGUCUUCCCAUACUGGUGGCGAAGUAGAUCGAAGAUGACAGAUCUUGUCUUCAUGUAUUGGCAUGAAGUAGAUCAAAGGAUAGCAGAUCUUGUCUUCAUGUAUCAGCAGUGAAGUAGAUCGAAAAUACAAGUCUUAUCUCCCUGAAGUAGCAGUGGAGCUGACAGAAGUAACCAAUCCUAUCUCCUUGAAGUUGCAAUGGAGUGGAUUAAACCUGCAGAUCUCAUCUCUCUGAAGUUGCAGUAGAGCAGAUCGCAUCAGAUUUAUUUUUAAGUUGUAGCAGAACAAGUUGAAGCUAUAAGUCUUAUCUCCCUGAAGUUGUAGUGGAGCAGAUUAAAGAUAGCAAUUUUUGUUCUUUUAAAAAGCUACAGUGUACGAACCCUAUCUCCUUGACAUUGCAGUGGGGUAGAUUGAAACACUAGUUCCUAUACUUCAGAAGAUGUAGUAGGAAAGAAUGAGGUUACUUGAAGGAAAAAGAACUGAAUAAGUCGAGGCUCAGUAAGACCGGGCACAAUUGGGCUUUUAGUAUUUGCUCUGUUCCCGUUACAUGACAACGAGCAAAGAGGGGCAGCUAUAGGGCCCAAUUUUUUCCUGGCCCGUUACAGAAAUAAAAAACCAAACAAAAACCAAAAUGUUUCAGUCCAAUUUUGCUAAGCCCAAUAACCCAAUAGCACAACCCAAAUCAAUUUAUUUUAAAACUAACCUAGCUACAAUCACCGAAACCCUAAAAUCCCUUAGCUACUGCCUCCGGCAAGUGUCCAAUCGGCACACGUUUCGAAACCAGCCCUAUUCUCCGCGUCAUGCUCUCCACAACUACCUGCGAAAACGGACUAAAAGAGUCCCAAUAUUGUAAAAUAAAAAUACAAAGUAUUUUCUUAGGCUAUAAAAAGCCUAAGUUGUACACUGAUAAAAAAAAAGAACAGAGAACAAAAUAAAUAUUUUUACAAAAGUGAUUUUUUUUUGUUUUAUUUCGCAGUGACCAUUUUUUAUAUACAUACGUUUUAUUUUCUUUUAUUUUCAUUUAUUUCGUAUAAAAUAACAAAGAAAAAAGAAAAGGAAAACAUACCUUUUGUCGGAGUCGCCGGAUUGUUGCCAUCUCCAUCGCGGUCGGAGCGUCGGCAUGGGCGAACGGCGGCGCUAGGAGCUAGGGCUGAAAACCCUAGCAGAGGGCAUUUGGUUUUUUUUUCCUUUCAUUCUGUUGCAAAUUUUUUUUAGAGAAAAAAAAACUGUUUUAAAUAACAGAGCAAAACGACGCCGUUUUACCCAAGCAUGACCCGCGCGGUGACCCGACCCGGAGGGGAGGAUCCGCGCGUUCUGGCCGAAGGGAAAAUUUGCGCAAUUGGUCCCUCCCUUUUGCAAUGCGCUUCAAUUAAACCUGUUUUGUUUUUUUUAAUUUGGCCGCAUAUUUUAUUUUUGUUUCAAUUUGGUCCCUUAUUGCGCAGCGUUUUGGAGGGUGGGAUUAAUUUCCCUUCUAGUCCCCCAUUGUUGUUCGCGCGUUCAAGUUGGUCCUUUUUUAUUUAUUUUCGAAUCUACCCCAUCUUUUCAUUUUUAAGUUCAAUUUAGCCCAUUUUUUAGCUUUUUUUUUAAAUUCUUUUUUAUGUUUGUCAUUAUACCAUUAUUAUUAUUAUAUUAUUUGCUAUCAUUAUUGUUAUUGUAUUUUCUAUACAUAUAAAUACGCAUAUUUUUUAUAUUUAAUAUAUAAGCAUAUUUUUAAUAUAUAUAUUUAUAAGUACGCAUCUAUUUUAUACAUACAUACAUACUUUUUUUUAUUUUAUUUCCUAACCUUUAUGUACACGUAUAUAUACUUCUAUAUUUUUGUUUCAAAAUUUUUUAUACAUAUGCAUGUUCGUUUUUUUUAUAUAUAUUAUUUUUCAUAUUUUUUUACAAAACGUAUAUAUAUGUGUAUACAUACACAUUUUAAAAUACACACAUGUUUCCCAUAUUUUACAAUUCAAAAUACACAUUUUUUUUAUAUUAUAUAUAUACAUUCUUUAUAUUUUUGAGUUAUUAUAGACAUUUUUAUUAUUCUAUAUAUACUCCGUUAUUUAUGUACAUAUCAUACAUAUAUAUAAAUUUUUUAAUAUAUGUAUACAUAUUUUCAUGUUUUACCAAUACAUAUAUACUUAUACAUUUUUUAUUUCUGUAAAUAUAUACACAUAUACAUACUUUUAUAGUUUUAUUUUAUUUUCACGGUUUUCAAAUACACAUACGUGCAUUUUUUAUUAGUUUUUGAUUGAUAUAUUCCAUUCCAUUUUUUAUAUGUAUCCUUGUAUAUGUGUGUAAAAUAUAUGCGUGCACAUAUUUUCAAAUUUACUUGUAUAUUGUACUUGUAUGUAUAUAUUUUGUAAAUACAUAUUCAUAUAUGUUUUAAAUUAAUGUUUUGUUUCAUAUUGUACGUUAACUUUUAACAUACCUUUUGGGAAAUAUAUUUUGGUUUUGUCAGUAUAUCAAAAUCAUUUUCUCUUGAUUCAAAGUUUUUUGAAUAAAAGCAAUAUUCAAAGUUUGGAAUUUUUGAGGAAAAUUGAGCCCUAACGUAUUGGGUUCUGAUUUUCUUUGUUAAUCUUAAAUAACCAAGGAUAUUCUUUAUUCAAAAUGCAUGAGUAUAAAGAUCAUUUUCGGGAACUUAACUUGUUGUGUCCUAAUGUAUUGGGCGUGACAUAUUAUUUUCUCAAAAUGAAGAUUUUCGCAUAAAAUAAAAGUAAUAUUUAAAGUUCGGGGAUUUUGAGAAAUUGUACCCUAAUGUAUUGGGACUCGAUUUCUUUACAUGACUUGAACAAUUGAUUAUCCUUUUCAGAUUUCAUCAUUUGAGUUGUUUUAAAAAAAAUUUUUUAGCCCUCGACAUUAAGACAUUAAAUAAUCAAUUUUGUACCGAUUUUGGACGUCACAAGGGUGCUACCCUUCCUCGUGCGUAAUUGACUCCCGAACUCGUUUUCUCAAAUUUCGUAAACCAAAAUACGUUUUAAGGUGAACUGAUCACACCUCAAUAAAGGAUCGGUGGCGACUCCAAUUUUGUUUUUUUAAAAAGUCGACAACUAUAUUUUUUAUUUAAAAAUGGUUUCGACAAUAUGAAAUAAAAGAAAAAUAGAGAGUAGGGAGAGAAAUUUACCUAAAAGCUGAGACGUCGUUCGUCUGUCGUAAUCGAAGUCGGACGAGGAAUCGGGGCCUCCAAACGCUGGUUUGUUGAGCGGCGCACGGAGGAAAAGUUGCUUAGGGUUUGUAGAUCUAUUAAAAUGGCUUAAUGCCUUGGUUUUUUUAGGUUUCAUGCGUGCAACGAAAUGGCACCGUUUGAACCCCGUUCUAAUGGCUCCAAAGCGAUGUCGUAUUGAGGCUCGACCCGAUUCGAACUAGGUUCCAGAUCUGCGUGUUUUACCUCAUAGGGGAGAAUUUCGCGAAUAGUCCUCCGCUUUUAUAGAACCUUCAAAUUGAUCCUUUUAUUUCUUUUAAAUUUGGCUGCUCAUUUUGUGCUUCAUUUCAAUUAGGUCCGUGCAAGGAUGCUGCGUUUUGAGGGAAGGGAUAUUUUCCCAUUCAGUCCCCAAGUUAUUCGCGCGUUCCUUUGUGGCCCUUAAUGUUAUUUUAUUUUUAUUUUCUCUUUUAAUUUUGAAUUAAAUGCAGUUUAGCUUGUUUUUGUUUAAUUUAAUGUAUUCAAUUUUUAUUUUAUUUUUAAUAUUCAUCAUUCUUUUUUAAAAAAUAUUUAAUUUUACAUCUAGAUUAUUUUAUGUUUAAAUUUAGUAUAUUUUAAAUUUAUUAACAAUAUUAUUUUAAUAUUAUAACAUAUUAUUAUUCUAAAUGUAACAUUAACAUUAUUUUAAAUUUAUCAUGUACAAUCUUAUGCAUUCUUGUUGUAGUUUCAAUAUAAUUUAUAGAUUUUUUUACAUUUUUAUUUUAUAAUACAUUUUUUAACUUCACUUAUAUAGUUCUUUGCUUUAAGAUUUGUACAUUAAUAUUCUUACAUAAUAUUUUUCUAUACAUAUAUAUAAUUUGUGUUAAAUUAUUUUUUAUUAUAUAUAUAAUAUAUUACCGAUUUCAUAUUAUUACAUAUCUUUUUACAUAUUUUUAUAUAUACAUAAUUUAUUUCUUUUAAAACCCUACUUUAUUAUGUACUUUGUUUAUUUCAACUUUUUAUAAUAUUAUAUAUAUUAUUAUUAAACUUUUCAUUUCAUAUAUAUAUUACUUAUUUAGAUUAAUGUAUGUAUAUUAUUUGGUAUAUUACAUAUAUAUAUAUUGUAGCAACGUAAAAAUUUUAGCUUAGCUUGGUCGCUAAUUGUGGCGAUUUAUUGAAAUUUUUUUUGAAAUUUGACGUUUGAUUUUUGAAAUAAAUAGGGAGUUGCCACCGAUCCUUUUUCCUAGGUGUGAUCGGACACCUAUUAGAUCUUUUAUUAAAACAAAUAAAAGGCUAAGUUUAGGUCUACGUUAAAAUCCAGAAAAAAUUUAGGGUUCGGGAGUCGGUUAUGCACGAGGAAGGUAUUGGCACCCUCGCGACGCCCAAAAUUGGUAUCUUAUUAAACACAUGUUGUCUUGAUUUUCAAAAAUACGAAUUCAAUUUGACAUUUAAGUGUGAUCCGAUUGAAGGAAAUGAGAAGUUGCAAGUUUUUUUGUUUUUUAGAAGGACGUCCCGUUUUUAACACGAGCCGAUUAAUUUCACCCAACAUAGGAUGAAAUCAAUGACUUAAUGUUAAAAUCGGUACAUUGCCUUAUUCUUAAAAUUAAAAUGUAAAAAGUUUUUAAAAUGAUAGUAAAAAAAAAUCCAAGAAUAUUAUUGUCAAAAAAAUGCGAAUAAUGAUGUGAAUAAUAAAAUAUAUAAAAUAUAAAAUAUCAAAAUAUCAAAAUAUUAGAAUAAUAAUAAUUAAUAUUGAAAAAUAAAAAAUAAAAUAGAAAUAAAAAAAAUGUACAUAAUAUAUAUUAGAAAUAAUAAUGAUGUUUAAAAAUCAAUACUAUUAAUAAUACUACAUUAAUAUGUACAUAUAUAAAAAAAAUACGUGAUAAUAUUAAAAAUAUGUACAUAAUAUAGUGUUAAAAAUACAUACAUAAUAUAGUUAAGAUAUAUACAUAAGAUAACAUGUAAAAAAAAUAUAUAAAUAAUAUAAUAUUAAAGAUAUAUACAUAAAAUAGUAUAAAAUAUAUAUACGUAAUAUAGAAUUUAAAAUAUACCUAAUAUAUUAAAAGAAUAUAUAUAAUAUAAUAUUAAGAAAUAUAAUAAUAACAAAAAAGGAGAGAGAGGGAGAGGGUGGAUGAUUUUCGGCCACAAGGUCGGCCAUCGUCCGGUCACUGGACCGCCGCCGGCGCCACCGUACACGGCAGCCGGACCUCAAAAAAAACUUUUUCGGUAAAAAUGGGUAAGCUUCCUCCUUUUAUUUUUUUUCACUUUCGUAUAAAAGAAACAAAAUAAGAUUGAAAGGAAAACAAUAAGUAAACAAAGAACUUAAAAUGAGAAUAGACAAAGAAACCUCUUUUGCUUUGAUCUUUAAUUAAUCUUCAAAAAAACUAGCUUCUCCAAAAACUAGCCUUCACAAUAACUCUUCUCCUUAAUUACUUUAAAAAGAAACCUCUCCAAAAAUCCUUUACAAUAACUUUCUCUCCCAAAAACUUUCCAAAAAAAAAUCCCCCCCCUUUUACAAAAUAUGAUAAGGCUUAUAUAGCUAUUUACAAAAUAUUUUUUUAUUGUUUAUGUCUUCAUUUGUAGGUACAAGUGGUGGUGGAGCAAGUGUGGUUAGUGGAGUAGGUAAUGGAGCAAGUGUGGCUAGUGGAUUUGGUGGUGGAGAAGGUGUGGCUAGUGGAGUUGGUGGUGGAAAAGGAGUGGCUAGUGGAGUUGGUGGUGGAAAAGGUGUGGCUAGUGGAGUUGGUGGUGGAAAAGGUGUGGCUAGUUGAGAAAAGUUUAAGUUGUGGGCUAGGUUUUUUUAUUUUGAUUUGGGCUUAGGGUUUGGGCCAUUGGGGUUUUGAUGUAAAUUGGGCUUUGGGUAGUUAAGAUUUUGGGUUUUGGGUUUAAUUUUGGUGGGUUAGGUAAGGCUAAAUUGGGUUUUGAUGUAAAUGGGCUAAAAUUGGCCUACAACAGCUGCCCCUCUUUGCUUAUUAUCGUGUAACGAGAAUAGAGCAAAGAUAUAAAGAAAGGCCAAUUUUGCCCGGUCUUGCUAAGUAUGGACUUCUUUGGUGCUCUUCUCAUCCAGGUAGUCUCUUUCCAGUCCAUCGCAUCUUGUAGCUUUGGUUCAAUCCACUGCAAAUUCGGAGAUAUGCCUUAUAGCUUCAAUCUGUUCCAAUGUAAUUCAAUAUGCUCUUCUAUCGCUUCAGUGAGAUAAGGUUUUGGGUCUUCUCUUCUGCCACUUUAGAAAGGCAAGAUCUGAUAUCCUCGAUCAACUCCACUGCAACUUCAGGGAGACAAAAUCUGGUGUCUUCAAUCAGGUCUAAUAUUGAUUCUUUACUCGGCAUGUGAUCCUGAGCUCAACUCAUUUCUCGCAAUAUGAAUUGACUCUGUAAAACUAGACAUUAAAAACAGAAAUUGAAAAUAGCUCAGCACGUGAGCCAAGGCUCAACUCACCUCUCGCAAAAGUAGAUUUUGAAAAUACCUCGACAUGUAAACCCAAGGCUCAACUCACAUCUCGCAAUAUGAGUUGAUUUUUGAAAAGCAGAAAUUGAAAACGCCUCAGCGUGUGACCCGAGGCUCAACUCACCUAUCGCAAUAUGAGUUGAUUUUUUUGAAAAGCAGAAAUUGAAAAUAGCUCAGCACGUGAGCAAAGGCUCAACUCACCUCUCACAAUAUGAGUUGAUUCUUUUGAAAAGCAGAAAUUGAAAAUAGCUCAGCACGUGAGCAAAGGCUCAACUCACUUCUCGCAAAAGUAGAUUUUGAAAAUACCUCGACAUGUGAACCCAAGGCUCAACUCACAUCUCGCAAUAUGAGUUGAUUUUUGAAAAAUAUAAAUUGAAAAAAAUAGAAAUUGAAAAGCAGAAAUUAAAAAGACCUCAGCAUGUGAGCCGAGACUCAACUCACCUCUCGCAAUAUGAGUUAAUUUUUGACAAACAGAAAUUGAAAUUACCUCAGCGUGUCCUGAGGCUCAACUCACCUCUAGCAAUAUGAGUUGAUUUUGAAAAACAAAAAUUAAAAGUACCUCAACGUGUCUUGAGGCUCAACUCAUCUCUCGCAAUAUGAGUUGACUUUCCUUGAAAAGCAUGAAUUAAAAACAUCAAAAUACCCAAAACCUAUCCUUUGGUAGAACUCGGGUGUCUUUUCCUUUGAUUCAGUGCGACUCUCAUUCAAGAUUUCUUGCUCUACUGGAGUACCUGUAUAUGCUAUGUAUGAUGUUAUCAUGAUAUGCACAUGUUUGUCUUAAAUGCUUUUAUGCCUACAUGAUUAUGCAGUGCUCCUUAAGCAUGUUUGUCGUAUGUCCAUUUAGCCACGAUUGUUGAGGGUCUGUGUUCAUUGCUUUGAUUCUCGACUUUCUCCUCAGGCCUUAUACCUACCUUCAAGCUUCACGAGUAAUCGACGUUCCUCAGAUAUCACUCUUCUGCCCCCGAUUGAACUUUGUUCUUACUUUGAGACUCUUGUGCUUAUCAAAUUUUCAUCCAGGUAAUGCUUAACAUUUCUCUUGUUUAGAGUAUGUCAUUUCUCCAUUUAUCAUGUAAAUAAACACAUAAUGAGAUGCAUGAAAAAGGUCAGGUAGGGAAAAAUGAUAUUUCAUAUUCAUCUAUUUCAAAUGUGGCAAACAAAGCAAGUUAACCAAUUAGAGUAAAAAAUGUCAAAAAGAAAGAAAGGAUCGUAUUCAACGGAUGCAAAUACUUUAGAUAUUCGACACAUGAACUCUUCCACGUUCCUCAAUCAAGAAUCUUUUCGAGUCUGGCUCUUUGCGUAGAAGAUUUCGAGCUUUCAGAAAUGCUUCAAAUACUGUAGUCUCACUGUUUGACCCGCUGUUAAAACGCCACGCUCUUUAAGCCAGGUUUACCUCAUUAGGACGCCCUCUCGGGUUUUCAUCCUAAUCUUUUGUGCUAAUCAAGACGCCCUUUGCGGGUUUUCGCCUUGAUCCCUCUUUUUUUUUGGAUGCCCUUUUCAGGUUUUCAUCUCAAGCAUAAUAUUUCUUCACAGCAUCUGAGUUCACUGGAUUCGGUAACUUCUUUCCAUCCAUCUUGGUAAGGAUCAAAGCUCCUCCUGAAAAUGCCUUCUUUACGACGUAUGGUCCUUCCCAAUUUGGUGCCCAUUUUCCUCGCAGGUCCUUUUGUAUUGGGAGAAUCUUCCUCAGUACGAGUUCUCCUUCGUGGAAUUCUCUUGGCCAUACUUUCUUGUCAUGGGCCGCGAUCAUUCUCUUCUGGUACAUCUGCCCGUGACAAAUUGCUCUUAGACGUUUUUCUUCGAUGAGGUUCAACUGAUCAUAUCGAUCUCAAACCCAUUCUGCUUCUUCUAACUUUAAUUCCAUUAAGACUCGCAGGGAGGGGAUCUCAACCUCAAUAGGUAGCACAGCUUCCAUUCCGUAAGCCAGAGAGAAAGGAGUUGCUCCCGUAGAUGUUCGCACAGAUGUGCGAUAUGCAAACAAAGCAACUGGAAGCUUCUCGUGCCAAUCUUUAUAUGUUUCAGUCAUUUUCCCAAUGAUCUUCUUAAUAUUUUUAUUGGCUGCUUCAACAGCCCCGUUCAUCUUUGGGCGAUAGGGCGAGGAGUUAUGAUGCUUUAUUUGGAACUGCUCGCACACUUCUUUCAUCAUCUUAUUGUUCAGAUUCGUGGCAUUAUCUGAAAUGAUUCUUUCAGGCAAACCAUACCGGCAAAUGAUUUCCUUUUUCAAAAACCUGCAAACUGCAGUCCUCGUCACAUUGGCAAACGAAGCGGCUUCUAUCCAUUUUGUGAAGUAAUCGAUGACCACAAAAACGAAUCGAUGUCCAUUUGAUGCUUUUGGAGAAAUUGGCCCUAUGACAUCCAUGCCCCACAUAGAAAAAGGCCACGGAGAAGUCAUGACAUGAAGGGGUGAAGGGGCUACAUGAAUUUUAUCGCUGUAGAUUUGACAUUUGUGGCAUUUUCUGGCAAAAUUGAUGCAGUCAUUUUCCAUUGUCAGCCAAUAAUAACCGAGUCUCAUGAUCUUUCUGGCCAUAUUGAAACCAUUGGCAUGCAUUCCGUAAAUUCCCUCAUAGACCUCUUCAAGUAUUUUUCUGGCUUCAACAUCAUCCACACAUCUCAAAAGCAUCUGAUCCUUUCCUCUUUUAUAUAGGAUAUCCCCAUCAAUAACAAAUCCCGCUGCCAUUCUUCUAAUUGUUCUUUUAUCGUUCUCAUUCGCUUGUUCGGGAUACCUUUGAUUCUUGAUAUAUUCUAAGAUAUCAUGGAACCAAGGUCGUCCGUCUACUUCUUUCUCAAUGCUACAACUGUGUGCAGGGACCUCGUAUAUGCUCAUUUUGAGGGGCAUUAUUUCUACUUCUCUACUUGCUUUGAACAAUGAAGCCAAAGUGGCCAGGGUAUCAACCAGUUGGUUCUCUUCUCGUGGGAAGUAAUGAAAAGUUAUUUCUUUGAAUUCCUUGAUCAAUCCAGCUACUAAAUCGCUGUACUUAAUCAAUUUUGAGUCCCUCACUUCCCACUCUCCACGGAUUUGGUAAAUCACUAGGGCUGAGUCCCUGUACACCUCUAAGAUCUUGAUGUUUCGUUCGAUAGCUGCACGAAGCCCCAUGAUACAGGCCUCAUAUUCUGUGAUAUUAUUGGUACAGAAGAAGUUCAGUCUUGCGGUGAACGGAUAAUGAUUCCCGUCUGGUGAUACCAGGAUUGCUCCUAUUCCUUGUCCUAAAGCAUUUGACGCACCAUCAAAGCACAUCUUCCAUGACUUCUCUUUUGAUGACUCGGAUUCUAUUUCUGUGAUGCACAUUAAGUCUUCAUCUGGGAAAUCGAAUCUUAAAGGCUCAUAUUCCUCUGUCGUUCGAGUUGCUAAGAAGUCAGCUAUUGCGCUCCCUUUUAUCGACUUCUGACUUACAUAGGUAAUGUCAUAUUCCGAAAGGAGGAUCUGCCAUCGUGCCAUUCUUCCUGAUAGUACCGGUGAUUCCAUCAUGUAUUUUAUUAGGUCCAGUUUUGAAAUUAGCCAUGUCGUGUGAUACAACAUAUAUUGUCUGAGUCUCCGAGCUACCCAAACCAGAGCGCAACAAUAUUUCUCAAUGGACGAAUAUUUUACCUCAUAUUCAGAGAACUUUUUGCUGGGGUAGUAGAUCACUUUUUCUUUCUUUCCUGACUCGUCGUGUUGCCCUAGUACGCAACCCAUUGAACUUUCAAACACAUUCAAAUACAAUAUCAAUGGUCUUCCAGGAGUUGGCGGUACUAGCACUGGAGGACUGGACAAAUAUUGUUUUAUCUUAUCAAAGGCCACUUGGCAUUCCUCGUUCCAUUCUCCCGGGUUAUGUUUUCGAAGAAGCUGAAAGAUUGGGUCGCAUUGGUUGGUAAGUUGAGCGAUAAAUCGGGCGAUGUAGUUUAAUCUCCCUAAAAAUCCUCUAACUUCCUUUUGCGUGCGCGCAUGUGGUAAUUCUUGGAUGGCUUUUAUUUUAUCUGGAUCAACUUCGAUACCUCUUUCACUGACAAUGAAGCCUAGCAACUUUCCCGAGGUAGCCCCAAAUGUACAUUUGGCUGGAUUAAGCUUUAGCUAAAACUUUCUCAGCCUUUCGAACAACUUCUUGAGGUUCACUACAUGCUCUUCUUCCCCUCGCAAUUUAGCAAUCAUGUCGUCGACGUAGACCUCUAUUUCUUUAUGCAUCAUGUCAUGGAAUAACGUUACCAUAGCCCUCUGAUAUAUUGCCCCAGCAUUCUUUAACCCGAAUGGCAUCACCUUGUAGCAGAACGUUCCCCACAUCGUUAUGAAGGUAGUUUUCUCCAUAUCCUCAAGGGCCAUCUUGAUCUAAUUAUACCCCGAGAAUCCAUCUAUGAAAGAAAACAAUGAAUGUUUUGCUGUGUUGUCCACAAACGUGUCAAUAUGUGGCAAGGGAAAAUUAUCUUUUGGGCUUGCUCGAUUCAGGUCACGGUAAUCCACGGACAUUCGUACUUUGCCAUAUUUCUUUGGUACUGGGACUAUGUUAGCCACCCAUUCUAGAUAUUUGGAGGCUUGUAGGAAGCCAGCAUCAAAUUGCUUCUUGAUUUCUUCUUUUAUUUUCAACAGCAUUUUGGGUCUCAUCCGUCUUAAUUUUUGCUGGAUGGGCUUGCAUUCUGGCUUUAAUGGGAGCUUAUGGACCACUAAAUCUUCAUCUAGCCCUGGCAUGUCCUGGUAUGACCAUGCGAAAACAUCUUUGUAUUCGCGGAGUAAAAUGAUCAAACUAUGUCUAGUACUCUCUGAAAUAGAAGUCCCAAUCUUCACUUCUUGUUUCCUCUCUUCAAUGCCCAAAUUUAUUAUUUCCACAGAUUCUUCAUGAGGCAAAAUCUGUUUAUCCUCUUGUUCCACCAUUCUUAACAAUUCAGGAGACGAGACAUAAUCUUCAGCAUUUUCUUCGGCUUCAAAUUCUCCUAAGCAAACAGCCUUCUCAAAAUCAAUUUCAAGAUUCGUAACGGGCUUAUUCAUAUCGUCAAUAUCUGAGCACCUGAAAGUUGAAUGGAAAAGGAAGCUAUAGAGGGGCAUCCAAGUAUUGGAAUCAACAAAGAAAUGUCAUGUCAUGGCAAUGAGGCAAAUGUGAGUAUAGGCUAUGAAAUGAGAAAAUGAUUAUGAAAUUAGUGAUAAUGCGAAAAAUCGUGACAAAAUGCAUCUUCAUUGAUAUUCACUUAAAUGAUAAAGAGCGAAUGCAAGCUCCUACAAAAGAAUUCUAUUAUAUCUAAGGACACAAUAGAAUGUUAAUGUUUGAGCAUUACUCUGAAGACUUAUAAACUACAAGAAGGUCCUCGGCAGUCCAAUUGUUCAACAUGAAACCAGGGGGACAAAGGCGUAUCCUUGAGACAUCUUUACUUGUGUCAGCUCCUUUGUCAAUGACAUUUAUACUGAUGUUCUGAAAACCCUUUUCGAUCAUUAACAUUGUGCCUUGUGCAUUGUCCUGCCUCGGGUAUAUCAUUCCCACAGACGUAAAUGUUCUUGACAAAGGAGGGAAUUCCAUAGGCUCCCAUUCUGGUUCUCGGCCUAAGGUUCUCGCAAUCCUUCUUUCUUGAUCUUUCUUCCACUGUCUUCUUCUUUGACGCAUGUCUGGCUGGAACCCCAAACCGUAUCGGGCCUUAUGAUGCACUGGUUUUAGAGCCCUGACUAUUCCUUGUAGAUAUCUCCCUAAACCUCUUCUCACUCGAGCUCCCCUUCCUACAGUCAACUUGACACCCAUUCUAGUAUUUCUCGACAAUUUAGGCACGGGAAUUUUGUUUCCCUCAGUGAAGAAUGUGGCAUUGACGAAUUCAAGGGAUCGGAAGGAGCAUUCCACUACGUCCUUGCUCACUUCAAGGUAUGGCGCAUCAGCAGAGAUAGAUGCGACAAUGUCUUCUUCUCCCUCGACAGUGACCAAACAGCCAUCCAUGAUAAAUUUCACCUUUUGAUGGAGGGAUGAUGGGACCGCUCUAGCAGAAUGGAUCCAGGGUCUUCCCAAAAGGCAGUUAUAUGAGGAUGUAAUGUCCAUGACUUGGAACUCGACAUCAUAUAUGUAGGGACCCACUUCCAGAGGGAUCUCAAUUUUUUCCAUGACUUCAUGCCUUGUCCUGUCGAAUGCCCUUACCGUAGAAUGACAGGGCCUUAAAUGGGACAGAUCCAUCGAAAUUCUGGAAAGUGUGGCCAAAGGCAUAACGUUGAGUGCCGAACCAUUAUCGAUGAGCACGUUCGGUAUUAUGUAGCCCUUGCAACGGGUUGUGAUAUGCAAUGCUUUCACUGAGCCUCUACCAUUGGGCGGUAUUUCAUCAUCACUAAAAGAAAUGAAAUUAUCCGCAUUCAAGUUGUUCAUCCACCUAUCCAGUUUUUCAAUGGAUACAUUGUUUGCCACAUAAGCUUGAUUUAACACUUUCAGCAGAGCGUUUCGGUGUGGUUCUGAAUUCAACAGCAGAGAUAAUACCGAGAUUCGCGCUGGCUGCUUACUCAAUUGUUCUACCACGUUGUACUCACUGUGUUUGAUAAAUUUUAAGAAUUCCUGUGCUUCCUCCUCGUCCACAGGAUUUUUAGCUUCUUGUUCAGGCGCAGUUUCAUGCUCAUCAUCGGUCACAUGCAUCGGUGCUUUUCCUUUCCGUUUCAAGUCACUGUUCUUCUUUAUCUCCUUCGAAUAACAUCUUCCACUAUGAGUGAAAUGACCUAAUUCCCCGAUUCUUCCAGUCAUGGCUUUGGGUUUUUCAUCUUCAGGUGUGACGAUAUUAAUGUCAUAUUUCCAUGGUACUGCUUUAUUGUCCUUGUAAGGGAAAGAAGAUGGUACUUCAAUUAUCAUUUUUGGUUUCACCGGCUCUUUCAUCGCAUCGUAAUAAAUUACUAACGGUUGAUCAGCGCUAUAAGGGGGACCUGAUGACUGGCUAUCAGAGGCGCAUACUUCUCUUUCAUUGGUCUCUUCCCUUUUGUUAAGGAUCUUAAUCUCCUUAUUAUCCAUCCGGUCUUGAAGCAACCUUUUAAAUUCCUCACACGACUGAAUGUCGUGUCCCACAAUUCCAUGGAAAUUGCAAAAACUUUGACCUUCUUCUCCGAGAAUUCUAUCGGGGUGACAAAGCAAUCAUUUCUUAACCAGUACCUCCCAGAUUUUCUGCAAAGGCGUCCUUAUUUCCAAAACACAUCUUCUGACUUUCCAUUCGUCCACUUUCCCCACUAUACUCACAUCCCUUUCGAUAUGGUUAGGGAAUGGGUUCCCAGUUGCAUUACUGGCACUAUCGAAUCGUAGGAUACCUGCAUCAAUGAGUCCUUGAACUCUUCUCUUAAAGGCUAGGCAGUUUUUCGUGGAAUGUCCCUGGUUUCCCGUAUGGUAUGCACAACUAGCGAAUUGUAUGUUUUAACCUCAGCGAACGAGUAUGGAAUAUGCAAUGAAUGAAUGAAUGCAUGAAUGUCAAAUGACUGUUAGUCAUGAAAGAAAUGCAAGAAAUUGGUGUUAAUUUCAAGAUAGCCCCUAUUUAGGCAUUUCCUUAAUCAAAAGAGUCUAUUACACAACGUUUCGGUCACUCGUGUAAUUGACUCCUCUAUCAGAAACCCCUUUUUGGCAACCAAUCUCUAAUCAACCCUUUCCUAACAAGAUGUAUAUGAUGCAUGAUGAAAAAUAGAAAUACAGACAAACAACAUUGGUUAGCAAAACACAUAUGAUCAGAGAAAAAUUGUGGAAAAUCUAACAAAUUAAGCUACUUGGUCCAAUGGACUCGAUUCCCUUGCAUAGAAAGUGAAAGUGCAAAAGGUAAGAGGCGUUCCUCCCGUGCACUUAUUUUGGUGACUACUAAACGGACGGAGGUUCAGCAUGGCUCUAGUUAGGUGGCUCGUAUGGUUCAUUAUAUGCGGUUUUGGUUCUAGAUAGGUACUCGAAUUGCCCGUACUAUCAUCUACUAAGAUUAACACGGAGCCUCGGUCAUAGCCUAUCACAGGCUCACGAGUUCAAUUCGAGGGGUUACAUUUACUUAUGCCUAUGCGGAGGGACAAGUUAACUCACGAAAGCAUAAAUCAUAUGUAACCCGAAAGUAUUCACUAGCCUGUGCGGAGGGACGAGUUAACUCACGAAGGCGUAGUGUUUACUUUCACUUAAACGGACGGAGCCCGGGUAGAGAGCUCAUGUUAUGCGAAAAUGCAAGUGCACGGUGUGUGGGGAACAACUCAUAAACCUUUACGUUUCACUUAAAGAAACUAAACCAAAAUUAAAACCAUAAAAAUUAAAAACUGAAAAACAACCAAAUAAGCAAGUUAGAAGAAAUAUUUACAGCACGAUACAAAUGCAUGAAUUUUGAAAAUGAGAUUUUCGGAUCACGACCAAAUAUUUACUUUGAACAAGGAAAUUUGAAAAUUUUGACAAAACGUGUUUAAUUCCAGACACGACUCUCAAAAAGGCUUUCCCCAGCGGAGUCGCCAGCUGUAGCGACGUAAAAAUUUUAGCUUAGCUUGGUCGCUAAUUGUGGCGAUUUAUUGAAUUUUUUUUUGAAAUUUGACGUUUGAUUUUUGAAAUAAAUAGGGAGUCGCCACCGAUCCUUUUUCCUAGGUGUGAUCGGACACCUAUUAGAUCUUUUAUUAAAACAAAUAAAAGGCUAAGUUUAGGUCUACGUUAAAAUCCAGAAAAAAUUUAGGGUUCGGGAGUCGGUUACGCACGAGGAAGUUAUUGGCACCCUCGCGACGCCCAAAAUUGGUAUCUUAUUAAACACAUGUUGUCUUGAUUUUCAAAAAUACGAAUUCAAUUUGACAUUUAAGUGUGAUCCGAUUGAAGGAAAUGAGAAGUUGCAAGUUUUUUUGUUUUUUAGAAGGACGUCCCGUUUUUAACACGAGCCGAUUAAUUUCACCCAACAUAGCGAUGAAAUCAAUGACUUAAUGUUAAAAUUGGUACAUUGCCUUAUUCUUAAAAUUAAAAUGUAAAAAGUUUUUAAAAUGAUAGUAAAAAAAAUCCAAGAAUAUUAUUGUCAAAAAAUGCGAAUAAUGAUGUGAAUAAUAAAAUAUAUAAAAUAUAAAAUAUCAAAAUAUCAAAAUAUUAGAAUAAUAAUAAUUAAUAUUGACAAAUAAAAAAUAAAAUAGAAAUAAAAAAAAUGUACAUAAUAUAUAUAUUAGAAAUAAUAAUGAUGUUUAAAAAUCAAUACUAUUAAUAAUACUACAUCAAUAUGUACAUAUAUAAAAAAAAUACGUGAUAAUAUUAAAAAUAUGUACAUAAUAUAGUGUUAAAAAUACAUACAUAAUAUAGUUAAGAUAUAUGCAUAAGAUAACAUGUAAAAUAUAUAUAUAAAUAAUAUAAUAUUAAAGAUAUAUACAUAAAAUAGUAUAAAAUAUAUAUAUACGUAAUAUAGAAUUUAAAAUAUACCUAAUAUAUUAAAAGAAUAUAUAUAAUAUAAUAUUAAGAAAUAUAAUAAUAACAAAAAAGGAGAGAGAGGGAGAGGGUGGAUGAUUUUCGGCCACAAGGUCGGCCAUCGUCCGGUCACCGGACCGCCGCCGGCGCCACCGUACACGGCAGCCGGACCUCAAAAAAAACUUUUUCGGUAAAAAUGGGUAAGCUUCCUCCUUUUAUUUUUUUUUACUUUCGUAUAAAAGAAACAAAAUAAGAUUGAAAGGAAAACAAUAAGUAAACAAAGAACUUAAAAUGAGAAUAGACAAAGAAACCUCUUUUGCUUUGAUCUUUGAUUAAUCUUCAAAAAAACUAGCUUCUCCAAAAACUAGCCUUCACAAUAACUCUUCUCAUUAAUUACUUUAAAAAGAAACCUCUCCAAAAAUCCUUUACAAUAACUUUCUCUCCCAAAAACUCUCAAAAAAAAAAUCCCCCCCUUUUACAAAAUAUGGGAAGGCUUAUAUAGCUAUUUACAAAAUAUUUUUUUAUUGUUUAUGUCUUCAUUUGUAGGUACAAGUGGUGGUAGAGCAAGUGUGGUUAGUGGAGUAGGUAAUGGAGCAAGUGUGGCUAGUGGAUUUGGUGGUGGAGAAGGUGUGGCUAGUGGAGUUGGUGGUGGAAAAGGUGUGGCUAGUGGAGUUGGUGGUGGAAAAGGUGUGGCUAGUUGAGAAAAGUUUAAGUUGUGGGCUAGGUUUUUUUAUUUUGAUUUGGGCUUAGGGUUUGGGCCAUUGGGGUUUUGAUGUAAAUUGGGCUUUGGGUAGUAAGAUUUUGGGUUUUGGGUUUAAUUUUGGUGGGUUAGGUAAGGCUAAAUUGGGUUUUGAUGUAAAUGGGCUAAAAUUGGCCUACAACAUAUAUAUAUAUUUUAUUUACUUUAAAAUUCAUUGUGAUACUAUAAUUUCACAUAGUAAUUCUUUUUAUCUUCCUUUAAAUCUAUUUCAAACUCGUAUAUAUAUUGUUUAUGAUAAAUUUUAUGCAUGUAAUUUAUUUUAUAUUAAUAAUUUUCAAUUUCCUCCCUUGCAUGUUAUUCUUUUUUUUGUUUUCAUUUUUUAAGCUUGUUCGUGUUAAUUUACUUGAUAUUCCUUUUAAUUCUUUAGCUUUUAAUAUUAAUAUUUACCCAACAUAUAAUAUGAGAUUCUUACUAUUGUUAUAUUGUAUUGUUUAUUUAUAUUUAUUGAUUGUUUGACAUUCAUUAGUAUACGCUUUAUUUUAUGAAUCAUCAUCUCGCAUUGUAUAUUAUUAUUCAAUCGUUUUUAUUCGUUCAAAAGAUUACGUUUAAUAUCAUUUAAGUAUCGAAAUUGAUUUAUUCAAAAACUUUCAAGAUAGCGUAAUAUUCGGUAUUUGGGUUCUUUGAUAGAAUUGAGCCCUAACGUAUUGGGUUCCAAUUUUCCUUGUUGAAUCUAAAUAAUCGAGAAUAUUCUUCAAUCAAAAAUACAUAAAUAAAAAGCUCAUUCUCGGGAAUUCAAUACGUUGUGUCCUAACGCAUUGGAUAUGACACGUUGUUUUCUUGAGAUGAUGAUUUUUCUAAAUAAAAAUAAAGGCAAUAUUUGGUAUUUAGGAAUUUUGUGAAAUUGAACCCUAAUUUACUGGGUUUUGAUUUUUCAUUUGACCAAAUAAUCAGAUAUCCUUCUCAAAAUGCAUAGGUUUUAAAAAAAAUCAAAAGAUAAACUUAAUUUUGAAGAUAAAAAAUGUAGCGCCCUAACUUACUGGGUGUGACAUUUUAUUUCUUUAAAAUAAGAGUGUCUUAUUAUUUAAUUCAAUUUAUUCAAAGUUAAAAGGAUCGUAUUUUAAAACCUUUUCAAAUUUUUGACACUAAGACAUUAAACAAUCAAUUCGGUAACAAUUUUGGGCGUUACGAGGGUGCUAACCCUUCCUCGUGUGUAACUGACUCCCGAACCUGUUUUCUCAAAUUUUGCAGACCAAAAUCGUUUUUAAGGUGAGCCGAUCACACCCCAAUAAAUGAUCGGUAGCGACUCUCAUCUUUGUUUUUAAGUCGACUACUAAUUUUUGUUUUUAAAAAGUGGUUUCGACAUGUACAUUCAAUGUAGAGUCACAUACAGCCUGCGACAAAAAUAAUAAUUAUACACCGCUGUGUGGGGUGACCGAAAAUUCAUAUAUAGACUUAUUUCGAACGUUCUAAUUUUCCAUUCCGAAUGUUCUAAUUUUCCACCAAAAACAAAGUCGCUUUGGAAUUAAAAUUUUGGUCCUAAGGCCCGCUGGAUUUUUCACAACCACUAUCAUUAGACUAAAAUUAUCUCUCCACGUAUGAUCGGGUUUAAAAAAAUUUAUUAAAAUUAUUUAUUUAAUUUGUUAUUAUUGUUUAUAAUAGAAUAUAAAGUCUUAAAAUAUAAUGAUAUCAUCAUGGAGAAAAAUAUUUUAAUUUAAAAAUGUAUAAAUUUUAUAUAUUAUCUUUUAAAUAAUUUAAAUUAGGGAUAAAUCUCGAAAUCAUACAUGGAUUUGAUUUAAUGUGUAAUUGUAUACAUGAACUUUAAUUUGAUUUAAUAAUUUACAAGAAUUUGGUCAAAAAUAAAAUUUCAUGUAUAAAAUUCUACAAAAUCAAAGUUCAUAUAUAUAAUUGCACAUUAAACCAUAGUUCAUAUAUAGUUUUGAGAUUUAUCCUUUUAAAUUAUAAUGAUAAUUUUUAUAUAUUAAAAUUAAUAUAUUUAACCUUCCUUUAAAUGAAAGAAGCUACUUGUUGAGUUAUUAUAUUUAUUAUAUGUGAUUUAAUUUUAAAUUUUAUUUAUCAAUCUUCACAUAAUUAUUAGAUGCUUUGAGUAAUUUAAAAGAGAUAGACACGAACUGGAAUGAGGUGAAGGAAUUUAUGGCCAUAAAGAGUAAAGGUAUAUGUAUCAACUAAAAAAUAAAAAAUCAUUUAAAAAUAUAAAACUCUCACGGAAGGACAAUAUCUUUAGUUAUUGAAGGGAUCUGUUGAUUAUCAAAUGAAAGAUAUUUUAAAAACUUCUCUUAAAAAAGUCUGAUAAUCAACAAUGCUGAUAGACCAAUAAUUUGAAGCAGUCAAUGAACUUGUAGAAAGGGUAUAGCAAGAGGGAUGGAAGCUUGACGCCAAAAGUUAAGAGAUAUCUCCAUAAUGGUCACUUGUGUUGAGUGGUCUUGGGUGAUUGAAUUUUCUACAAAUGCCAUUAAAUUUCCCACAAGAAUUUUUCUACAAAUGCUUUUCAAUUUUGAAUCAAGUUGGUUUAUGAUUGGAAUUACUUGCUGUAAUAAGUUAGUUAUUUCAUUUUUUUUAUUUAAUACCAAAAUUAAAUAAAUUUUUAUUAUUAUUCUCAUUAAAAACCCAUUAAAGUUUCAGUUUUUCUAUUUAAUAUUGUAACUUUAAUUCUAUUGAAUGUUUAGGUUACUCUUUGUUUUUCAUUAAUACUUUUGGUUUUUUUUUACUAUAAAAAGCUAUUAUAUAUUAGAUAUUACUUAUUAAGAUAUCAACAUUGUUAGAGCAAAAAAAAAAUCUGUGUGAUGGUACAUAUGUUUUUUUUUUGGUGAAGUAAAAUAACAAGAUAAAAUCCGAACAAUUAACGCGACUCGAAUCCAGGUCACACUUGAGGUGUAAUUAGGUGAGAAAGACAUUUUAUAUAAUAAAAUACAUGUGAAAAAAAAUAUUGUUUCAUUAAUUAUUAAUAAAACAAAAAUAUGAUUCAUUUGCAUUUGGUAAAAUUAAAUUAAACAAUAAAAUGUUUUUUUUUUAAUUCUCGUAGAAGUAUAUUUCAUUGAAUAAUUCAAUUGCUUUUAUUGAAAUUAUCGUGGUAUAUACGAAUGUUGCUUAGAAGUUUUUUUGUAACAAAUAUUUUUCAUUGUCAUAUAUUGCAUAUGAUAUAAAGGCAAUAUUUGAAUGGAGCAUUGGUUAGUUUUUCACGGUGAAUCCUCCACAAUAUUCCUUUGUUUGAAGUUGCGGAAAUAUAUAUGUCUCAUGUUUUUAUAAGAUGCAUGUAUUUAAGUUGCGGAAAUUGAAAAGUCUUGACCUGAGUAGCAAUGGAAUUGUAGGUGUUGUGAAUAACCAAGGUUUGUUGCUUUUCAUCUCUGCAAUGAUUAAUCUCUGAAAUUUAAUUUAAGUUUUUAUAAUUAAUUCGUUUAUUUUACUUUUCUAUAUUAGAACAGUAACUUUCUCUUGCAUGCAGUCUCUUUAUCAUCUGCUUUCAACAACUUAGAAAUCCUUGACUUAUCCCACAAUAACUUCGAUGCCAGUAUCUUAUCAAGUAAGCUUCAUCUCUCAAUUUCUAUCUAUGUCUAGUAACUAAUUGUAAGUUUAUGCAAAAAUAAUAUAAAAAUACCUACAUAAUUAACGGGAGAUUUGAAAUGCAUUUUACUAGUUUUUUUUUUUUAAAUAGUUAAAGUUGAUAUUUAUGUAUAUGGGAUAAACCCAAAUUUACGACCAACAAGAAAGAAUAGAGAAGAUUAGGCAUAUAAAUUUAUGUGGGAAAACUCUUUCAAUCAACAGGAUAAAAAAGGAGACUUCAAUAAUGAGCAAACAAACGAAGAGAAUAAGAUGGAGAUAUUCAAAAACAAACCCUAACCCUAAAAACAAAGUUCUUUGGCUAAAAUACAAAAUUCCCUCAAAGCUCUCUCGAAUUUUUCUCUUAAUCUUCUCUCAAUCUUGAUGUUAUGUGUAGAGCCCAAUUCUUGCCCGGGCCUUAACACAAAAAAUAAACAAAAUAAACCAAAAAAAAAAGUCCGUUACAGCAGUGGCCCAAACCCACAAAAUUAACCCUAGCCCGAAGCCCAGUAGAGAAGCAAACCCUAAUUUCCCUAAGGGCGCGCCACACGCUCUGUCAGGCUCCCUCGCGCACGCCACCGCCACCGUCGUCGCUUCCCAUCGCCACCUUCCCAUGCGCGUCAGAACACCUACAAGAAAACUGUAACACCCCUUAACCUCAAACCGUCGCUGAAACUGGGUUACGAGGCACUACCAGACAUAUCAAACAAUUUACAAUUAAUUCCUAGAUAAAUAACUAACAUAUUAAAAUAAAACAUAAAUUCUUAUAAAUUUUAACAGUUGACUUCAUUCAUUUUUUUUUAUAAAUUUCGGCAGCAUUUCUGCUUAUUUUUACAUAAAACCCCUGCAAAUUUCAAGAUUAUAACCUGACCAAUUCCAAUGUUUCAACCAACAUUUAUAUCCUCAAGCAUAAUUAAAAUCAUACUUAACAUUUUAACUACUAUCAUAUAGAUUGCAUAAAAAGAUUAAUCAAAUAACAUAUAUUACAUCUAGACUAAAUACUUUGUAACAUAAUACAUCAAAAUUAAGUCUUCCAUACAUGCCAUAAUUUUCGAGUGAUGAUUACAAAAUACCAAAAGUUGUGGAUAGUGUAGAUGAGUUCCCGACGAUUUCCCGAAUUCCAAGCUGAACUGGUAACACUAUAAAACUGGGAAAAACAAAGAGAAAUAAGCAUAUAGCUUAGUAAGUAGACAUAUGACAAAUAAACAAAUUUUUAACAUGAUUCCAUAGAAACAUAAUUUUAUUCACACAUAAAUUUCCUUGCUUGUUCAAUUUCCAGCAAGCUGUUUUUCUGUGUCACGGUCACUAAUUUAUUUUUAUCUGGAGCUGCUGGGCUCCAAAUUAAGUUCCGUAAAUUUUCCUUGAAACUAUACUUACAUACCUUUCUAUCAUAAAAUUUUUAGAAUUUUCGGUUUAGCCAAUUAGUACAUUUUAUUCUUUAAACUUUCCCUGUUUCACUGCUCAAUAGCUCUGACCUCUCUUUACUUAAAUUUACUUAACUCUUUGUACAGAAUUCAAACAAUGUUCUUGUUUGUUUCUCUUGAAAAUAGACUCAUUGAUAAAUUCAAGCAUGUAAAUUACAAGCCAUAAUUAUUUUUGUACAAUUUUUUGUAAUUUUCCAAAUUUGGAACAGGGGAUUUCGAAAUCAAUUCAACCCUGUCUCACUAAAAUUCAAAUAUUUCAAAAUAUAUAAAAUCUUUUGCUUGCUCUGUUUCUUUCAUGUGAAAAUAGAAUCAUUUAGCUUCAAUUUCAUAUAUUAUUCAUUCUCUAAUUAAACUUCCACCAUUUAUGGUGAAUUUUCAAAGUCGCUCAACUGCUGUUGUUCAAAACUGUUUUAUUUCAAAAUUUACUCUUUUGUAGUUUUGAUAUCUCAUACCAUCUUAUACAUGGGUCGAUUAAGUAUCAAACUCACUAUUCCUCACAUUAUCUUGUCCAUUUCAUAUAUACAUUCACUUUUCCAAUUUCCCUGUUGAACACUCGGAAUAUUAUCCGUUACUCGGUGGAUUAAGCACUUAGCAACCACCUUAAAUUCAGUGAUACGUGGAAUCAGCACAUAGCAACCCCUUUCACAGUCAAGGAUACGGUGGAAUCAGCACUUAGCAACCACCUCUAUAUUCAGUGAUACGGGGAAUCAGCAUAUAGUAACCCCUUUCACAAUCAAAGAUACGGUGGAAUCAGCACUUAGCAACCACCUCUAUAUUCAGUGAUACGGGGAAUCAGCACAUAGCAACCCCUUUCACAAUCAAAGAUACGGUAGAAUCAGCACUUAGCAACCACCUUUGAAGUCAAUAAUUCAGGGAAUCAACACUUAGCAACCCCUUGGGAAAUCUGCACUUAGCGACCCCUUUUUAUUCAAUGUUUUCCGAUCUAUUCCGAGUGUUCAAUCGGAAACCUUGUUUUUCAACACUUUAUCACCUUUCUCAAACUUAACCACAUUUUUCUGAUCUACAUCAAAUAUUUAUUCUAUAUUCAAUCAAAUCUCAACAAUAUAUUGAAUAACAUUAAAAUAACGCAUUAAUUCACAUGCAUACUUACCUUGGUGUAAAAUAUUGUAAUUUUGCAAUUUACUUCACGAUCUUUUCUUUUCCCUGAUUGAGGUUGUCUUUUCGUCUUUCUUGAUCUAUAAUAGAAAUUUUAGUUUAUUUAAUAUUCACAUUUAUUACAACAGUCCUCGACUCAACUUUUUGCAAAAUUAUGAUUUUGUCCCUAAACUUAUCAUAUUUACAUUUUUCCCAAAGCUCGAAAAUUAAAUUUCACUCCUUAUUCUUAUGUUUUACAACAUGCUGAACACUUUUUCCUUCUAUGGAAACAUCAAAUUCUCACUCUAACACGUACUUAUGAACAUUAAAUAUUUUUACCGAUUAUGACAAUUUACCCGUUUUCACUUAAAAUCGCUUAGCAAAAGUUGUUUAACAUAAUUUCUAGCUUCAUAUUCUACCAUAAAACAGAAAAAUAAACACAUUUCACCUAUGGGUAUUUUUCCAAAUAUAAACCCUAGGUUAAAAUAACAGUAGAAAUAGGUAAACCGAGCUACGAGAAUCUUAAAAAUGCGAAGAACAUUAAAAACGGGCUAGGAUGCACUUACUAUGAGCUUGAGAAAGUGAAGAAACCCUAGCUAUGGCUUCCUUCAAAUUUCGGCAGCAACUAAUGAGGAUGAACACCAUUUUUUCAUCUUUUUCCCAUUUUAAUUCUAUUUAUUUACUAAAUGACUAAAAUGCCCUUACUUAAAAAAAUCUAUUUCACCCAUUUCUUAUGUCUAUUUUUUUCCAUCAAUUAGCUAAUGGUCUAAUUACCACAUAAGGACCCCCAAUUUAUAAUUUCAUAACCAAUUAACACCUUUAACACAUAAAAUUCAACUUUUGUAUUAUUUACAAUUUAGUCCUUUUGACCAAACUGAGUGCCCAAACGUCAAAAUUUUUGAAUGAAAUUUUUACGAAAUCUUUCCGUGAAAUUGUAGACCAUAAAAAUAUAAUAACAAUAAUACUUUCCCUCGUCGAAUUUGUGGUCCCGAAACCACUGUUCCAACUAGGCCCAAAAUCGGGCUGUUACAAAAACAACAAAACAGAAACGACAAACGUACAAUCCAAAGCACAAAAAGACAAAAGAAGAGAGAUGUAGUUUUUUUCCGGUUAUAAAAGGCCGAAUGGGGCGAUUGUAUUUCUUCUUCUGUCAUUUUUGUUACAGAUUAGAAAUAAAAAGGAAAACAAAGGUUGCCUUCUGGUUUCUCUGAUUUAUUCAUUUAUUUCUUUUAUUUAUUUUUAAUGAAUCAGUUUUUUUAAAAAAGAAAAAGAACUCUUAAAAAGUAAAAAAUGAAGAGGAAUACCUGGGGUUGCCUGCGAAAUCCAUCGUCGGAGCCAUUUCGUUUGCCGAAAUCGGACGAAAAGGGGGGCAUGGGGGCCUUUCCUUCUCUCGGUCUUAAGGCCCAAAAGGCUAAGCCUUUGGGCGUUUGAAAAAUGGGCCAAAAAUGCGAUCUCCGUGUCGCUCCGACCACCGCUUACGGUAGGGUCACGGCGGCACAAGCGACGGCCCUAUUGGCCGGAUUUGAGGGCUGCGUGGGAGAGAAUGUUUGAGCUUUCUAUUUUUUUUAAAUAAGGGUCAAACUAUUUUUUUUUAUUUUUAACAUUUAUAUUGGGAAUAAAACGACGCCGUUUUGGGUUUAGGCAACAAUGGCCAAAACGACGUCGUUUCACGCUUGACCCGAAUACUCAACCCGUUUAGCAGAGGAUCCGCGCGUUUUCAAGGCCGAAUGGGCUAUUUGCGCUAUGGGUCCCUCCGCUUUGAUGCUUGGCUUCAAUUCGGUUAUUUUGUCCCUUUUUAGCAUUUUUAAUCUGACCCCGUAGAUUUUGUACCAGUUUUGAUUUGGUCUAACGCGAAACGACGCACUUUAAGGGUUAGGGAUUAAUUUCCCAAUUGGCCCCUGCAUCUUUGUGCUUGCUCCAAUCGACUCCAAAUUAUUUUUUUAUAUUUCAAAUCUAACCCACUGAUUUUAUUUAAAUUCCAAUUCAAUCCUUAGUCAAUAAAAAUUCAAAUUUCACCCUUUUUUAAUAAAAAACGAAAAUGGUCAUUAAAUAUUUUAUUUAACAUCCGUUUAAUUAUUUAUUUUUAAUUGCUAACCAAACUUAUAUAUCUUUCAUUUCAUUUAUUAUUCAUUUUUAUGUGUAUUGAUUUGUAUGUAUUAUUUGUGCCUUUAUUUUCACUAUUUAUUUAUUCGUUAUUUUCAAAUAUUUUCAAAAUUUAGAUUCAUUAGUAUUAUGUUUAUUGUGAUUGUAUUAUUGUUAUUGUUACAUUAUUACUUGCAUUAUUAUUAUUCAUGUAUAUUAGCAUUAAGAUUUAUUAGUAUUAAUGUUAUAUGUGUAUUUUAUGAUGUAUAUUAUGUCAUAAUUAUUUCGAAUGUAUGUUGUAUUAUCGUUAUUAGUCGUGCACGACCCUUUUUCUGUUUUAAACAAUUUCUCCUUCAACACAAUCAAAAUUACACGAAUAUUAUCUUUAUAUAUUUUAUUAGUUCUUACUCAAAUUCAAAAAAAGGAAAAUUUUUAUAAAUAAGGCAAUAUUUUACGUUUGGAAAUUCGAGAAAACGUACUCUAACGUGCUAGGUUUCGAUUUCUCGUUUGACCAAAUAGCCAAGUAUCCUCUUAAAAUUUCAAAGUAUGGGUUUUGGAAACCAUAAGGUAAUUUUGGUUUCUAGGGUUUAAAGUAUCGUAUCCUAACGUGCUAGAUGUGAUAUUCUUUCGGAACAAGAGAAUCUUAAAUUCCAACCCAUAUUAUUUGAAAUUUUUUUUAGGAUUGUAAUUUUUAAAACUCUUCAAAGUUUUCAAUAUUCGACAUUAAGACACUAAUUAAUCAAUUAGGUAUCAAUUUUGGGCGUUACGAGGGUGCUAAUCCUUCCUUGUACAUAACCGACUCCCGAACCUGUUUUUCUGAAUUUCGUAGACCAAAAGCAUUGUUUUAAUAAAUCCAAACCAUUUAUUAAAAACAAUCGUUUUAUGAGGUGACCUGAUCACACCUCAUUAAAAAAGAUUGGUGGCGACUCCAAUGUUCGUUUUUACUUUCAAAUACCAAGUCGACCCCCUUUUAUAAAAAAAUGGUUUCGACAUUAUGAAUAUAUUUAUUCUAGGGUUACUAGUGCCCUUUUUAUAGGCUAAGAUUAGAGUUCUAAUAUUACUAAAAUAUCUAUAGAAUAAUCACAGUUUAACUAGGAAAAGUAACCCUCUUGAAAGUCUAAUAACACAGCUACUCUAAGUUAGAAUUUGUCGCGUUAUCACGACGUACCAAGCUCCCCGUUGUGACAUCGCCUCAGCUUUGCUCUUUUUCAAACAUUGUCGUGUCGUUGCGACAUCGCAUGAUUCCUCGUCGCAAUAUCACCCUUACUUUGACUCUGAUCCGACCCGAAAAUGUGAGACACAUUCCACAAUAUCUAAAUAUAUAUUGAAUUUAAAAAUAAUUGUACAAAGGAUAUGUAAUCCUUGAAGAUUAGAUACAAGUAAUUACCAUUUUAUAUUAAAAGUUAGAAAUAUAAAUUAAAUAUUCUAAACUUUUUUUUAUGUGAAUAAGUCAUGUGUUGAUAUAUUUUAUUGCUCUUGAAUAGAAUUGAAGAGUUUGAAAAACUUGAAGACGUUAGAUUUAAGCUUCAAUGGAAUCAGAAGCCUCCGGCACUUUCAAGGUAUAUCUAACUUUGAUAUUUUAUAUACAAUCAACUAAGUCCUAUAAAAAUAUAUUUAUGAACAAGUUAAAAUGAAUGCUUGAAACAAAUAAUUAUUAUUUGAUAUUAUACAAACAAAUUCUCCUUGAAAUUGUAUUACAUAAGUAUUUUACAGAUGAGAAAUUGCAACCCAUGAUGAGUUUGGAAGUGCUUGAUUUGGAUGGUAAUUUCUUGAAGAACAAUGAUUAUCAAGUUUAAAGUCUUUGAUUAUUAGCCAUAACGAAUUGGAAAUUUUCAUAAAAUAAAAAUAACAAGCUAUAUGUAAAUUACAAUUUCAUCAACCUUUUUUAACUGUUAAAAGAAUUAUAUCCAAAUAUAUUCGUUCUUUUGGUAUUUAGCUUUUUAGGUUGUAAACUAAAGUCAUAAUGAUUUUUUGUCCUCCAAUUUUAAAAACAAAAAAUCAUUUUACCUCUCAAUUUAAUUUUUCAUCUCUUCUAGUCAUUAAACUUCAAUUUUUUUUUGUCAAAUCACCCCAAAAUGAAAAGAAAAGUUAAUAUUUGUUAAUUUUGCUAAUGUGACAUAUAUGUGAAUUGUCAUAUAGAUGACAUAUCAACAUUUAAUUAAUUUUUAAAAUUUAAGUAUUUUUUAAAUAUUUUUUAUUUUUUGAAAUUUAUUUAAAAAAUUAAAUAUUGAUGGAUCAUCCACGUGACAAUCCACAUGUAUGCAAUAUCAACAAAAUUAAAAAAAAUUGUUAAAUUUUCUAUUCAUUUUAGGAUGACUUGAUGAACAUAAGUUUAAGAGAUUAAAAAUCAAAAAAUUAAAUGAAAACCUUUUUUAAGUUAAAAAGAGUUAAAUAAAUUAUUAAUAACUAAAAUAAAAUGUUUUUAAUAAUUUUUUUAUGGAGAAAAGUAGUUGAAUUGCAUGAACCAAAAUUACUGAUUUUUUGUGAUAUAACUUUGUUUGACUGACAAAAAGGGUAUUUGAUUUAUUUGAAUAGCAUUCAAUAAUCUCACAAAAUUGAAGAAGUUGGAUAUGAGUCGCAAUUAUGUUGAGAGACUUGGUAAGUGUCCAUAUAUUUUACUUUAUCAAAUUGCUACAUUUAUUAUACUAAUAUCUAAAUGCUUUGUAGAUGAGGAAAGGUAUAAUUUGACGAAUUUAGAAGUGCUUAAUUUGAAUUACAACUCUUUCGGAAAAAGCUCAUUGGCACAGCUUAGUGGGUUUUCCAAUCUAAAGGAAUUGAGUAUGCAACAAAACCAGGUGCAAUUAUUUAAUAUAUUUAAUUUUCCUUUAAACAAAAUUAACUAUUUAUUAAGUUAUAUUUAUUCUCUAUGAUUUACUUUUAAAUUUUAUUUGUCGACUUUUAGAGAUUGAACAAUUUAGAGAAGCUAAACAUUAGAUAUCUAAUGAACUGAUGUCAACCACUAAUUUGACUCUCAAAAAUGGAAGUUUAGAAAAGCAUUUUAGUAGUUCUUUUAAGAAAAAAAUUAUGUCUAAAUAUAUAAUGAGUUUAAAAAUAAUUGUAUUAAAAUCUGUAAUCGUUGAGGAUUAGAUACAAGUAAUUGCGACUUUAAUAUUAAAAGUUGGAAAUAUGUUGUUAUUUUAAAAUUAAAUGUCCUAUAUUAAUUAUUUUUAUAUGAAUAAGCCUUGUGUUGAUAUUUGAUAUAUUUCAUUGCUCUUGAAUAGAAUUGAAGAGUUUGACAAAGUUGAAGACGUUAGAUUUAAGUGGCAAUAGAAUUGAAAGCCUCAAGCACUUUCAAGGUAUACUUAAAUUUGAUUUUCUUUAUACAAUCAACUAAGUCUUUAAGGCGUUGACCUUAUAUAUUUAUAAACAAGUCAAAGAUGCAACUUUGAGAUAAAUAAUUAUUCAUUGAUAUUAUACAAAUAAUUUUUUUCUCGAAAUUGUAUCACAUAAAUCUUUUACAUUUAUUAAAAGAGAGAACCGAAACAAACUACUUGUUCAGUUAUUAUAUUUAUUUUAUGUGAUUUAAUUAUAAAUUUUAUUUUUCGAUAUUCACAUAAUUAUCAUAUGCUUUGAGUAAAUUAGAGUCAUUGAGAAAAAUAUUUUAAAUUUAAAAAAAAUGUAUAAAAUUUAUAUUUUAUCUCUUAAAUAAUUUAAAUAAUAAUAAUUUUUAUAGAUUAAAAUUAAUAUACUAUCUCUUUUGAAAUAAUAUAAAAAUUAUAUUAAUAUAUAAAAAAUAAAUUAUAAAUUGAAAACUUAUCUCUUAAAUAUAUAAAGUAAAAUAUAUGUACCAAAAUAAUAGGAUUUCAAUUUUAAUUUUUUUUCUAUGUGUUAUCAAUUCUUUAAAACAUUUGACUAUUAAGUUCAAAAAAUUUUAUUUUAAUUAAUACUUGUGCAUUUCACGGAAAAAAAACUAGUUAAUAUAUAUAACCAGCUUUGUAGAUGUGGAAUUACUUAUUUUACAUUCUAUAAAUAUAGCAGCACCUAUAUAAAGUAUACAGUACGCCUUUUAUUAAAUUAGUUCUUUAUAAUAAUUUGUUGUCUUAAAUUUUAGCCUAAUAAAUUCUAUUUCUAAGUGAAAUAAAAUUAAUAAAUUUUAAUUAAGAUAUUAUUUCAAUAAAAUAUUUAAAUUUCAUAUAAAAUAUAUUAAUUAUAUUUUAUUAAAUAAAAAUAGUUUUUAAUAAAUGAAGUUACAUUAGUAAAUUUUAUUAAAGAUACAAUUUAAAUCUCAUUAAUUAAUUUUUAUUAAUAUAUUUUAGUUUUUUUAAUUUAAAAAUUAAAAUAUGAUCUAAAUAUUAAAUGUUGUUAUAAGUGUAUAAUAAUUACUUAUCUAUAACAUCCAAUAGUGGCAAUAUAAAAGUUGAAUAUAAGUGAAUUUUUGUGACUAACAAAAAAUGUAUUGAAUUUAUUUGGAUAGUAUUGAAUAAUUUGACAAAGCUAAAGCAGUUGGAUUUGAGUGGCAAUAAAAUUGAGAGCCUCCAAUCUUCUCAUGGUAUGUGUUGAGAUGUUUUACUUUAUCAUAUUCUUACAUAUACAUACCACUAUCUUAUUUAAUAUUCCAUUAGUAAUAAAUUUGUUUAUCUCAAUGCUUUGUAGAUGGUGAGAGGCCACUUAAUUUAACCAAUUUAGAAGAGCUUAAUUUGGAUUUCAACUCCUUCACAAACAGCUUAUUGGCACAACUUAGUGGGUUUUCCAAUCUAAAGUCACUGAAUAUAAGGAAUAACCAGCUUAAAGGAUCAAUAAAUAUUAAAGGUGGAAUUACUUAAUAUAUUUAAUCUUCCUUUAAAUGAAAUAAACUACUUGUUGAGUUAUUGCAUUUAUUCUAUGUGAUUUAAUUUUAAAUUUUGUUUGUCAAUUUUUACAGAAUUAUUAGAUGCUUUAAGCAACUUAGAGGAGCUAGACAUGAGCGAGAAUGAGGUGAAGGAAAUUGUGCCCAUAAAGAAUAAAGGUUUAUGUAUCAACUAAAGGAAAUCUUACUAAUUGUUUUCCAUUAGAUAUCUAGUGAACUGAUGCCAACCACUAAUUUGACUCUUAGACAAUGGAAGUUUGAGAAAGCUAAAGGUUGCUUCAUUAAACCGUGUGUUCACCGAUGGAACUGCUUCUCUAAUACAGCUUCUAGAGACAUUCUCAUCUGUUAAUACAUUAUAUUUGAGUGGCAAUUACUUCAAAGACACAUUUUCUACUCAAGUUAUAAUAUAUAUGUAUGUGAAUAUAUAGUUUUAUAGUUUGGUCCCAUUUAAAAAUAUUAUUUACUUAACGUAAAUCAUCUAAAUAACGCUUAUAAAUUUGUAAAGAUCAACUGCAUGUAUCGAGCAAAAUAGAGGAAUUGGUGCUGGAUUAUUCAUCUCUCAGCAACAACAUUCUUCAAAGCUUUGGUGGACUGGCUUCUCUCAAAGCCUUGUAUUUAGGUUCCUGUGGGUUGUCUGGGACAUUACAUACCCAAGGUAUAUUAAUAAUUAUGACAUAAUUAUUUAGGCAGUCUCUUGAUUAAUUAUUUUUUUAUCCUCUUAGAAAAUUGGAGUAACUUGCACAAAUUUAUUUUAUAGGAUGGUGUGAUUUACGGAAGCUUGAGACGUUGGAUCUUAGUGAAAAUUCUCUUGGGGGAGCACUCCCUUCAUGUUUGGAAAACUUGUCAUCUCUUCGUUAUUUGGAUAUUUCCGGUAAUCAAUUCAUCGGAAAAGGUGCCUCCACCGCUCUAGCCAAUCUCACAUCGCUUAGAUUCAUGUUUCUUUCACGAAAUCUAUUCGAAGUUCCAUCAAUUUUCAUGUCAUUUGCCAACCACUUACACCUCAAAGUCCUCUUUAGCGAUCAAAACAAGUUAGUCAGAGAGCCUACCAUUCAAACAUGGGUCCCAAAGUUCCAACUAAAAGCCUUCCUUUUCUCGAAUUGCACAACAAAGGAACUCCACAUUGAAAUUCCAAAAUUCCUCUACUACCAAAAUGAUCUGAGUAUGGUUGAUCUUUCAUACAAUAAUUUUUUAGGGAAGUUUCCUUUUUGGUUGUUAGAGAACAAUACAAGAAUGGGAGCAUUUUUAAUGAAGGGUAACUCUUUUAUGGGCCAUCUCAAUCUUCCAUCUCAUCCGAAACCAAAAAUGUCCCUUGUUGAUAUAUCUGACAACAAACUAGAAGGUCCAAUUCUAGCAAGCAUUUGUUCAAUCUUUCCACAACUAAAUGGGUUAAACCUAUCAGACAAUUUCUUUCAAGGAAAUAUUCCUCCUUGUUUAGGUAGUUUGAACACUACAUAUUUAAUAUUAGAUCUGUCACAUAAUCAUCUAUCUGGCGGAAUACCAGAAAUGUUAGCUCAAAGUGACUCGUUGGAGCUUCUUAGGUUAUCAAAUAAUGAUCUAAGUGGGAAGAUAGCCCCAACGAUCUUUUGCUCAUCUUCAUUACAAUUUUUAUAUUUAGAUGGCAAUAAGUUUGAUGGAAAUAUACCUGACAUUGAUAUCUCAACUUGUCAUCCGUAUCCUCUUAGUGAUAUGGAUUUAAGUAACAACAAUUUGUCUGGAGAGCUCCCAAGAUGGAUAUGGAAUAUGUCAUCUUUAAAUGCAUUAUUAGUAUCCAACAAUCAGCUCAAGGGUCUUAUUCCGAAGGAAUUGUGCCAUUAUUCCCUUCAAAUUUUGGACCUUUCAAAAAACAAUUUUUUUGGCCCAAUACCAUCUUGCUUCAAUGUACACAGUAUCAAACAUCUCCAUUUGAGCAAAAAUAGGUUAAGUGGUACCUUGACAAAUGCAUUCUUUAAUAGCUCUUCCUUGGUGACUUUAGAUCUUAGUGAAAACCAGUUGACUGGUGAAAUUCCAUACUGGAUUGGAAAUCUUUCAACUUUGAGUGUUCUCCUUCUAAAAGCCAAUUAUUUUAUUGGAGAAAUUCCCAUUAAGAUAUGUAAAUUGUAUUCAUUAAGCAUCAUUGAUCUUUCUCAAAACAAGUUUUCUGGUCUGAUACCUUCGUGUUUGAGUCGUUUAACUCUUGAGCCAAAUGAUAAAAAUCUUCGACAAUAACCUAUGGGUUGGAUUUUGAUGGAAUCUUGGAGGGAGCUAAUUAUAUUGGAAUGACCAGAUUGGAUUUGUCCGAUUUUGGAUUCAAUCUACAUUUCUUUAUUGAGAAUCUAGAAGAAAAGGUGGAUUAUACAACAAAGGGAGCAUCUCGCACAUACAAAGGAAACAUUCUUGAGUACAUGUCUGGAAUUGAUUUAUCAUGUAAUAGAUUAACAGGUGAAAUUCCCAGAGAGAUUGGAAAUUUGAGUGAAAUCCGAUCACUAAACUUGUCGCACAACAAUUUGACUGGAUAUAUACCGUCAACGUUCUCAAAGCUCAAGCAAAUUGAGAGUUUGGACCUGUCUCACAACAACUUAAUUGGAAGAAUACCUGUUCAAUUGACGGAGUUGUACGCCUUAGCAAUCUUCAAUGUGUCAUACAACAACUUGUCAGGGAGUAUUCCGUCUCCGAAAUUUCAAUUUGGAACCUUCGACGAAAGCAGUUACGUGGCGAAUCCUUUCCUCUGCGGGUCUCCCCUGCAUAAAAAUUGUAGCAACCUUGAUUCACUCCCGACAGCAGCACCAAAGAGCUCAAACGAGGAAGAAGAAAGUGGUUUGAUGGACAAGUAUGUUUUCUGGGUGACCUUUUUUGUUUCUUACGUAAUUGUGUUACUGGUUAUUGUUCUCAUCCUGUACAUAAAUCCUUAUUGGCGACAAGC
rnacentral:lncRNA from 1 species